GAAUUGUUAUGGGAGGUGGAUUUGAUGAUGUGGGAGGUGUGGGUAGCAAUUGUUCUUCCAUUGAAGAAUGAGGAUUUUGGACUUGAAGGGAGAAAAGUGGCAAGAGAUGUUGCGGUGGCAGUGACGAAUGCCAUGAAGAAGGAGAGUAUUUGGAAAAUAGAAAGGGUUACUGAUGUUUGGUAGAGAGGUGUAAUAGAUGUGAGUAGAAUAAAUAGGUUUAAUAAAUGGUUACUGAUAUUUGGUAGAUAGGUGGAAUAAAUGUGAAUAGAGCUGUCAAAAAAGCCCCAAACUGUUAGACCCCUUAAUAUUUUUUAUUAUACCCUUAAUAUUAGGUUUCCUAUCAAAAUAACUUUUUUAAAAUUUCGGCCAAUUAUUUCAUGGGGCUUAAGAGAAGGGGCAUGGGGUUUAUAGGCCCCCCAAUAUUUUAAAAUCGAUUUUUUUUUAAAACGUGGGCCUAUAGGCCCACUAAGCCCACAAAAUUUUAGGAGGCUUUCAGUGUUGGGGGCCUUUUAAAUUAUAUUUUUUUUUUGUUUCUCCAACAUGUAGGCUGAUGCUAAUAAUUAAGGGACUUAUCAAAUUGAGAGCUAUAGUGAUUACCACCGAUACUUUGAAUAAUUUAGCUGUACCGUUUUUUUUUCUUUUCAAAGCAAAUAUUAGUAGAUAUAUUUAUAAGCGGAUGCCGCGGAUCUGUUUCUAUGGUAACGGGGGUCUUGUCCCCACAAUAUAUUUGUUUUUCUGUAAGAACGUUAUUUAUUUUUGGUUAAUAUAUUUUUAAUUAUUUUAAUUCUAUAAUAAAAAAAUAGAUGUUACCCUGUUAUACUUUGUUUAAUUUUCUUUCAUCUUCCUUAUAUUAUAAUUAUUUUUUGUAUUUGCACACAUUUUAUAUUUCUUUCUUUUAAGUUAUAUUUUCAAAUAUUUUUUAUGUAAACAUAUUAUAGAUUAUUUUAAUUCAUUUUAUUAUAAAAACAUUAUAUAAUAUCAUAGAUUAUUAUAUUUUUUAUUUUUAAGAUCGAAGAAAUCUUUAUAUUUUUCUUAAUUAAUAACGAUUUAAGUUUUUAUUUUAUAUUAUUUUUUAUAAAAAUAUUAUACUUAUUCUCUUGUCUCAAUAAACAAAAAUUUCUAAUUUACCACUUGUCAAUUAGAGGAGAAAUAAUUUGACUGUAUCAAGAUCGAAAUCCUAUUUUUAAUAUUCUUUCAGUUAUCCUUUCAGCUUUUCAGCUCAUAUUACUGGAGUCUGAAUUACCCAUUCACAUAUUGCAAACACUGUCCUUAAAUGAAAUAUAUGAAUAAAAAAAUAAUUGAAAAAAUAAUAUAGCUGAUUUUAAAUUUUAAUUAAAUAGAUUAACUUUUUAUAUACUAUUUUUUUACUCUGUUUCGCAAGGUUAAAAAGUAAGUUUAUAUUUUAUAUUCAUAAAUAAUUUAUUUAAUUUAACAUAUAAAAUAAGUUUAAUAAAUAAUAAUUUAAAAUAAAUAAUUUAAAACAGUUUAUUCAUUAUAAUUUAAAAUAAAUAAAUAAAUAAAUAAAAAAUAUAUCUGAUUGAUAAAUUUUAAAUUAUUAUUUUUAAAAUAUUUUAAACAUUGAUAAAAUUUAUUUUUAAUUAAGAUUUUUUUUAUUUUUUUAUUUUUUAUUUUAAAGUUAUUGAACCGUUACUUUUAUCAUACAUUUCAAUUAAUUUAACUACUAUCCACUCUCAAUUAAUUUUAUCAAUAAGAUCCGAAAAUAAGUACUUUUUUGUUGGUUAAUAUCAUACACUAUUUUGUUGUUUAAUAUUAGACACUAUUCACUGCAUGUAAGAGAUUAAUUAGUACUCUCUUUGUCCUUAAUUAUAAACACUAAUUUAAAAAUUUAUUUGUCUCUAAAUGUAAGUUCCUAUGCAAAUUACUAUGUUAUUUAUUAUUUUUUCUCUAAAUCUAUUUCUAUUAAUAUUACUAAUUUAUAUUAAAAUGUCAAAACUUAACAUUAAAUACAUUUAUAUAUAAUAAACAAUUUAGUAAUAAUAACACAUAAAAUAUACAUAUUAAUUACACCACUUUUUUUUUUAAUGUAUGUGAAAGUUUUAAUAAUUAUUUUAUAAAAAGUAUUAAUCUAACCUUCAUUUUUUGUGUUUAGAAAGAUUUUCGUGGCUCGAAGUACAUAAAUAUAGCUCAUUAAUCUUGCAAUUCGAUAAAUAGCAUGGGUUAAACACAAUUACACAAAGGAUGAAGUAUUAAUUUUAAUUAUAUAAGAUGAAAAAGAUUUAAACAAACAAAAAUGAUUAGUAUAACUAUAUGAGAAAUAAUAGAAGAAAAAAAAACUAUACAAGAAAAUGUCUAGUGUUUUUUUUUUGUAAAACACUAAAAAUAAAUCUUUUAAUUUUUUUUAUGGAAAACUAUACGAGGAUAGACUAAAAUAAUCUUUUUUGUGGCUCUUGAAAUUAUUUCAAAAUAUUUUCUUCUGAAUUUAGUGUUAUUAUCAAUAUUAUACCUAAAUACAUAGAAAUUAGGUUGAAAUUCUAAAUAUGAAUAAUUAAUUAAAAAUUAGUACUUAAUAUUUUAAAUACUAUUUAAAUAAAUAUAUAAAUUUUCCAAAAAAAAAAAGGUUUAAAUACAAAUAAAAAAUACAGAAAAUUAUACCAUAGAGAGCAUAGACAAUGGAACCAUAGAAUCUCCCUAACUAUAUAAAGGUAACACUCACAAAAAAGGUAGACAGGGAAAAAAUUUGCCUUUUGUUUUUUCGGUUCUUCUAGCGAUGAACCGGAUUCUCUUGUCAUUUCCAAUAAAGUGGACUAAAGAUUAUCAAAUUAUGGCAAAACAAUUUGAAAGUAUUGAUUUCUCUGUGUGUUUGAUUACACGUAGAAGAAUGAGAAAGAAAAGAAGGACAAAAAUAUUUUAAAUAAAAUGUAUUUAAUUCAAUUUUUAAAAAUAAAUGAGAGUGGAGAAAAGGAAACUAUUUUUUUUUUUAUAAAAUUCAUUUUGUUCUUUAAAAAAAAAUUAAAAAUAGAGAUAUCCAAAACAGUUUUAAAAAUAUUAUUUCUUUUAUUAAAUCAAAUAAAACCAUUAAAUUUUUUUAUCUCUGCUUUCUAAUUGGUUUUAAAAUUCCUUGCGAUCCUUCCCUUGGUUCCUUAGAGCAAAGAGACAUGACAUAUACUUUGUCAAAGAUUCUCCAUUACGAUAAACAAGACUAAAGAAAAUGCAUUUACACAUGGAUUCUGAUGCAAAUAUCAUACUUUCUCUCUCUAAUCUAGUUGUCGUACUUAGCUACCCCGCGAUAGGUUGAAGCCUUGUCGGAUUAACAGGGAAGAAAAAAGCGUAGAGAAUAAAAUUUAUAUAUAUAUAUAUAUAUAUAUAUAUAUAUAUAUAUAUAUAUAUAUACUUUUAUUUUAUAUUUAUCAUUAUAAAAAAAUUGACAAUUAAAUUAAUGUAUUUAUUUUAUAUAAAAGAAUGACUAAAAUAUAAUUUUGUGUAUUAAUAUAUUUAUUAAUAACUUUUUAUAAUAUAAGACAAAUUAGUAGGGAUAUUAAAUAUAUCAAGUAUAUAAAAUAAAAAUGAAUUUAUAUUUAAAGACAAUUUUAUUUAUUUAUUAAUGGAUGUUUUUUGCUACUAAAUAAAUAUAUAUAUAUAUAUAUAUAUUUUAAUUAUGUGAAUGCCACUAAAUUAAAAACUUGUAUCCAAAACUUGUUGAGGCAAGUUAUGAUGAAGGUAUUUGAAUUUGUUUCGUUUGAUGAGUGUAAACAAAACAGAACAUAUCAUGCUGAGUAGGACUCAUUCCUUCAAUGUCAAACCCUACGGAGAAAAAUAAAAGGCAUGGGAUCCUGUUUUUAUGGUUUCAGAUUUUUCCCAAAACACAAUCAUUGAUGCAUGAGCAGACAAUCCCAAAAACACGUACCAAACACACCAUUUUAGCGAAUCAUAAAUUCUUGAAGCUAAAUUGGUAGAGAGUUUAAUCAGAUUUUUAUUCUGACAAUCAAUACAAAUAUCAUUAAUUGUACAUUUAUUUAUUUAUUUUAUGAUUGUAAAUACAAUCAUGUGAAGAGAUGAUAAGGCUUAAUUACUUAAGAGAAAAUCAUGUGAUGUAAAAUUUAAAUUAAAUAAUACCAUGUUAAUAACUUUUUAAAAUAAAUAAAUAUUUAAAAAUAAAUAAAUAGAUUACUUUUUUUGUUAAAAUUUUCUGAAAUUUUUCACUAUCAUAAAUAAUUUUUUUUAAUUUUAAAUUUCUUAUUUUUCUUUAAUUUUUUAAGUAAAAAAGAUUUAUUUUCUAAAAUUACUUUUAUAUUAAAAAAGAACUGAAAGUUUUUCACAAUCAUAUAUAAUUUUCUAAAAUUUUAAAAUUUCUCUCUUUUUUUUACUUUUAAAAUUACUUUUUUUUUUCAAUUUUUUUUAUAAAAAAAUAAUAAAAAAAAAGAAAUUAAAAAAAAAAUAUUAAAAAAUUAUUAAUGUGCUAUUAUUUAAUUAAAAAAUCCACAUCACUAAAUUGCAACUCAAAUUAAAAAGAAGGAAUAAAUACCAACAAUUUAAAAAAUUGAGAGACUAAAAUUAUAAAUAAAUAAAAAACUAAAAUUACAUACUUGUUAAAAUGGGACCUUUAGUUUUUCAUUUUAAUUUUAUUUUUUUACCAUUUUGUAUAUACAGUGUAACUAACCAUCAAAUAGUUACCCUUAUAAUUCAAAGGCCUUGUACUCGUGUUUCACUUCUCUUUUUUACUUGCUUUGAUUAAAAUAGCAAUUAGUCUAAAAUUUGACCCUAUCCAUGGUAUUUGAAUUAGAAAUCCCUAGACAAAAAUCUAUGGAUUGCCUUCAAACUCUAUGAUUCAUAAUACCCUGAAUAUAUAAAGGAAGCAAUCGCUAUCAAAGUAUCAAACAGUAUUUUGCGAGAAUCCGUUCGUGUUCUGGCCUUUUGUUUGUUUUCUUUUGGAAAAAGAAUACUAAAGCUCAUAAUUUUGAAGCCAAAUAAAACCACAUGUCUCUCCUUUUAUGCAUCAUUUGUUGUCCACAUAAGGACAUGCCUACAAUCCCCAAAUAUUCCGUACACAAAUUAUAUUCCUUUAACCAAAAACAACAAAGUUGGUUCAAGAGAUAAAGAAUUCAGACAUUUUAAAUAAGUAAUUAGAGAUUUGAUAUGCAACAUUUGUUUACAACAAAACUAUCAUAUAAUAUAAAGUUAGACAUAACAAACAUAUAAUUGAUCCAAAUGAUAAAAGAUUUAGACAGAUCCAAUUUAAGACACUUGUGUACAAAUAAAAAAACCAUUAACUUACAUUAUGUUGAACAAAUUUUCCAAUAAUAAUUAAUCCCUCAUAAACAAGAUGGAUACUCCGUACUUAUAAGAUAAAAAAAAAAAAAAAAAAUACACUUAACACCCUUACUCCUUGUUUCCUCGUUUUCCUUAUUUUGAAAUUUUGUAUUUUUUAUUCUAUUUUGUGUUGUGUGGUAGAUUAAGAAUUGUACAAUUCAAGUGGGUUACAAAAAAGGACCCCUUUUCCUACCUCAUCUUCCAAACACUUUUUUGGACUACAAAUUCACCCCUCACCCCCUUCACUUCUUCCACACACCAUUCUCACCACUUCUCUCUCUCUUCAUACCUAAAAACACUUGCUUCCAAUCUAAAACACUACAACCUCUUUCUUAAAAAACACAAACAACCUUAUUAACACUUUCACCUUUCACAUGGCUGCAAUUGUGUACCACUCUGGAUUGCAAACACAUCUUGAAUCUCCUCAACUUGUUGAAUCAAGAACACUAAGACUCAAGUUACCUUCUCCUCAAUCCAUUGAUUUACCCUUCAAAUCAUGUUUUCGUGAUUCAAACCUCAAAACCAAUCAUCAUGAAGAAAACAUCAGCAAAACAGAAACUUUUCAAAAACCCAACACCAAUACUUGGAAUUUUCUUGAUUCUCUUUCCAAUAAUAUCUCACAAAACACAUCAAAAAAAGAAACAACCUAUGUUCACCCUCAACAGAAACGUUCCUCUUUGGUUCUUAGUCCAAAGAGCCUUGAAUUGUGCACAGAGAAUCUUGGCAACGAGAGUGGUACUGACAUUAUAGAAAACAGCAUUGAAAACAUGUUAUUGUUCUCUUCUUUCGAACAAAGACAACCUUGUCGUCAAGUUUUAGUAGCUAAGAAAGCGAAAACAAUGAAUUUUCCACCACCUUUAACAACGAUAAGAGGUUCAGAAUCUCUUCGUGUUAAACCACACCGUGAAGAUGGAAGGUUAGUGAUUGAAGUUACCAAAGUGCCACCAAGUACCUCAUGUUUUCAAGCUGAUAGAAGCCAUGGCCGUCUUCGCCUGUGUUUUUCGACAAAUUUUGAUCAAGAAGAAGAAGAAGAAGAUGAAGAUGAAAAUAAUGAUGAUGUCGCCGAUGAAAAUGAACAACCACUUAAUGAAGAGUUUCUCGAAGAGUUUUGUGAAAAUGAAAUUAUUGAAGGAAAAAUACAAGAAUCUGAAAAAAGAGAUAAAGAAACAGAGGAUAAAACAGAGGAUGAAACAGAGGAACAAGAAAUAGAAAGUGUUGUGAUUGCAUGUGGGUGUGAGUGUGAAGAAAAGAAAGGUAAUGACGUAAGAAUGGAAAAGUAUGAGAGGCUAAGAAGAUGCAAAGAAAGUGAUGAAAAUGAAAACAAUGAAUUGUUAAAUUGGUGUGAGACACUUUGGGUGGCUACUACUUGAAAAUGAAUUUUUCUUAAAACUAUAGUUAAGAUUAAGAUAUUUUCGCAUCAAUAUCAAUCUCUGUAUUAUUAAUAAAAAAUAAUAAUAAUUUAAGUUUGUACUUUUUAUCGAUUUCUCUUUUGGUGCAUUGUUGUUGUUUUGUUUAAUGAAUUAUACGUGUGUUUUCUCUCAUAAACUAUGGUCCUGGUCGGUAGUUAUUAUGGUUAGUAUUCUGUUUCUAAGAGGGGACACGCGCUGUGAUGAUGCUGAUGCAGCAGCACAGUGAAGAUUCAUUAUGAUAGUGAGUUUUUGAGUAGCAAACAAAACGCACGUUUUGAAUACCUUUGGUUAAUAGAAGUUUGUUUUCUAUCCAUAUAUAUUUUGGGUUCAUUUGGUUCUAAGCAAUUUGACAAAAUUAUGGAUAAGGCCAUAAGGGUAGUGAAAAUGAUAGUUAUUGGUGCUAAGGGGGAAAUAUACAUUAUUUCUAUAUGAUUAUCUUAAAUACACAUAUUCAUCAACUCAUUUUUUUUUUCUAUUACGUUAUCAACAUAUUAUAUCUAUUAUGUUACUAUCUCUUUUAUAGUAUCAAAUGAGUAUUUGAGUUUUCAAACAAACAAAAAAAUCCAAAUAUAUAUACAAUGGAAAACCGAAGUCCCACGACAAUAAAAUAGAAACAAUUUAUUACCAAAUGUUAAAAUUGAUUAUAAUGAAAUAUUUUGGAAUAAGUACACCUUGUAUAAUGAGACAAAGGAAUAGAUAUCAAAACUAUAUAUAUUUAUUAAAGUUUUUUCUUGGAGCAUAUACAUGUUAGAAACAUUUUAUUUCUCUUACACUCUUAUCUUAAAGUGUUAUGAAGUAUGCCGUCACAUAUUAGCUUUGAAAAUUGUCUGUAUUGAGUCGUGAGGUGUUUGAAUAAAAUCUAUAUAUAUAUUGUCAAAUAUUUCACAUAGCAUCAUACUUUGGUUGUCAUUGAACAAUGAUCAUGCUUUUUUUAAUCUAUUUUUGAAGUUUUGUUUUCCUAUAUUCUUGUGUGGUGAUUGUGUGCUUUGGUUUUUCUAUACUUUUUAUUUCAACAUCUAGUAUUAGAACUUUGAUUUGGUGGAACAUUAAAUUCUUAGUAUAUUUUUUGGUUGCAAUAUUCUCCAAUCUUUUACAUGAGACAAUAAUUUUGAUAUUGUGAAAAUGUAGCUUUAGAAAGGCUGUGGCUAGGAAAGGAUAAGUUGUUGCUAAUCCAUCCAAAAUAACACACAUAAAUUGAUUUGAUUGAUAGUUAUACAAGGUGUGGUGUGACCUUAUGUUGUAGGUUAAAUUUUUUCAAAGAAAUCAACAUAGAAAUUGCACCAUAAUUUUUCAUUCUGAUUUUAUACAUGUAGAAAGUCUUGGAAGGAUUUAACUUCAAGUGAAAUAUAUUUUUUUAUGAUAAAAUAUAAUAACUCUAUUUUAUGGUGCAUGAGGGGAGCUUAGGAGAUGGCCACACUGAGUUUUGAGAAACUACACAGGUGAAUUAGAAAUCAUAUUUUUAUUCAAAAAAUCAAGACAUUAAAUAUAUAAAUCAUAUCACUUAUACGACUUUUAAGCGGCAGUCUACAUAGACCACAUUCAUAAGUGCAUAGUUCAUAAGUAAUCAUCCGUAAAAUUCUUCUCCAUAGCACCACAUAAAGUUUGUUAAGAUGGAUUAGCAAAUUAGAGUUUAAUAAUUUACUUGAUUAAAAUUUCGAAUUGGAUUAAAAAGAGAAAGAAAAAAAAUAAAUUUAUUUAAAAAAAUCAUGUAUUUAAAAAGUAUAUUUUCAAAUAAAUACGCUUUCUUAUAAAUGAUUUUUUAUGAUAAUUUUAUAAUUUAAAAAAAAUCACUUUUACAUAUUAAAAAUCCUAUUUAUGAUAGCAAACAAAUUAAAGUUAAAAAUAAUUUUUUGAAAAAAUCUGUACAUCUUAUAAAAUAAAGAUUAUUUUUAUUUGAGGUGACAGAAACCCACCACUAUUCCAUCCAUUCCCAAUGAAAAAGUUAUCUCCUCACAAUAUACCCGAAUCGCACAUCCACUAUAGCAAUAUAUAUAUAUUUACCGUACUAACGGCCACUUGAAAGUUUCAACCACACCUUUUUCUUCCCUACAAAAGGACACUGUGUCUUUUCUGAUCAACUCAAGUAGAUCUUAUCCUUUUUCAUAUUUAUUUAUCAAAGUAAACUAACAAGUAACAACAGUAGUAAUAGUACUCUAACGGGGAUUCUACACUACGACAAAUUAACCACACAACAACACAAAGGAUUCGUAUAUCUGAGACGUACCAAUUCAAUGGACCCACCAAAUAUGUAACUCUGAAACACAAUCUAAAACUCUAAACUACUCCUCCUCUCUAUAUUUUUAGUGGGUGUUGAAAGUUGCAAAGUUGUGAUCAUUAGUUGAGUUUUUCUUCUUCUUUUAAUUAUUGGUUUUAUAUUUUAAGAUUUGUCUCCUCUACGUCCAUUACUUUCAUUUCCUAAUUACAUACUCUUUCCUCCACAAUAUAUGAUAUUUCUUAAUACCUUUUUAUUUUUCAAUCAUCAGAAAAAGUUAUCAAAUUGUCACCAUAUAUUAUUCAUAGAAAAUUAUUAAAAUUUAAAUAAAGUUUACAUAUUUUAGUCCCUUAAUCAUCUGGUUGAAAAUACAAUCUUUGAUUAUAAAAAAAAAAAUACAUAUUGAAAAAUAUCAAUCCCUUAAAUGAAUCAUAAUUACUUCAACAACAACAACAAAAAUCUCUAUAGUUACACAAAGAGGAAGCAAUUGGUUUAUAAAAAAGAAAAAGAAAUUAAAACAUGUCCAUAGAUAUAUUUUCUUGGCAAAAGAUACAUUUAACUCAUUUUAUACUUUUAAACUUCUACGAUCAUAAAAUUUUAACAUUUUUAUAGAAUUUGGAAAUUUUAAAUAUUUACGGCAUGAAAAUUUUAAAAUUUCAUUUAUAUAAUAUUUUGUUUAUGUUAAUCAAAUUAUUCCAUGAAAUAUAUAUUUCAUAAUUUGACGUUUUGUUGUUUAAAAUUUGAUCAUAAUUUUUAAUAUUUAUAUUCUAUAUCAAAUGAAAAUUAUUUGGACUCUCCAUUUUAUUUAAAAUUUAUCAACUAGCUUAUAACCUGAGAUAGAAUUAAAAUAUUAUUUAUAUAGUAUUUCUUUAUUUAUUAAGUUACUUAAUUUUUUUUAUAGAAGUAUUGAGUUAUUUACUAAUUUUGGUUUCAAUGGCCUUUUAAUAUUUUUUUUUAUUGUGUUCUAAAUAUAUAAAUUAUAUUUUCUUGCAUUGUCUUAUUUUAAUUCAUUUAUCAAUAUUUAUAAUUUAAAUUUAUUAAAAAUGAUUAACUAUUUAGUUUAAAACUAUAUAUUGAAUAUAUCACAACUUCAAUAACCAACCAUAUUUUUAAUAAAUUUGUCAAAAAUUAAUAUAUUUUUUUUUUAAUAAUAAUAAUGAAAUAUCUUUCAAGCAUCGAGGAAGAAAAUAACAAAGUAAUAUAUUACAAAUUCAGUCAAAAUAUAAAAAUCUUAUAUAUACUUUAACUAGUAUAUUUUUGUGGAAAUUUGUAUUUUUCUUACUUUAUUAUUAUUAUUAUUAUUAUUAUUAUUAUUAUUAUUAUUAUUAUUAUUAUCAUACGUUAUGUUAAUUCACACACAUAUAUAUAUUAUUAAAAUAAACUCCUAACUUUUUGCAUGUCAUAAAUAUUCUUAGACGUCACACUAGAAUCUCUUGCUCUAUCUCUCUAUUUCUCAUGCCUUUUAAUUUAUGCCAUCAAUUACAUUUAUGGGCAAUUUUUUAUGUUCUCAGUUUUCCUUUCACAUUCAUACCUAAUCAUUCAUAAGUAUUACCGUCAAUGCUCUUUGUCCAACCAUUUGUAUUAUCUCAGUAUUGUAACUUUUAUAAACUAGUCGAGUGACAAAUUAGAUUAUACUUACAAUUUGGUUUGUGAUUUUAAACUUGUGAUCGUCAUUAUGCUGCAAAUAUUUAUAUUUCAAAUGUGGUUUAAAUUGCAGCUACAAUGUCAUUGGAGCCGCAAUCAGGACCAUGAACCACAAUUUAAAAUCAUGACAUAAAAAAAGACUCAAUAAUAUGAUGAGUCCCCUCUUCCUCAAAUCAAAUUGUAGUGAAGAAUUGAAGAUAACCACAUGACCUAGAGGACUAGAGUCGAAGGGAGAAUAUUAUUUUAAUUUUUAAGGUAGACUUUCGACUUUACAAUAAUUUUUUCAUAAACAAAUGAUUGCAUUAAUCAUUUAGUGAUAGACAACUAUUUCAUUACUUUCAAUACAUUUUGGAUUGCGAUAUAAUUUCAUACACAAUUACUUUUGAAAUUGGGAAUUAGGUCUCAUAAUAGAUGUUAAAUCAAUCAAUAUUUCUUCGCGUCAGUCAAUCACAUGCAUCAUAUAUCGUAUUUGGGUGUUGUUGUUAUAAGCUUUUUCUUUCUUCUAAGUUUUUUUUUCUUCUUCUUUUUAUGAAUGUGUCAUAAGCUACCUUCAAUCACAUAUUCCAACUUUAAUGUGUAACAAUUUCUACAAAUAUUAAUGUUAUAUCUAAAUUUGUCGUCACCAUUAUUUUUAUUAUACCAAUAAAACUUAAAUUAAUCAAAACUAUUGAUUGUCAACGACUUGGUCAUUUCACUUAUGUCCAUUCAAUACAUGAUCAAGCGUAUGAGUGAAAUACCUUUUUUAUAUGAAGUUGUAUGUUAUAUAUAAGUUUUUCUCAUGAGUUAUUUGUACUACAACUAGCUUUGUUAGGUUGUUCAAACUUUAGUUACAUAUUUUUUAUUAGAAAACUAUUACUAUUUCUCAAUACAUUUAAAUCCAAUAUAAGUGACUAAACUAAAUUAAUUCAAAUCUAACGAAGAUCUAUAUACCUUUAAGUAUAUGGAUUCAUAUAUACUUCUAUAUCUCAAAAUUUCAAGAUCUACUAUAGGGGUAAGGUAAGCUAUAGAUACUUUACUCAUAAUAACAUCAUUUAUGAAACCAAACAAGUCAUAACAUUUCAUACUCAUAUAAUUUUACAAAUAAUUUUUUAAAUCUCAAUAUUUUUAAUAUAAAUAUCAAAUGAAUAUUGUAAAUAAAUAAAUUAAUAAUUAUAAUAUUAUUAAUAUAAUCAUUUUAUAAAAUAAAAGUAUAUAUUCUAUUUGAUAAAAAAUACACAAAUUUAUUAAAAAUUAUCAAAAAAUAUGAACAUAUUAAAAUUAUUAUAAAAAAAAUUAAUGAAUAAAAUUUUACGAUACAUAAAUUAUGAAAAAUAUACUAACACUCAAUUUUCGUCAAUUAAAUUAUUUAUUUGUAAUUGAAUGCUCACCCAAUAUGACUUUUUGUUUUAAAAAUUCCUUACUAUAAUAAAAUUUUGAAUUUUAAAAAGUAAAGGAAAAAUAAUGUUUUGCAUAAAAUUAAAUUAGUUUGAAAUAAUUUUUUUUGGGUCCAUAUCAACAUAACUUAUACAAUUCAUAAAAAUUUUAUAAUCAAAUCUAUAAUAUUGCACAAACAAUUAAUUAAAACUUUGUAAAAUACAUCUUGUGGUCCUUUAAAUUGAAUUUAGGUAACAAUUCAGUGUUUUACUUUCAUUUUUUGUUUCUUUUGAUUUUAUUAUUUAUUUAAUUCUAAGUAAUGAUUUGAUCAUUUAUGUCUUAAAAUGUCAAAUUUUAAGAUUUGUAGAUGAAAAUAAGUUUAUUUGAAUAUUUGAGUUAUGAAUUUGAUGAAAAUAUGGUUUUUGUUGAAGACAAUGACUAAUUUUCUGAGUUUUGUUUGAAUAUGAUGAUUAAUUUUGUGAAUUUAUGCAGCAAAUGAUAACAUUGUUUAUAUUUUAAGACAUAAAUGAUAAAAUCGUUACUAAAAUUAAAUAGCAUCAAAUCGGGAAAAGAAAGACAAUGACCAAAUUUUUACCUGAAAUUAAGUUAAGGAAACGUGAGAGGUAUUUUGUCAAAAUUUCAAAUACCUAAAACUAUAUUUAAAAUAUAUGUAAAUCUUUAAUAAAAUAAAAUUCAAACUCUUGAUGAAAUAUAUCCAAUAAACAAUUUCUUUUACAAAUAAUUCUCAUGCUCGCAAUUAAAAUAUCUUGCUAAUAAAACAUAUAAAUUUAAAUUGCACUACAAUAUAAUUUAACAUUAGCAUUUUUAAAAAUAAUAAAUAUUAAAUAUUAAACUAUAUUUUUAAGUUUUUACAUCAUAUUUUUUUGUUUGUAUUUUACUUUUUAUUUCAUUUAAUAAAUACAAAUAACUUUAUGUGAUGAAAAACAAUUUGACAAUCAAAAUAUAAAGAGAAAAAUUGACAACCAUGCAGUAUUACAAACUAUCGUGCAAAUAUGACAAAAAGUUAAGAAAAUAAAAUAAAAUAAUUGAUAUACAUGAUUUCAUCUCAUUUUAAUUUCCCCUAAUGAUAUUCAAUUAUUUCAAAUUAAUUGAUUAAUAUUAUAACAUAACUAUAUUUAUAAUAUAUUUAUAAUAUAUAAAAUAUUACUUAUAAAACUUAUAAAAUUAUUUAAGUAAUAUUAGUGCAACGAGCACGUCUUAAUCUUGUUAAGAUUAAUUGUGUCACACUAUAAAUUUAAGAGUGUAAUUACUAUCAUCUUACAAUUUAAAAGUUUACAACGUUAGUACAUCACAAUCAUUCAUAGUUAUGACUUUUGAUAUAAUUAUAAUAAAAGUCAAAGAUUUCUAAUGACUCGAUAACUGAAAUUAAUUAAUAGUAUAAAAACUUUUACACCGUUAAUACAUACAAAUUAAAUUAUAAAUUUAAUAGUAAUAACUUAUCGUGAAAUAAAAAAGAGUAAUGGAUUGUUCUAUUAAUUAUAAUUCUACGUGUACUAGUGCAAAACAAAUGCUACAUAGACUUGUUAUCUCACCAUAUUUUAAAAUACAUCGUCCUUUUUCGAUAAGAAUUGAAAAAAACGUAACAUUGCAAAUGUUUUAAGAAAUAAUCUAAAUAAAAAUUUAACUUGUCUAAAAUUGUCUCUUAACGUAUAUUUAACAUUAAAAAUUGGACUUUAUAAUUUAAAAAAAACACAAUUAAAAAUUCAACUGAAAUAGUUGUAGAAUAACCAUUAUUAUCACGGUUGUUUGUAAUAGUUAAUUUUCUGUUUCCCAACUUUUUUAAUAAAAAACUUGUUUAAAUUUGAUUAUAUAUAGCUAAUAAGUGAUGUGGUGAUGACAGUGCAAGAAGGUGGGUUGCACGCUAAGUAGCUCCAUGUUGUGCACCGACUUGCUGAUGUAAUGCUCCUACCUUCAUGUGCUCUACUUAUAUUUGGCAGACAUGACCACCAUGCCAAAUUGUCAAUCACAGUUGUUAUUAGUAACAUGUUUCACAAAGGGUCUGCUCUAUUGGAUCUCUGUGGAUCAUUAAAGUAUGUUUUUAUUGGUUAUAACUUUUCUAAAGUGAGUCCAAUUGUUUCAUCAACAAAUUUUAAGGAGAGUUAGGUUUAGAGAACUCAUUAGAGUCAAACAAAGUACAGUUAUACUAAAUUCUUAUCAACUAUUAUGAACAAAGUAUUGAUUAGUAUUUUAUGUGUAACAAUAACAAGUGAAUGGUUUCAAAUAAGAUUUAUAGCAAUUUUAAUAUUGGAAAGCUUCUUUUAGUUGAUGCAAUAGUUAUAGAUAAUUUGUUAUAAAUAAAGAGAUAUAAUAAUAAUAAUAAUAAUAAUAAUAAUAAUAAUAAUAAUAAUAAUAAUAAUAAUAAUAAUAAUAAUAAUAUAGUAAUAUAUAACUAAAUAUUUAAAAAUAAUAAUAGAUCAUUGAGAAACACGAAAUUAAAAGAAACAUAUUCAAAAUAUUACUCUUAGAAAUUAAUAGUAAUCACCGUGUUAAUAAAAAUUAUAAAAGAAUUAAUAAAAUAAUCACAAUAUUUUUUAGAUUUUAAAUUGACAAUAAAUAUUUACAAAAUAUAAAAAUAAAACUAUUUUAUUGACAAAGAUAUAAACAACUUAGGCCUUACAAAAUUGGAGCAUGAGGCAACUAACUGCAUCGAUUGUGAACGGCCCCACAAUUGGGUAACAAGUUGUAUCAAUUCCGUUAGGCUUCAAAAGUUUAUUUGAGCUUUGAUAAAUAAAUAAAAAAAAACAUUUAUAUUUUUUGUACAAAAGCUAUAAAAUUAUUUAAAAAAUCACCAAUUUUUUUGGAGCCACAUCGGCGUCUAUUGCAAUUGGUGUACAAUGUGUUUGAGUGUUAUAAAACUCAGAGUAGUGACUUUAAUUCUUACUAAUAAAAAAAUUAUAAAAUGAAGUCAUAUUUCAACCCUAUUAUUUUGUGGAGCGCGUUUGGUUUGAUAUGGGUAAUGGAUUUACCAAUGAUUUUUGUCUAUAAAAAUUUAUAUCUUUAAUUAUAUCUAUAAUUGAUAUAUAAAGUUGUCCUAUAUUGCACUUCACUAUAGACUACAAAGCUUAACAGGUCACAAUUACUUUCAAUUUAUAAGAAAGUCCUAAACAAUGAUAUAAUGUAUAACUUUAAAAUUGCUGAUGCCAUUGACUAAAACUAAACACAAAAAGAAAGAUAAUUUGUGGGCUUCAGAAUCCGUUAGCAUAUGAUUAAAAUUGUUUCCUAAAAAAGAAAUCAAGUUUAUAUAUGCAAUCCACGAAGUCAUUAAAUUUGAUCUAAUCCAAAGAACCAAAUAGGAACCACUAUUAUCGUGCCAUGUGUAAAAGGAAGGUUUGUAAGUGCGAGAGUUUGGAGGCCAAUUGGAUGCACAUUGCAAUGGAGUUUUUGGCCUCUUUGCAAAAGAAACAGCUAGUUUUCUUGUUUGUUAAGCAUCUAGUCCUUUAGCUUUCAUUUCUGUGCAAAAGAAAUAGUUACUUUCUUCUUGCACCAAGUUUUUAGAAAGCCAAUUAUGAAAUAACACCACCAAAAAAGACAACUAAUUUUAAAUUAUAAAACAAUAAUAAUCACUUAUAGUCAAAAAAAUUUCCACCAAUUGUAUGCUUGAGCAUUGUUAGAUAAUAUUUCAUUGUUAACAAGCAUAACCAAAUAAAGAGGUGUCAUCAUUAUAAAUCUUAAAAAUAUCAUUUUUAAUAUAAAUUAAAAAUAAAAUUCUAAGUUUAAUUUAUAUGUAUUUUCAAUUUAAAACGACAAAUUAUAACUAAUUAUAUAAAUAAUUUUAUAAGUAAUUAUAACAAAAAUUAAAUAUUAUUAAUGAUCUAACAACUAUGAUUUAUUGAUAGUAUAAAUUUUUUUUAAAGCAUAUAAAUUAAAUUAUAUAAUUUAGUGAUUUAUUAAUUUAUAUAAUAAAAUAAGAAUUUAGCAACUUACAAUUGUUUGGUAAAAAAAAACUUACAAAUGUUAAAUAUUUUACAUAAUCUCUCAAAAUUUUCAAUGUUUUGUAGAAUGAUGAAACACUUGACAUUUUUUGUAGCCCACUAAGAAUCUUUAACAUUAAUUAGUACAUAAAUUUGCAAUAUAAAAAAAUUUCAAGUUAAAACUAUGAUAAUUAUGUAGUGUACAUAGCGAGUAUAGUACUCUAAAAAUUAUACUUCAUAAUUUUCUAUUGAACACCUUGUUAAUUAUUUAACUUUCAUAUAAAUUUUAAUUCUAAUAUUUCCAUAUAAUGUUAUAUAAGCAACAAACUUAUAUAUAUACACACAUUUUUUUUAUAAAUAUUAUAUAAUUUUAAUUAUAUAAAUAUUAACCCAUACCACCAAUUAUAUUUUUUUUUUGUAUUUCUAGAAAAUCACCUUAUGCAGUCGUACAUCUCAACAACACUCAGUGCUAUCACUGAUUUGUGUUUGGAUAAUGGAUUAAGAGUCUUCCAACUUAAUAUGUGGUCUAAAAUAAAAAUCUAGGUCUAAAAUUUCAAUUAAUAAAGGAGAUGCCAAGUUCACGUAAUAUAAACGAUUACUCUUUACCGUUACAUUCAGAUAUAAUAUAUGCCAAAAAAUUGUAAAAAUGUAUACAUUGCAUAAUAUUGAAGGUAUUAUCAAAUUUUUUCUUUCUUCGUUUUGUUUUUUCAUUUGUUCAGAUUGUAUGGAGGAGCUAAUUUCCACAAUUUUCAAUUAUGCAACUUUUGAAUGAAAAUUAAAAAAGCACUUCCAUUUUAAAUUUUUUAAUGAACCAAAAAAGUUUUAUAAUUGAGCUAAACAAAAUUAGAUUAGUAUGAAUGAGUCAACAAAAAAAAAAGCUUAUGGUUUAAUUUCUUGAGAAGGAAAGGAAAGAUUGAACUUUAGAAAGAGAUUUUUCCCAUUGUUUGCCAUGGCGUCACCCAACAAAAGGAACAACAUUUGUCACAUGAGCAUUCCAUCAUGCACCCUCCUUAGUUUAGACACCUAUGACUCUACCACCACAUACGUCCACUCAACCAUGAACAUAUUAACACACAACACCCACUCAAAGGGGGCAUAAAUGAAGGAGGUAACUAAUAAACUAAUUCAGUUGUUAAUUGACUAUUUAUAACAUCAUCAUGUUAUUCAUGAACUUAAACACAAAGGAAAGCAAAAACCCAUAUAUGACCUUAAUUAUUAUUGGAGAACGCUCUAUGACAAUGAAUUUUGUGAAUUUAAAGUUUCUUAUAAUUCGAAUUAAGUUCUCUCAAAUAAUUUAAUUUUAACUAAAAUUUAUUAAUCAAUUAAGUUCAAAGAUCACUUAACUUAAAAAUACAUAACUAUGACACAAAUAACUUAAAUUUAUUAUUAUUAUUAUUAAAAUCAUAAUUAUUUACAAGUAACUAAAAUAUGUGUUUGUUCAAAAGGGAGUUGGUCAGUUGGAUUGCCUGAAAUAAAUUUAAUGGAGCAACAAAAUGGAUAAGCUUGCAGCUGAUGCAUUAGUGUGAUCAUGCACUAAAAAAACUACUCCAUUCUCUUUGAUAAAGAGACACUCACGCGUUGUUUUGUAUAUUAAUAUACACAUGGCCAGCCAUCGAAUGAAGUUUCAUAUACAUGACAUUUAUGAGGAAUUCUCCCAGUAAAAUUAGUAUUUGAAAAUCAGAAAGCCAUCCGAUGAUUUGGGAGAGAUCGAGGGACAAAGAUCGAGUGAUUUCAACAAAUAAAAUUAAUAUUCACUAUUUUAUUUAUUUUAAAUAUAGUAGUAUUUGAAAAUCCGAUUAAGUUUAUCUAUAGUGAACAACUAUAGAUUAUAAAUCGAGUAAUAUCAACCGUUGAUAAACAAAUUAGUGACCGAAAUAAUAUGCACAUGAAUCACCAAUUAUAUGUAGUUAUAAUCUUAACGUUUGAUUUAUUUAUUUUAAUAACCACUUUUGAUGAAUCAAAUCCUUAUAUUGGAGAACUCACUUUAAAUUUUAUCAUCGCUAUUUUACUAACGACAUCCAUAUUUUGUCCUACCUUUCUCUAUAUCUCCACAUUUGCUCUCGCUUUCAUGAUUCUCUCACGAUUCUAAAUAUUAUUUUCUCUUAUUUUAUCACAAGUUACUUUACUUUUAAAAGUACAAAGGUCUAAAUCCCUAUUUUGCUAUUACUAGAGUGUAGACCUUGCAUCCAAUACAAAUCCUUCAUUUUGAUUUGGAAUAUUUGAUAUAGAAUUUCACUUGUAAAUAUACGCACUUCUUCUAAGACCGAAAAAAUUGAUAUAUACUUAAUCUUAAAUUUUAUAAAACUAGAUACCUUAGUUAAUCAGAAUUACAUACAUCAAUUUAUUAGUUGAUUUUUUUUUGUUUAUAUUUCACUCUAAACAUAGUAUUGAGGAAAAUCAAAUAUAGCAAAUUGAAUAAUUUUUUUUUCUUCCAUAAACUAAGACGAACUAGGCUUAAACAUCUAAUAUUCAGAACCAUGAUGACAACGACACACCACUUUUCAAAAUAUGGUGGCAUAAUAGGAAUCAAUCAAAUUAAGUAAUCGUCAUUUUAUCUAAUUGUUGUAUUUGUAGCAUUGCAGGUAGAGCUGUCAAUUUGACAAGCCCCUUAAUUAUUGACUUCAACCAACAUAUUAUAGGGGCAAAAAAAUUUAUAAUUUAAAAGGCCCCAAAAAGAAAACCCCUAAAAUUUUGUGGGCUUAGUGCCACGUUUUCAAAAAAAAAAAAUCGAUUUGUUUUUUUAAAAUAAUUUUGACAAUUUUUUUUAAUUUUUUUGAGAAAUAAUUUUUUUCGAUAUUUUUACCAAUAAAAAAAAUUCAAUUUUUUUUAUUCGACAAAAAAAUUGAUUUUUUUUGAGAAUUUUUGAUUUAUUUUUCUCACCAAAUUCUUCGAGAAAAAAAAUAUUUUUAAAUAUUUUUCGAAAAAAAUAAAUUUCGAAAAUUUAUCAAGAAAAAAUAUCAAAAUAUUGGGGCCUAUAAGCUCUCUGCCCCUUCUAUUAAGCCCCAUGAAAUAAUGCGCCGAGAUUUUGAAAAAAUUAUUUUGAUAGGGGGCCUAAUAUAAAGGGUUUAAUAAAAAAAAAUAAAUCAAAGAGGCCUAGCAGUUAGGGGCUUUUUUGACAGCUCUACUCACAUAUAUUCCACCUCUCUACCAAAUAUCAGUAACCCUUUAUAAAACUUAUUUAUUCUACUCACAUCUAUUUCACCUCUCUACCAAAUAUCAAUAACCCUUUCUAUUUUCCAAAUGCUCUUCUUCUUCAUGGCAUUCGUCACUGCCACCGCAAUCUCUUGCCACUUUUCUCCCUUCAAGUCCAAAAUCCUCAUUCUUCAAUGGAAGAACAAUUGCUACCCACNNNNNNNNNNNNNNNNNNNNNNNNNNNNNNNNNNNNNNNNNNNNNNNNNNNNNNNNNNNNNNNNNNNNNNNNNNNNNNNNNUAUUCCACCUCUCUACCAAAUAUCAGUAACCCUUUCUAUUUUCCAAAUACUCUCCUUCUUCAUGGCAUUCGUCACUGCCACUGCAACAUCUCUUGCCACUUUUCUCCUUUCAAGUCCAAAAUCCUCAUUCUUCAAUGGAAGAACAAUUGCUACCCACACCUCCCACAUCAUCAAAUCCACCUCCCAUAACAAUUCUUCAAUCUCCAUGUCCCUCAACACACACGAUCUUCAUUUCUUCAAAUUCGAACCCAUCGAAGAAUCCACCGCCUCUCAUGAAAUGUCACGCCGUUACAUAACAUACAUGGUUACCUACACCGACGUUGUCAUCCUUGGUGCUAGUUCAUUCGGUCUCUCAUGCGCUUAAGAAUUAAGCAAAAACUCUAAUAUUAGUAUAGCCAUAAUCGAAUAAUUCGUCAAUCCCGGUGGCAGUGCUUGGCUCGGCGGCCAACUCUUCUCUGCCAUGGUUGUCCGCAAACCAACUCACCUCUUCCUCGACGAAAUUGAAGUUGAUUACGACGAACGAGAAGAAUAACGUUGUAAUCAAACACGCUGCUUUGUUCACUUUAAUGAUCUUGAGCAAGCUUCUCGUUAGAUCUAACGUGAAAUUGUUCAAUGUUGUUGCUGCUGAGGAUCCGAAUGUGAAAGAAGGAAGAGUUGGUGGUGUUGUUACAAAUUGGGCUUUGGUUUCAAUGAAUCAUGAUAUAUAGUCUUGUAUGAACCCUCAUGUUAUGGAAGCCAAGGUUGUUGUGAGUUCUUGUGGACAUGAUGGUCCUUUUGGUGCUAGUGGCUUAAAAAUGCUUGAGUGUGUUUGUAUGAUUGACUUUGUUCUUGGAAUAAAUUCACUUGACAUGAAUACCAGUGAAGAUGCUAUUGUUCGUCUUACUAAGGAGAUUGUUCCUGGUAUGGAAGUUGUUGAAAUGUAUGGAACUCCAAGAGUGGUAAGCUUCUUUGUUUUCGGUUCAAGGUUAAUUACUGUGUUUGGUUCCUAUAUGAUAAUAAUUGAUACUAGUUGAUUUUGACUUAAGUAAUUUUUAUGAAAUAGAUGUUAAAUACUUUGAAAGUAAAGUUAUUUAUAUUAGGUAUGUUUAAAAUAAAGAAUAAUAAUUUUUAUCUAUUUCAAAACAAUAAUUGUUUUUGUGGGUAUGUAUAUCAAUAAAUUUGAAAAAUAUUCUAGGUAUCAUAGAAGCUAAAUAUAUUUGCUUUUAAAAAAUUUAUUUUGUGAUUUAAAUCAAUUCUAAAGUUGGAAGUCAAACAUAAUAACCAUUUAUGGUUAAAUUAAAUUAUGUUUGAUUUAACCAAAUAUGAUUCUAGGAGUUAAUGUGUGUGUAAAUAAUGUAGGCUUGGACAAUUUUGUGUGUAAUGAUAUAUUGAGUUAAUGUUGUGCAGGAACUAGAAUUUUUGUUUAUAAUCUACCAAAUAAAAUAAUAUUUUGUUUAUAGGCUUGUUUGUACAAUUUUGAUUUAGGAAGUGAUUAAAGUAAUGUCGAAAUUAAUAUCAGGUUUUUUUUAGAUAUUUUCAACUGCAAGUUGAUUGGUUUUAAUGCAAUUAAUUUGAAGAUGGUAAGAAACAUUUGGUUAAGAUGUGAUAACGAUUUUGUUGGUGAUUUUUGUAGAGUCCAACAUUUGGAGCUAUGAUGAUAUCAAGACAGAAGGCAGCUCAUUUGGUAUUGAAGGUAUUGGGGAAGAACAAUGCAAUUAAUGAAACAUCAGUUAAAUCGAUUUAGUUUUUAGUUUAUUUUUCAUUUGCUUUUCUUCUGCAUGUGAUUUGAACUCAAUAAUGAAUAAAGAAAAUGCGAAUGAAAUGAUCACACAUGUGUGUCACUCAAGAGUAUAUUUUUUUCAUAUAUGUAUUUAGACAAACAAAUUGUCAGAACAUGUAGCAAUUUACCCAAUCCAAGUAAAAUCAAGCCAUAAAUAACCACCAUACAAUUCAAAAUGUAAGCACGUGUUAUGGAAGUAAACUUUGAAUAAAUAUCUUUAUAUAUUUUUGGACUUUACAAUAAUUUUAAUACAAAAACAAGUCAAAAUUAAUAUUUAAAAUAUUUAAUUAACUUUUUCAAGCACCUCUACGAUAAACAUCUCUAUAAAAUUUAGUUACUUAAACUUUAUUUAUCAAAUUUUAAACAUAGUUUCUUUUUUAUUGAGAAUGGAAAGAUUAAGACACAAUAAUUUGAAUAAAGUACCCAUUAUGUGUAGGUAAAAACCCGAUGUAUGUGUAUGGGUAUAGGCAUGGGUAAUUAUCAAUGCACCCUGCCUGCACCCGCAUAAAAUUGAAUCAACUUUUUCAAGAGGUGAAUUCAGCAUCAAGACGGGAAAUUCUCGAUUGGGUUCUUCUUAUGGAAGCUUAUCACACUCUCCUAUGGGAAAAUUUUCAUCUGGGUGUGAAAAUCCAGUUCUUGAAAUUGAAACCAUUAAUAAUACUCAUGGAGUAUUCAAUGGGUGUCUUUCUGCAAGUGAAAUAGAGCUAUCAGAAGAUUAGGGAUUGAUGUUGGGUUGUUCACAUUUUUGUCUUUUUGAUGGUAUAUUAGUGAAUGAAAAAUGACAAUAAUGAAGUUGAGAGUGGGGACAACCGUUCAAAGUAAAAACAAUUUUCAUCCAUUCAAAUUAUAUCCACAUCUCUUUAUAAAACCUAUUUAUUCUACUUACAUUGCAGACGAGGAUGAAAAUUUGAAACUUUAGAGUUUCUAACCCUUUAUUAAGGUUUCAUAUUUGGAUUUGGAUUAUUUACAACGAUAGAAUGGUAUUAUGAUUGUAUGACACAUAAGAUUUAAAGAGAUAAGAAAAUCAUGUUUCACUGGUAGAAGAUCCAAUUUUGUUACUAGUCUAAUCUUUUUUUUUUACAAGUUUUACCUUUGAGAAAAUAAUUUAGCAAAAGUAUUCCUCAACACUUCAUGGUAGAAGAUCCAAUUUUUUUACCUUUGUAAAAUGGACCCAAAAGUAUUUUGAAUUUUUUUUAUGGAACAAGUAUUUUGAAUUUGGGAGGUAGAUAUUUCAUAAUUAUUAUUUUAGAGUUAAAUUUAUUUUAACCCAGUAUAAAUGUUCUCGUAGUUUAGUCUUUGAAGUUUUACCUGCCUUCAAAGAAUUGAAAGCCCAAACAAACCUCAGUUUUUACGUUCUCACACAAAAAGUCAAAAAGUAAUAUCAUUUUUAUGUAAUAAAUGUUGAUUUCUCUCUGCCUAUCUUGGUAUGAUAUUUUGAUGCAUCUUUUUCAUAAUCACAUUGAUCCCCUCAGAUUAGAAUCCAGGUUUUUUCAAGUUGGGAAAUUUUCUGUGCCACCGAAUAGAAAAAGACAUGGCCACCUCACACCUGGUCUCAUCCAGCACAACAAUAUCUUUUUCAUUCACUUUGAUUCUUUCAUAAAAAAUACAUUCCAGCCCCUCAUUCCCGAAGUUUCUGUAGGGGGGUCGUGCUGAAAACUUUGAUUAAACAAAAUAAUGUAAUUAGAAAAUAUUAUUAGGAAAAAUGUGCAUCUUACCCUCAAGGAUUUUAGAGACUCUCAACGAUUUUCAUUGAGCCUAAUUUGGGAAGCACAUACUCAUAAGAUAACCCCAUAAGUAACAUAUGGCAACUCAAAAAGCUCCUUGCUCCUUACCACAUUAGUAAUUCCAUUUAUACUCAGAAAGCCAUAAGCAUAUUAAACUUCACUUCUUUCUACUAAAAUGAUGCUUUUAUACAAAACUCAAUACACUAUGUGCAUAUCACGCUAUAAUACAUGGAAUAAAGAAAAUAUUCAAUAGAAAAAAAAUCAAUAUACUACUAAUUUUACAUUUUCCUGCCGAGCCAAUAUUUCCAAUUCUUCUGUGCCACAUCUAUUUCGAUUUCAUUGCACUGUAGUAAGCAUGGUCAAUGCUGUUACAUACUUGCAACUUCUCCAAAGGACUUUACCCUCACUGGAAAAUGUCAAGAUGAAUAGAACGUCUAUAGCCUGGAAAAGUAAAGAAUUAUUGAUCAAUCUCUGAGAAAAUUGUGAUCCUUUGGUGAUGUUAACUUCCCUCCAAAUCCUGCUUGACGCAUCACCUCUGCAAUAUAAGCUUGACAUUGUCAUGUUUCCAGAAAAUAAUAACAUUCUAAAACUCAAUAACUCCAACAAAAAUAGAGAGAAAUUAAGAAAGGAGCAACAAAUAAUAGGUCAUGGUUCUCAGACAGCUUUGAAUUCAGGUAUAUGGAGAUGACCUAUAAUUCAAGACAAAACAUGAAGUCAUCAAACUUCAAUACUUUAUUUGGCAUAAUGUUUCUGGAUUGAAGUUUGAUGACUUCAAUCAAAGAAACCUGCUUAGAUUUUUUAGGAACAUCCCCUCCUAAAAUUUUGAUUUUGAAAAUAUCAUUUUGUCAUCACCAUUUUUUUAUUAUUACUAUAACCAAGUUUCAUACAAGGAGGCAUUUUGUUAGAAAAAAGAUUUUAAAAAAAUGAUGCCUGUUUAGGGUGUACUACGCCUUUAACAAAGUAAAAAAGAACUAAUAAACAAUAAUAAACAGCUAAAUGCUUGAUGCUCAGAUGGGCAACUUCCUAAGCUAACACUUCAGGACUAAUAUGCUAUAAAUUGAACCUCCGAAUAAUGUUAUGCACAUCUAGGAGUACCACAAACAAAAAAUGAAACGAGUUCCAAACUUCUGGCUAUACUCCCGGCAGAUCAGUUAGUUAUUGACAACAUUGAAUAUUUCAUAUAUUUUGAAUAAUGUUUCCCUUCAAGUUCAAGGUCGGCCAACUAUCCAAAAUUUUCUAAGCAUAUAUACUCUUAACUAGUUCAAUCUGACAUUUUAGUAUUAGGACUAGCCUUUUAGGCUAAAAGAUAGAUCCCCUAUAAUAAGGAAGUCAAACUCUCAAUGUGAAUUUCAUAGGACUUUGUAUUUUGUAAUGCUUGCAAUCUCUUUCAAGUUCUUUCCAGCAUUUCUAAUGCUUCCCCCAUAGUAGCUCAUCCAGGCUCUUCUAAAGGUGAUUUUAGUAUUUCCAUAACUAUUUUAUAAAGCAAGGAGAACUAGCAUAUGUAAAGCCCAAAAGGUUAAAUGGAAAAUGGGACAGUCCCUGCGCCUAGAGGAGAGAAAAAAGGAAACUGCAUUAUUUAGUUGCCAAGAAAACAAAAAACUUGCCUCGCGUCUGCUCAAGCUCUUCGGCAAGUUCUUCUUUCCAUUUCCUUUGUCUAUCAGAGAAGCUUGAGCUGCAGAUGAAAACAACUUCAAUUUCAGUAUGCAGGUAGAUUAAACAAAGGUCCGCCAGCCACUGUGAAGCACCAAAUACAAACCUAACACUAGAUGAUCCCAGCUCAGCAUCAUAAAGAGUCUCCUUUGAUUCAUUAAGCUCGGAUGGCUGAAUUUCCUGCAAAGGUCUACUAUGAGCAGUCACACCACUAAGCUUAGUAACAUAUUUUCUGUGGUUCUCAGGGCUUGUUGCAUUGGCAAUGCUAGCCAUUGAAAAUCUUCGUUUAGCUUGACUAGGAGACCUGCUUUUUAAUAUUAAAUUUGAGACAUCUGAAAUAACUUUACUCUGUGCAACAGCAACAGGAGCAUGAGGAAUGGCUGCAUUAGAUUUGCCUAAGAAUUCUUCAUAAAGAGGUGUUUGGAGCUUCUUCAGUUCAAAGGCCUAAUGUAAAUCAUCAAAGAAAAAAAAACAGUUUAUAAUUCCAACAAUGUAACAUUUAAAGAGAAAUGCAAGAAAACAAAUGGCUAUUGAGUACUACUACAUUGAAAGUCAACAUAUAUGUGAUUUGGUCUCAUACUAAAAUAGAACCUUAUCAUCCAAGAAAGCUCUAAUUUUGGACUCUGUGACUUCAUCGUCGUCUUCAACUGCAAGAGGUUCACUUGAAAAUGAGAACUCAUUAUCGGCAUUAGGAGAUGGUUCGGGACUCAUAGUUUUCUUGAUAGUUUGAUCUGGGGACAAGUUCAGUCUGCUUUUCUUCAAAUUUAGUGUUUCAUCAAACUUGCAAGGCCAGUCAUCCUCCACAGGUUCGCACAUUGGAUUGAAACUCUAUUUCAGUGAUUAUAUCAGCCAUUCAGCCAAGUGUUCAACAAAUACUAAUCAUGAAAUAUCUAAACAGUGGAAAAAUGAGAAAAAAAUUGGCACCUUAAUGUCGUCAACAGCAAGUAGGGAUUUAGAUUUUACUGAUGAAGCAACGAAAAAAUCAUCUUUAUCAUCCAUCUGACACAUGUCAUCAUCAUAGUUGUCUGAUUUUAUAAGAUUUGCAUGAUAUACAGUCGAGAACCUUAAACUAUCCAUCUGACAAACAUCCUUUAGGCCUGUGCAUGUUGAUCCUUGGAUAGAAACCAAACUGCAGAACAGAAGAGAAGUUGAUGCUCCAUCCCCAUGAGAAUCCACAAACAACAAAUGUUAUCCAGUAUACUUACAAGUUUCUAGAGUUCAUCCCAUUUGUUGCCAUCUGAUUGCAAGAGUCCUAGAUAUUGGAAAAAUAAACAGUUAUAAAAAGUAAGAAGUUGUGAAUAUGGUCUGUGUUUACAUUGUAUAAACUCGCACUAGAGAUACUAACCCUGAUCGAACUGCAUGAUAUUGAAUGAGAUUCUGGAUACUCACAGGUAAUGAAUGGAUGCUGCAGAUAAUAGGUACAAUCACUAUAAUGUUUUUGAAGGAAAGCUAAGUUAAAGGAGCAAACAAAUUCAAAUGUCUGUAAUUGUAAUUGAAUAUUACGUAAGUUGGCUGAAGAGGAGGAAGAUGUGCAAAAUACCAGUAACAAGUCUGAUGCAGAAGGUCUUAAAUUUGGUUCCCUGCCACCACAAAUUGAUGGGUAAUGAUUAGAACUUAAAUGUUAAAUUGUUUCACUGGCCUUUUUAAAGCAAAUGCAGUCAGGAUAAAAUAGUGUUGUUAUAAUCAAAUGUGAAUGGUAAAAGCGUUUUAUAUGUACUUGUGAAAGCAUUUCAGCAAAAAGUCCUUUGCCUCAGUAGAGAGAUGUUCAGGUAUGGGUGGGUGAGAUCUAGUUGUCCCAAUGUAGAAAAGAGCUGAAACCUAAAAGAAAAAUAAGCUUCAGCAAAAACAUUUCAAAGAACAAAGUUGCAGAGAGAGAGAGAGAGAGAUAGCAACUUAUGAAAGUACGUAAUAAAAUUAGAUUGCUAAGCAAACUUGAACUUAAAGCGCGUACCUCCUGAGGAUACUGUUGACUCCAUGGAGGCUUUCCUGUGGCCAUCUCUAUCACAGUGCAUGCAACACUCCAUAUAUCAGCAGAGCUAAUAAAUCAUAAGUUAGGUUCCGUCCCAAAAAUCAGUUGUAAUUAUAAUAAAAUCUUGUGACCCAAAACAAAGAACAUGUGUUCAUCUUAUUGGUGAGGUCAGAUCCUAUUGAAACCUGACCACUUGAAACUCAAAAGGGGCAGAAAAAGGUUUGCAGAUGAGUAAAAUAUUAAGAAAGGAUAGAAACAAUAAUAUACAAAUAGAAACUAGUUUUCAGUGAUCUUAGCUUUAGAAGUGGACUGCACUUUCUGGAAUUCGUUAUUGUGAUGGCUUAACUAUCCUGAUUGACCCAUAGAUAGAAAAGUUGCUCUAGAAUUGAAGGGGAAGGGCAAAAGAAAGAAUAACAUAAAAAAUUCACGCAACUAACACUCUUCCCCAACCACCCAAAAGUCUAUAUUACUAUUGUUUGGAACCAAAGUUGGCCGAGGAAAAAAGCAAAUGCUACAGAAAUGACGGUAACUAAUCCCAUUAAUUGUUUCUAGGUUCCUAAUAAUAAAUUGAAUUCCGUAAUUAUGGUGAGAUAGCAAGUACAGACCUCAACAUUCCACAACAGAUAAAUAUUUCCUUUUAUUUCAUAUCAUACAAAAUCCUUAUUGGCUUUUGAAAACAUUAAUUGUGACAAAUAAACCUUCAGAUGCAGAGUUAGGUGAUUUGGGAACUACGAUCAUUUUUCCUUUUCAAAGAUUUAGUGCACUUACGUUGUAUAUCCUGUCUGUAAAAUAACUUCAGGUGACAUCCAGUGUGGAGUACCCUUCAUAGACUUUGCUCCAUUCAUGGUAGCCUAUAUCAAAUCCACAAACUUCAGAUGUAACAGCCACAACCAAAGUUACACAACAAGAUUCUAAUAGCAUAAUGAAUUGAUAACAUCAACAAUGUCGUACCAAUUCCACGACUUUCCUGGAUGCACCAAAGUCUGCGAGUUUAAUACACCCUUUGUUAUCAACUAGAAUGUUUGCACCCUAUAUCCAACAACACAUCUACCAAAUAUGAGAGAGAGGACCAAUACAAGAUAGAGUCAUCUAAAAUCAAAAGUAAGAGCACAGUACCUUAAUAUCCCUGUGAAUAAUUCUGUUAUUGUGAAGGUAUUCAAGCCCCUGUAAAAUUUGUGUUGUAUACAUUCUUAUAACCUGUUAAAAAAAAUUGAACAUGAAGCAACAAAUAAAGCUCAACCCAUCAUAUUCUGUAUGCACGUCAUAAAGUAAAAACCACUCACGGACUCAGGAAAGGAUCCAAAUUUCCCCAAUAGUGACGAGAUAGAUCCUCCAGGUACAAACUCCAGCAGAAUAUUCAAGGAAUCUUCCUCUCUAGCCGUCCCCAAGUAUCUCUAUAAUAAAUAAAAUAUUCACAAAAAGGAUUAAAUAAAAUAACAAUAUUCGACAUCAAGCAAUCAAAAUCACUCAGAUUAAGAUAAUAAUACUACUACACUCACAACUAUAUUUGGAUGCUUAAGAUUCUUAAGAAGCUUCACUUCUUCUUCGAGCUCUCGAAUAUUAGCCUGAUUCAACAAAGUAGUAACAUACUUUUCAGAUCACAGUUCAACAUCAACAUUCUAAAACAGCCAGCUUAGAUAAAAUCAGAAAAACAAAACAUCAAUACUAUUGCUUCAUUCAUAGGAUUAUGAAGAGAUGCAUUGCCACUUAAUUCACAUAAUGGCCAAUAAAAAGCACUUUCAUGAAGCUCACAAAACAAAGAAUCGAAAAUGAUGACAAUCUAUAAGCCAUAAAUUAGGGUACGCCAAACACCGUCUUUACCUGUGUAUUCUCCUUGAAAGCAAUACCAGGCUCGAUCAAAACCUAAAAAAAGCAACAAGAAGCAAAAGGAUCAAUAAGUUCCACAAACGAAGAUAGUAAAAGAAAAUGAAAAAAAAAGGGAUGAAAUUGACCUGUUUGACGGCAAUAAGCUCCCCGGAGUCGAGGUUCAUUCCCAUGUAGACGCGACCGAAGGCACCGGAACCAAUCAACUCGCCCUUGCGCCAGCGAAUGGGAGGAGGAGAAGGAGGUUUGAGGCCGAUUCUAGAUUUGCGAAUGGCGGAGCCAAUCUUGUUGGCGAUUCCGGCGAAGGGUCCAUCGUCGGCGUGUGAGGGUGGAGUUGCGAAAACUAAGGAUCGGCGAAUGGAGCCGAAAAAGUCGUGCAUUGCAUCUGCGAAGGGAAGAAGAAGAAGAAGAAGAAGAAUGUGUAUCUAGGGUUUGGUGAUUUGGUGUGUAGAGGUUAUGAAGGAGGGAAAAGUAACCAGAUUCAAAAUGGUGAUACUGCUCAGUACCAUAACGGUUACCUUUUUUUGACUUUUUAUUUUUUAAUCAGUAUCAGUGGCGCAAUAAGAUAGGUACGUCACUACGUUGUCGGCAACUACAUUGCUUUCUUGUUCGUUUUUAUUUUAUUUUAUUUUUUAUGUAAAAACUACCUUGCUUUAUACUACAUGGUAAUGGUAAUUAGUUGGAGUUAAAAAAGACACUGAAACAGUCAUUAACUAAAUUUUGAGUUGCAACUUAGAAAAACUAACUUAAACAUAUUCUUUUAUAAAUUGAAAUUUUUUAGUUAAAAUUAAUUUAUUAACUAUUUAUUUCGUUGUUUUAAUUUGAACCGUCGAUCUAAUUCUAAAAAUAGAAUUAUUUCUUUAAUAACAGCUCUAAUUAUAUUAUUGAAUAAAUCAACAACUAAAAAAUAUUUGACUAUUUAUAAUAAAAAUUAUAUUUAAUAAUUAUAUUUUUUUAAAUAAUCAUAUUUUUAUUUUUAUUUUAUUGCGCUCAUCAAAAUAAUAUGUUGUUAAAGUAUAAUUUUUUAAUAUUCUACUUAUCGCACUUGUUGUAUUUGAUUUCAAUUAUUUUAUGUCGUCUAUAUAGUGAUGCAAUAAAUUAUACUAAGAUCUAUUUAAUCAUAAAUUUAAUUUGGUUCAUUCAUUCAAAUGUCAAAUGUCAGUUCAUGUUUUUGUGAAGUAAGUUAUUAAAAAGAGUAACAUUACAAACAAAGAAAAUACUAAAUUGAAGGAAAAAAAUUAAAUGACUUACGAGGAAACAAACAUUAGCCACCUAUAGGUAAGUAAUUUUUUGCAACUAAAUUUCCGGUAGUUAUAUUUAUUACUGGAAAUUUGGUCAAUGAAAUUCCCGGUAAUUGUAUUUUCAAUACCGUAAAUUUCAAAAUUUCGGAAGCUAUCGGAAAUUUCAAAAGUUUUGAAAAAUCCAGUAGUUAGUUUUUGUUCACCGGAAAUUUCGUUUUUUGAAAUUUCCGGUAGUUAAUCCGGAAAUUUCAAAAAUCCAGUAGUUAUUAUUAUUAUUUUUUUUAAUUUGUUUGUUAUUUUAUUUUAAUUUUUUUGAAUAUUUUUUUAAUUUGUUUGUUAUUUUAUUUUAAUUUGUUUACACAGUGUACCGGAAAUUUCAAAAAGGAAUAAAAUUUCCGGAAAACAAACCGGAAAUUUCAAAAAUUCGGUAGUUAAAAAUGUAUACUGGAAAUUUCAAAAAAUGAAAUUUCCGGGAAGGUAUUCGGAAAUUUCAAAUUUUCGGUAUUGAUUUUGAACUACCGGAUGUUUCAAUUUUCCGAUGAACCUUCCUGGAAAUUUCAUUUUUGAAAUUUCCGGUAUGCAUUUUGAACUAUCGGAAAUUUCAUUCCUCUUGAAAUUUCCGGUAAAAACUUUUUUUCCAGAACAACUCACUUUUCUGGAUUUUUCAAGUGUGGGGUACAACUGUUUUGAUUUUUUCUUAUUUUGACUUUUACUGAUUUUUUUUAGAUUAUUUUGGGUAUUUCACUCAAAAAACAUUAAAUUAAGGGUAUAAGUUUAAAUACGGGGUACAAAAGCUAACAGUCUAGUGUGUCCUUCUUUUUUUCACUAAGUAUCUGGUUGGUUCGAAGAAUGAGAGGGAGGGGAAAUUGCUACAUGUUUGAUUAAAAAAAUGGAAGUAGGGGAUUUCUAAUGACAUUUUAAUUAUUUAGAGCCCUUCACCUCUAAAUUUUUAUAAAUUGGAGGAAGAGCAAAAUAAAUUCUACGAUAAAUUUUAGGUAUAUUUGAUCGCAAAAAUUGAAUCAUAUAUAAUUUUUUUAAAAUAUUACCUCUUUUGAUCUAAUCUUUUAUUUACUCCCAACUAAAUAUAUUGUAAAGAGAAGUGGUGUAAGGUUGAUUUUUACGUUAGAAUCACUCUUUAAAUUAUUUUUUUCUUCUCUUAUAUCUAACUAAGUAAUUUUACUCAAAUUUAGUUUUUCUCUUCUUUAUUUUUUAGGGUGAUUUUGUCGUUUUGGUAUAAUAUUUUUAUUUUUCAUCUUGUUGUAAUGUUCGUUGAUUCAAAUUGUUAGAUUAACUUCGAUCUAAUAUAAAUUCAAUCAAUAACUUUGACAACGUCGUAAACGUUAAAAUUGUUGUUAUAUAAAUAUUUUGAACACUUAAAAUUUAUCCUAUCCAUAGACUUUUGUCAUACACUUUGUUGUUUUAAGUUUUUAACCUAAUUAUGGUAAAUUUAUUUGCAAUGUUUAAUUGUAGUUUUAGUUCAUUUAUUUUUAUUUAUUCACGAAAUUGAUUUCCAUAUCUUAAAAGUCAAUAGUUUUGAUCCAUCAUUAUAAUUUUUUAACUAAAAAGUGAUACACUAGAUGCUUUAAAUAAUGUAAUAUAUGAUAUGAUGAUGUAAAAUGAUUAACAUCUAUGAAAUUGAAAUCAAAUACCGUAAAUAUUUAAUUUUCAACUUCAAAUAUUUUUCAUAUUUUUAUUAAUUAAUGCAUUUAGACGACUAUAAAUCAUAUAAUUGUAUGUCAUAUCAUUUAAAAUAUAUUUAAUUAUUAUUUUUUAAUUUAAAAAUUUAAGAGAAGAAUCAAAAUUAUCGAUUUUUUAAAUAAAUAAAUUAAUUUUAUAAAUUGAUAAUAAUAAAAAUAACAAAAACUUAAUAUUUUUUAAUAUCUACUUUGAAUUGUAUAGUUUCAAAUUUCUAACAUGUGAAUAUCAUUUUUUAUUUUUUUUAAAAAAUUUAUACCAAUUUUUGUCCCAAAGAAAAAAACACCUAACGAUACCAUAAAACCCCAUAUAUUUGGAUCCCUGAAAAGAUGCUUAAUUCAACGCUAAACUCUGAAGCUUGAAGCUCAACACGAGAGUUCAAUUCAAUUCAAUUUCAAUUCAGCCAAUUGAUUUUCCUCACUUAACUGCUACCCAAUCACUACUUACCAUACUACCCUUCCUCAACAUGGGAAUCUCUCAAAGACACCAACUUUCUAUUCAUUUCCUCCAAAUUCAAUUACCCUUUUGACCGAUAAUUCUAAAGUUCGUGUCUUAUUACUCUGUUCAUUCUUUCACCUUGUGUUCGUUCAUUUCUCUGUGAGGGUUUUCUGAGAACAGAAGAUGCAACUUGAUCUGGAAUCCCUGUCUGAAGCUACUUCCGGGGCCAUUGGAUCCCUUGUCAGCACUACAGUGUUGUACCCACUUGAUACUUGCAAGACCAAAUAUCAAGCUGAAGUUCAAGCUCACCAUCAACGAAAAUACAGGUUAUUUAUUAUAUUCAUAUUUUUCACCCAUUUUACAUUUUUGGGACCCGAUUCAUUAUACUCUUAACAUAAAUUUGCUAAUUAUUAUUCAUUGGUUGAGUCUGAUAAUUAUGAUAGCAUGAUCUGAUUAUUUUUCAAUCUUUCAUGUAAGCUAGCUUGUUUUAUAUCACUGUUUGUAGGUUAUAUUAUUUAUAAGACGUUUGCUAGAGAUAUGAUAUUGGUUUAUCUAUGAUCAUGAUCCGAAAUUAAACAAUUCGGGUUUAAGUAUGUGUUUGAAUUAGAGAGUCCUUUUUGUAUUUGGUAUAAAUUAAGCAAACAAGCUGGAAAUUGUGUAGAACAUGUAUAGUUAACAUUUCUUCAGAACACUAUGAAAUAUUGUCUAGUAGAGAAAACCAAAUAUUAAAUAGGCAUUUAACAUUGUAAGGUUGGUCAAUUUAGUUUCUCAGAUUUACGAAAUAGCAAUAUAGUCCAAUCCCUUAAACUGAAAAAUAUCAAUCAUUUUAGUCGGUUUUUUCCUCCAAAUUUUGCACCACAAUUUUAAUGGCUCUAUGCUUGUUUUGAUGUAGCAAAAGACUAUUUAAGUCAAUAUGUGUGUCUUUUAUUGGUUUUGGUUGAUGUUUACUUGAUAAAUAUUUUGAUGGAGGGACUGAAUUGAUUGAUAUUCUUUAAUUUAAGGCACUAAUUUACUAAUUCGUAAAUUUGAGGGACUAAAUUGACCGACCCGUUACAAUUUCAUUGAUUAAAAUGAAUAUUUACUUGAAAACCAAUGAUAAUGUUUGAGUUUGGAUUGGCCUAAGUACAUCUUGUUUGGACUGACAUAAGGACUUGUCAGAAUGUUUGCGAGAACUUAUCAAAAUAAGCAUUUAUGCAAUAAACUUUUAAUUAGGUUGUUUUUCCAAGAGCACUCAAUGCCAACUGGUAAUAAUAGCAUCCAAAUCACCAACAUUGGAGGGUUUCUUCUGCUUUUGUGAUGAUGCUUUUAUUGUGGCAACAAUAACUAGCAAGUUGUAGUAACUUUGUAAGUUAAGCUUAUUUGAUUUUGUUUCUCUAACUCAUGUAGGAGAAUUUCUGAUGUUUUAUGGGAAGCAAUUUCUAAACGUCAGGUGCUUUCAUUGUAUCAAGGUCUUGGGACAAAAAAUGUCCAAUCCUUCAUUUCGUCGUUUAUUUAUUUCUAUGGAUACAGUUACUUUAAGAAACUGUAUUUGAAAAAAACUGGAAACAAGAACAUUGGAACAGCAGCAAACUUGAUUGCUGCUACUGCUUCUGGAGUCUGUACAAUACUAAUAACACAGGCAAGUCAAAAUUGUAAUUCUUUCAAAGAAAAGUUACUUUUAGUGACAUACUUACAUGUGAUAUGCUUUUUUUUAAUUUGCUGAUAGAUGACACUUCUGUAAAUCAACUUGAAAUUAAGUUUAUCAGAGGUGUUUUUAAGUUCAAAUCAUGGCAUAACUUCCUUAUCUACUGAAAACAUAGUGUUAUUAACUUACGAUGUAUGUUCUGUCGAGUACAAUUAUAAUAACAUCUGCAAAAGAAACAAACCAAUCCCUUAUUAAUGAAUGUACUGUCAAAACUCAUUAUUUCCUUGUUGUUAUGCACAGAAUAUUCAGUAAUAUCUGCUAUUUUACAGCCCUUAGAUACAGCAUCCUCAAGGAUGCAGACAAGUGAAUUUGGAAAAUCCAAAGGACUCUGGAAGACCUUAUCAGAGGGUACCUGGAGUGAGGCAUUUGAUGGUCUUGCCAUAUCUAUUCUUUUAACAACAAACCCAUCUAUCCAGGUAUCACGCUUUGAAUAUUUAUUCCAAAGAUUCAAUGAAACCUAAAGAGGAAGAGGAUCUGUUAUUCCAUAUUAGGUUGCACUAUAAGACUCCCAUACUCAGACUGAGAUUUUUAUCCGCAAACAGUAUACUGCAUUCGAUCAGCUGAAACACCGGCUACUAAAAGGCAAGAUGAGCAAGAGAACUGAUGCAAAGUCAUCCCCGGAGUCACUUUCUGCAUUUAACGCUUUCAUGCUGGGUGCAGUUUCAAAAUGUGCAGCUACAUGCUUGACAUACCCGGCUAUCAGGUGGAUGAUCAACUUACAUUAUUUUGUCCUAGAGUUUUUAUUUAUGUUAAUAUACAGACAUGAUUCCAGUUAAUAUAAUUCAAAAGGAAGAAAAAUAAAAUAAUUUUAUUUUUACACCGAUCUUUGGUUUCUGCAGAUCUAUCUUGGGAAAAAUAAGUAUUAUGAUACAUUUUCUUUUCCAUUGUUUAUGCUAUAUUGUGGACUUUCUGAUGAAAAUAUGUUUUGAAUUGACAAUAGGUGUAAAGUCAUGAUUCAGGCUGCUGAUUCAGAUGAUAGGAAGAUUUCAGAAGCUGAGAAGAAGGCGCAGAAGACAAUCUCUGGAGCACUCUAUACUAUUUGGAAAAGAGAAGGCCUCCUGGGAUUUUUCAAUGGAUUGCAGGCACAGAUAUUGAAAACUGUUCUCAGCUCUGCAUUACUUCUUAUGGUAAAGGAAAAGAUCACAAAGUCGACGUGGAUUCUGAUGCUCAUGAUCGNNNNNNNNNNNNNNNNNNNNNNNNNNNNNNNNNNNNNNNNNNNNNNNNNNNNNNNNNNNNNNNNNNNNNNNNNNNNNNNNNNNNNNNNNNNNNUGUCUGCCAAUCCCCCCAAAUUGAAAGCAUCUUGAAUUUGUGAUGAAUGAAUAUAUUAGAAAUAAUUUCUCAUCCAAGGAUAUGAUAAAAUUGACUUUGAUUGCUAUAGAGGUAAAAUAGUGGCAGGUGUACUGAAUGCAAGUGUUAGGAAUGCAAAAAAUAAAAAUUCAGAUAAUGGUUUCUUUCUCUUCUAAUAUGAUUUUUUCUCAUCAAGACCUCAAACUUGAAUAUACUUGUUUUAUUUUUUUGAAGGAGAAUAUACUUGUUAAUGCGAUAGCCUUUUUUUUUUUGUUAGUAGUUUAGCAUUGUGUUAUGCACUUCCAAUCAUUUUGCAAAGUCUGAACUUCCAAGCUCAAAAAUGAUAUUAUUGAUAACAAUGACAACAAUAACAACCGUUUGGGAACAACACUCCUACUUUUCUUACUCUAGCAUUCAAUAGACAAUUAUGCUAUUAAACAAUAGCGACACAAGUUUUUUCUGACAGAAAUAAUGAAAGAAGUUAUCUUCAUUGUUUCCAUUUUAACCUUAUUCAGUAAAACCUUAGUAGCGGUAGCAUGCGUUUCUGAUUGAUAACAAAAUUGUAACAAUGAAGCAUUGCCAAUAGCCAUCCUCUAGUUUUCAUGACAGGAAACUUUUGCCAGCUAACAAGAGUAUUGAGCAGUAAAUCAUUCCAACUUUGGAAAUCAAAUUAGCAGCAUUAGAACUAUAUGGAGCAAAGUUUCCUGUAGGAGUGUCAGUGGUCAAGACAACAACAAUCCAGUUAUCUUCUGAACCGAUACCGAUACCUGUAUAUUUCGUGUCAUUGAGAUUCUCUGAGUAGAGAGAUUUGGUGAAAUUAGCGAGGACAAGGCUUGAAGCUAGUCCGGGAACACAAGCAGGCAUUACAGUUCCAUCUCUUGUGUCAGAAAUAGCUAAUUGGCAUUUAGCUAACAGGUUUGGGUAGUUUGAGAAUUGAGGUUCUGUACCUGGUACUGUAUUAGCACCUGUGGUAUUUGUACAUAGUUGAUUCUUGAAUUGGUCAGCUAUUUUAUCAGCAAGACAAUCUGCAUUUUUAUUUUUUGUAAGAGCUUUCAAGUUUAACGAUGAUCGAUACUUGUUGAUACCUUGAUAAAGAUUAUCUUUCUCAUCUGCAGAAAAACAUUUGAACAAAGUAAGCGCAGUUUCAAGAUAUCAGUUUCAUUGUGUAUAUAUAUGCAUGUGUUCGGAAAAAUGUCACAGGAUAAUGUUUAAGAGACAUCAUGACACUGUUGAUAUAUGAUGUGAUCAUUGCAGUUGUGAGAUCGGAGUUGUUUGAUGAAGACCAAUCAACUAAGAUUAUUGUUUUGAAUCUGAUUUUUUGAACAUGAAAUGAGUCAUGUGAUCUUCAUCCAAUGACUCAGAUCUCAUGACUGCAAUGAAUACAAAUCCUGAAUUUUGACAAUUGCAUUUUUUAGUUUGUAAACCAAUUCAAAAUAUGGUCCAGCACAACACAAAUGAUAAAAACAUUACAAAAUUAAAGAUCAGUAAGUACUCACCAUCAUCACAUUUAACUGGAGAAUUUAUCAAGAGAAUAGCAUAUGAAGAAAGGAGAAUCCAGAAGAGCAGAGAGAGUUUAGGCAACACCAUUUUUUUUUUGCAGCUGAGUUAUACCAGAAGGAACCAGAAUUCCACAACAUAAAAACACUUACUACCUUUGGAUUCUAUAUGUGGUUGGAACCUAAGUUUGCUUGUACUGGGUGAUUUACUGUUUCUUGAAGCAGAAGCUAGAUGCAAUAGACAUCAUACUGACACUGAGGAAGACAUUGCAACGGUAAGACAUGGCAACGCUUUUGGCCAUGUUUCAGUGUCAGAUUUGUGUUUGUUUACGAGGACAGCUGUUCCAGUGUCUCUUUCUUGCAUGCAUUCAAUUCACAGCAAUUAUAUUAGGUUAAUGCUCAUAAAUGUCUUUAAAAAUACUCUUCUUAAAUAUAAGUAAAAAUUAAUCGAAGAACGUUAGUUUAAAUUUUAGAAUAAUUUUUUUUUAAUUAAUUUUUACUUAUAUUUGAGUUUGGAGGAACUAUAUACUAUUUCAAAAUUAAGGAAAAUAAUAUAUUUUGGCGGUUUCUUCUCUCUUUCAAUAUUUUUGAAACUUCUUAAAUUAUAUUUAGACUAGUCAAUUUGAAUGUGUAAAAUAAGUGGGUAGAUCUUGCGGAAAGAAUGAAAGAGAGAGACAAAAAUAUAGAAAAAGUAACAAAGAGAAGAAAUAUUGGUGAGAGAGAUAAACACAUCAGAAAGUGUAGAGAAUAUUUGACAGAUGAUCUAAGUAAAAUAUACAUUUCCACUUUUGAAAAAAUUUUAGAAGAGAAAAAAGGAAACCACCAAAUAUUUAUUAAAAGAAUAGUAACAAUUUAUCUUUCAAUAAAAACUAGAGUUAGUAGGUAAUGCACCGUUGAAGUACUCAAUCCAAUGAAAUGCCUAAAUCUUCUCCAAUUUAAACCACCAUGAAGAGCAUGCUUAUAAAAGAAAAUAAAGUUUCUAUAGAAGGGAAAUUAUAAGUAUUAUAACUAUUUGUUGAUAGAAGUGAAUGGAACUAAAACAUAACAGAAAUGAAUAUACAGGAAAAAUAAAAUAUCAAAUAAAUAGAUUUAUGAGCUACCACAUGAUAUUAAAGACGCCACUUUCCUUUGGUAAAAAAUAAUAAAUUCAAAGACUUUUCUCUUUAUGUACUAAUAAAGUAACAUAUCAGUAAUUAAGCUCACAAAUUUCAGAAUCGUUAUUGUUUUGAGUUUAAAUUUGAGAUUCUAUAAUUGUACGUCUAUUUAAAGUAGUAUUUAUCAUCUUUUCUAAGAAUAAAAAAAACAUGUAUUUCAAAAAAAAAAAAGUAACAUAUUAGUAGCAAUAUUCAGUUUAUAUAUAUAUAUUGAAUGUAUUACUAGGGUCUAUGUAAUGUAUGUGAAUGUGAUAAAUUUUAGUGUAUCAAGUUUGAUCCUAUUUAUAAAAAGAAUCAUAGAAUGUCAUUAACAAACAGAUAGAAUCUAUCUUGUAAUAUAAAUAGAAAUCAAUUGAUAAAUUUUAGUACAUUAAUUCAUGCAUAUUCCCUCUACUCGUUCACUAAAAUUUGGAUAUGGAUUGUCUACAUUCUAAGAGAGAACACACACAUAGCAAAAUUCCUUAACAACAUAAAUGUGUGUAUUGCUUUCAUUGAAUGAAGGCAAUCUAAAUCUCUAAACUUCAAGAGCACACACAUCUCAAUAUGAAUUCAAAUCUUCUCUAAAUAAUGAUUGAGUUAUGGAGAAUAUGAAAUACACCUUUUUGUUUUUGCUACUUUGUCAUAGUUAUGAAUUUGUAAAAAUAAAAAUUGUCCUAGUUUUAAAGUACUCGUUGAUUGAUCACUUUCAAUAGAAUACACUAUGAAUCGUAUUUCUCAAUCCAUAAUGCUUGAAGGCUGAGACUUUGUUUAAAAGAGAUAUAAAAAUUUAGUAAUUUCAAGAUACUAUGCAACUAAACAUAUUACUACUAUUUAGGUGAGAUCGCACAAAUUAUCAAAAGAAACUAUUUAAUUAUGCAAAUUUGUAAUUGUUAUUAUAACAAAAUAGUCUCAACAUAAAAGGAACGCAAAAGGAAAAGAAAUAUACUGAAAAUAAGUUUUUUCAUCUCUAUCACACAGUAAUAUAAAAAUGUCUAUGCAGGUCUCAUUCAACACUUGAGUAUGCACCACGAUCCCAACCUGGCUACUACUUUGUCCUUUAUUCCUAUAACUGCAUUAGAAAAAAUAUAUAUUUCAAUUAAUUUGUUCUAAAGCAACUAAUUGCCAUUUACUCACACUUAACACGAUAACAAAUGAACAAUUCUGCUAGUUACACAUUUUAUUUUAAAUUACACCCACAUAGCCAUAUAGUUUAUGUAAACUUCAUUAAAAAAAUAUGUGAAUCUAAUACACGUAUAAAAGGUUAUUUUUUGGAGGUAAAUGAAAAUAAAAUGUGUAACCAAAAAAAAAUUAGGUGUAACCGACAAAAUUGAUAAAUGGAAAUGAAUUUUGAUUAAUAUAGAGGCUAGUGGUCAAUUUACUUACAAGAUUGCAAUUAGGGGGUCCUGUCAAAAGCCAAUGCAAUUUUGAUCCGUUCAACAGUGUUCUUAAUCAAACCGAUAACAGAUUGCACUGAGCCAUUUUGUAUAGUUGCGUUAGGAUUUGAAUCUAUCAAUAUCUGAAAAGAAAUUGUUAGUAGACAACCUCCUCCAUUGUUCAAUGGAACACCAUCUGGGAGAAUCACAAAACCCGAAGGAAGCAUAACAACACAAUCUGGAUCACCACCAUUCAUCACUACAUUCAUUGCGCCAUAAUCUACAGGAGCAUAUAUUACAUACGACCCUGUGCUAUCAGUGCUAUUCUCUUGAAGUAAAACCAUGUUGUUUUGACUGCAAUCUGCACUCUGCAAAUUCAUUUAGAAUAUGUAAUCUUAAUUAUUUUUUAUUUUAAUAAAUCAAAGUGAUCUGAUAAGUGCUGAAUCUCAGUAGAUCGUGAUAGUAAGAUCUGCCACUUACAAUAUCCAUAGUAAUAUUGGAUUUAAUUAUGUACUAUACUUACUUUUACACGAAUUAAAGAGACACAGUUGGCAGGAUCUUGACCAUUUGGUAUGUGUGCCAUUUCUUGAAUUAUACCUCCGAUGGAGAUAAUAUCCCACUGCAAAAUUCAACAAAAAGAAUAAACUUAUAUAUAGAUACAAAUUUAUAUAUUAUAGCUGAGCUAGCCAAACAAAGUUUAAGCUCCAAUAUGCAAUAAUCAAACUAUUAUAAUAAGCUAAUAAGAUGCAACCGUGCAUGCAUGCGCUUGUAAUUGCACAUUUAUUUCAUUAGCUGAGAAUUAGUAUGGAAACUCAAUAGUAUAAUAUCUAUUGUCGAAAAUAGACGAGGUAGAAGUCUAAAUACAGUAUCAUAUAUAUAAUUAUACAAUAUACCUCACUUCUUGAGUUUUGACUUCGAAGAAAAUCGAAAAGCCUCUUUGGAAGAACCGGAAGCCAGAGAGAAGUUCCAGCACUAAGAAUUAGACCGGAACCGGUAUUGGUUCCCGGUUCACGGAUACUCCUUUUAAUCAUCACCCUUACAUCAUUUGAAUUAGACGUUAGCACUUCCCAACAAUUUGGUAUAGAAGAACCAGCCACAGUUGAAAAAUACACUUUCAUUCUAUCUGUCAGCCUCAUCAAGCUCUUCCUUCUUUGAAGACUAUUCAUAGCUGCAAUCAUAUAUAUAUUUCACAUUUAACUCAUCUAAUUAUUCCCCUAUAACAUUUCAAAUUUUAGUUUUUAAUUCUCAUAAGAAAAAAUCUUCUAGUCUUUAUAAAAUUAUACUGCAAGUAGUUUUAGUCUUUUGUUAAAAUGUAAAAUAUGUAUUUUUAAAUGAUUUUUUUGAUAAUAUGUUUAAAAUAUUAUAAACGUUCUUAAGCAAAAAAAUGUUCUUAGUGUUUAAUUUCUAUGUCUAUAUUUUCUUUACUUUUAUAUUAUUGAGUUUUUGAUAUUUAAAAAAUUCAUAUUUAAUUCAUCUAAACUUAAAAAGAAUUAAAUUUUUUUGGAUGAACUUUUUAAUAUAUCAUAAAUAUGGUUGCAAAAUAUCAUUCAAAAAUUAAAAAACAAUUAAAUAUAUCUCAUUUCAGUAGAGAUUAAAAUUUGUUGCAGAAUAAUUGCGCAGAGACUCACAUAUGUACAAAAUUUACAAAAACUAAAAUUUAAAAAUUUAUAGAGAUUAAAAACUUCCUUAUUUGUGGUAAGAAUUUAUAAAAAGAAAUUAUAUCUUGAAGAAGAAUGAAGCAUAAGAGAAAUAAGUAAGAUGAUAUAUAUACCAAAAUGGUCUGCUGCAGGUGGUAUGUUGAUUGUCAUUGAAAUAGCAAGACGUUCACAUUGUCUAUCUAAUGAUGCCACCCAUCGUAUAGCUCCAAAGGCAAGCCCAGAAGUUAUUAGAGACUUAUAAGAUUGAUUUGACGCUACUGUGCUCUCAUCUACUUCUACAUGUUCCACCCAUGUAACCUGAACAAGACAUACAAUUCAUUUUCGUUAUUAAAAUAUAACCUAAAGCUUUAUCAUUAUCAAAUCAUUCUAAAAGAUGUGGACCAUUGAAGAAUUUUAAUUCAUAAAUAUUGUUUUUGUUUCAUGCAAAUAUAUCUUUUUAAUUUUAAUCAAUGAAAAAAAAAAAUUUGAUGCUCGUAAAUAUACAAAAUUUUGGUACUUGUUUGUUUUGUUUUUUUAUUCCCAAAAAAAUGUAUUCAUGUUGAAAUUAAUUAAUCUUUUUAUUUGUGCUUAAUAUUUAUUUUUGUCUUUAUAUAGUUUAUAUUUAAAUGACUAAAACAAAUAUUGUAUAUAAAAAUAUAGACUAAUUUUACAAAGAUUUAAACAAAAUAAUAAGGAUAAAAAAAACAAAAAGUAAUACAUACGUAAAUAAUAAAAAAUAAAAAAUAUUGUUACAGAUAUUCCAAAUAGAAAAUGAUAUAUUUGCAUAAAUAAAAAAUAUAUUUAAAUAUAAUAAUUAAUAGAAUGCAAUGUACCUUUGAGCAACCAUUUUGUAAUUCUUGAAUUAAACAACCAGAGGGUCGUCUUCUGCUUCUUCUGGUUGUACUACUACUACUAGGACACAAAUGAUCCAAAGAAACAUCAACCACAGCCCAUACUCCUUGUUGGUACUGCUUACAGUACCUAAUGAAAUGAUUUUCACGUGCAGAAACAAGUGGUGAAGGAACUUGAAAAUCAGCUGACAUCUGAAAAAACACAUUUUAUCAAAUACAAAUUAAUCCAUUUUCACUCAAUUAGUAUGUUUGGUUUUAUUAAAAAUUUAUAGUGCAUAAGUGCUCAUUAUUGGAUAUAAUAAAAUACAAAAUAAAGUGAAAAUAUUAUUUUUAGUCAAAAGUAAAAAUAUUAUUUUUUAUAUAAAUUAUAAAUUAUUUUCAUUAAAUAUCGUAUAGAGUUGAUAUGAAUAAAUAAAAAAUAAUUUAUAUAAAAUAAAAAAAUGACAACAUUUUAUACAUACCACUUGUAAGGCUCCAUUGUAAUUUCCUGAUACUCCAGGUGACAGGACAUCAAUUGUCAUUGCGUUUGAAACAAUACCAUAAAACAUAGUUGACCAUUGAUUCUGAAAUCAUUGUAAAAAAAUAAUUAUUAUUAUAUACACACUUAAAAAAUCACCCAACAAGAUUAAUUUUUGUGUGUAUGCUGCUAGCUAUUACUGACCACAUCCAUAAGAACCUCAAUGAGGUUAAUAGAAUUCAUGGGAACAGUGACUGAUUCCCUUGAAGCUUCAGAUUUUAACCCUAUGAGUUUUGGACCUAUUACAUUAUUAGGGAAAAAUCUUGUGUAUUCAGCUUCAUUAAGAAUUUCCUUGUAGUUACUAGGAAUCCAUAAAGGGGAUCCAGCAAGAGCCAAUGUUGUCAAUUCCUCCAUUGCAACAACUGCUAGUUCCACAAUCAUGAGAUUGUUAGAAUCAACACGCAUUUCUUCUAUCAUGAUUGAAUUUGAAUAGUUACCACUGCCACUUCCAACUUCAAACGAGGGUGCAGACAUUUGACCAAUGUUAGAAUAGGAACAACCCUCAUGAUUUCCAACAUCUAUAGGCACUGUUCCUGCCAUCAUUUGAGCCUAUGGCAUCAAACCAAAACAUAAUUGUAAUUAGUUCAACCAAGAAGGAAAUAUAUAAUUCUUUACAUAAUGCUGCAAUUAAUAUAGAUACAUUAAAUAUUAUUGGAGAAAGUGAGGAAGCAAUUUGAUUAUAGAAGUAAACAUACCUGUGCCUUUAAUCGGGCAUACUCAAUCAUCUUAAGGUGGUGGUACUCAUGAAAUGACAUUCCAUCAACACAAAAAUGACAUUCACAUUUUGGACAUGUUGCUUUGUUUAUUGCCUCCUUAUACAUUUCAAUCUCAGCACGAAGUCUCUCAUUCUCCUCUUUCAAAAAAUACUUCUCUUGACGUUCCAUUUGAACCUGCAUUUUCACCAAUUUGUAUUUUAUUUAUGACAAUCCAAAAUAUUCUAUAUAUACUUCAAUUUUUUCUUGGAUUCGUUUAAUAUAGACCUCUAUUCAACAAAUAGUCAAGGGUGGACCCUUAUCAUUUUUAAUAGAAUAUAAUUUUUUAUAAUAAUAAAAAUUCAAAAAUAAAUAUAAUAUUUUAUUAAAAUUUACUAAAAAUGACAAAGCCUGCCUUUGAACCAAGACUAUAUUUGACGAUCACUUUUUUAAUGAUAAAUAUACAAUAUAAUUAGUUGGCUACAUAAAUUUUAUAAUAAUAUAAAUUAAAGGAUAUCCAAAUUUGAUUUGAAGUUAUCAUCAUGCACGUAGGAUCACAUGUUUGAAGAGGGUUUGAUUCUCCUUUACCUUCAUUUGGGUACGCUUGUUUUGGAACCAAAACUUGAUCUGCAUAGGUCCAAGCCCUAACUCACGACCCAGUUGUUUCCUUUGCCUCUCAUCAGGGUGAGGGUUAUUCUUAAAGAAGCUGGACAUAUCAAGAUUAAUAAUGUUGAAUAAGUAAAUUAAUUCAUCUUGCACUUGUUAAAAACUCCUUCUAGAAUGAUAUAUAUAAACAGAGAAAAAAAUUAUCAAAAAAGUUAAUUUAUCUGAUCUAAAUUUUAAAAUAAUAUAUUUUAUGAGACAAUUAAAAAGGUGACUCAUACGCUUCCAUCUCUCUUAUUUGUGGCUGUGUGUGGCGUUUGUAGACUCUUUUUUUAGGUUGCUUGUUGUGAUUUUGGUCUUCGGUAGAAGGAGGAGCUUCGUUUCCAGAAUCUUCAUUUUCGUUUGUUCUUUCGGAAUCACUUGUUGAGGAAGUGGUCAAUUGUUGUUUUUGUGGUUGAGGAUGGCGCACUUUGGAUUUCGAGUAACACAUUGUUGUGAUUCUCCAAUUGUCAAAACUAGAAGUGAAAAAAGCUUGAAUUAGUUCUUAUUACUUUUAUAAGAAGAAGAUAAUUAAAAGCGAGAAAUGAAAGAAAGGAAGAAGAAUUUACCUAAUAUUUGAUGAAGAAAUUGGGUGAGUGCAAGAAGAAAAAUGAACAAUAUUGUGUAAGUAAGGUUCUUAGUGGUUAAGCUAUUUGAAGGCACAUUGACUUUGGAAGGAUAUGUUCAACCUUAAUGCUGUGACGUUUUCUUUGAAAAAAGGAAAAGGAAAAUUGAGAAAAGAUAAAACAAAAUUGAAAAAGGGUUGACAAUUUGACAUAGUUGAUACAUAAAACCUGGAAAAAAGAAAAAGAAAAAUAAUUAUAUAUAUAAAAUAAAAAAGAGUAUAACGCUCACUAACACUGAGGUUUGAAAUUUGAACAGGUACCUCUGUCUUUGUCUCUCAUUAUCUUCACUGAAUACAAGGUAGUGAUGUAGAGAAAAAGACAAAAAAAGGAGAAAGAGCAGAUAAGAAGCCAUUUUGAUGAUGUGCAUGUGUUAGAUAGCAAAGCAUAUUCUGCAGGUGUAACAUAAUUUAAGGAACUGUAUAAAUGCAGUGAGAGAAAUUGCAUUUGUAGUGUAUGUUGUGAAUAGAGUCUUCUCUUCUUUACUCAUCCCUCUCAGCAGGAGACACAUGCCCUCCAUGCCUUUCUUGCUCUUGCAUUGAAAGAUUUCUAGUGUUUGUUCAUACCAUGAGUUUAAUAAAUUUAGCUAAAACAUGUGAAGAAAUAUUUGCAAUUAUUUUCAUUUGCAAAAUUCAACACUUAAAAAAUGAGUGUUAAUGUUAUAACAAUCAGCAAUAAGUAAACAAACAUAGGAAUAGUUUACAAAAGAACGUUAAAUAAAUCUCCUUUGACCACAAUAUUGUGAAAACUCAUUAUAAAAGUAAAUUGAAGAGUUAGACAAAAACAUGUGCCACAUUCAAGUGAAACCCCUCAACAUCUCUAAUAACAAUGUCAACUCUUUAAAAAUUAUUAUCUGAACCCACAACAUCAACAUUAAUUUUAUAUCAAUCCUAAAGAGAAAUAGAUCAACUAAAUAAAUAAAUAGAAUUUUGAUUUGAAUCAAUUAGCGUAAAAUUAUUCUACAUUAGUUUGUGAUCUUUCGUGAUUUUAUGAGCUUUACACAAUUUUACAAUAGUGUAAAUAAAUUUGAAGAAUAUCAUAUGUAAGCACAUUUUAUUAAGUAAAUCAUAAUUUUACAAUUUAAUAUACAAUUUAAUUAUUUUAUUAACUUUUUUGGUCUACAAUUACUUUAUUAACUUUAGUUUGUAUAAAGAAAUCAAUUUUAGUAAACUAUUGGUGUAAAAUAUUUUAUACACAAAUUCAAAUGAUAAGUUGCCCCACAUUAUUUAAUUAUUUUUUAAAAAUAUUCAUUAAAUAAGGUGACAAAGUAUCAUUAUAUGCAAAUGUAUGACGUUUUUGUCACUCGAAAAAAAGCUUAAAAGAUGUAUAAUGCAUUAUUAUUUUAAGCCUUUAAGGAAAAUAUAACCAACAUUCUAAAAACGUGUGUUACCAAAUUUCAGUCAAAGAGAAAUAUGGGUUAAUAAAAAAAAAAUCAAAUUUUUUAUUAAAAAACAAACAUAAUAUUCAUGUAUUUGUGUGCAUUACGAGUUGUUUGUUACCAUUUUAAGAUAGAUAUUAUAAUAUUUAAAAUUUAAAUAUGAAAUAUUAUUAAAAUUUAGAUGAUUGUUAAUAAAUAUUUGUCCUGUAUAUAAUGUAUACAAUAAAUUUUGUAUUAUAAUUUUUCACAAUUUUUAUCUAAAAAUAUUCAACAAAUGUAUUAUUAAUAAAAUAUAUAUUUUUCUUUUAAUUAGUUAAUUUGUAAAAGAUUAUUUUUUAACUAAUUAACCUCUAAGCAACAUUUGUUUUAUAUAUAAUUUAUACAGAAAAUUAUAAUUAUAUUAUAAUUUUUUUAAUUUUUUUAGUUAGAAAACACUAAAGAAACAAAUUAUUAAUGAAAUACAUAUCUCAUUUUUAAUUAAUUGAUAUUUGAAAGUUAUUUUCUAAUUAAUUGAUGGAUGAUAAACAAAUGACUCGUGUGUUUAUUUUAUUAUUUCCAUAAUAUAAAUUAAUAGACAAAUAUAUAUACGUAUAUAUAAAAAAAUUAUCAUUAUCGCAUUUGAACUUUUGUAUUUGAUUUGGCCUACUGGAACAAAAGCUUCUUGAUUUAUACAAUAAUUUAUAAGUUUGUGUAUUAUAUAAUCUUUCCACCCAUUUAUACGUAGAAGAUAUCUGAAACUAGGGAUGACAGUAUAACUCAUUUUUGCCGCUACUUAUUCAAUUUCAUCUUGAUUUGGACGAGGAAAAUCCGUUUUAAUUGGAUGUGUGGGUGUAGAUUUUUCUUGAAAUUAAAAUUCGAGAGCGGGGACAGAUUUGAGAGUGGUGAUAUCCACCCUUAACGCGAACUCGAAUUCAUCCCUCAAGUAAUAUUAUUGUAAUUUUUAAAUUUUAUAUACAUAUACAUAUAUUUUUUUAAAUAUUAAAAAUUAUAAUCUUAUCUCUAUAGAAAAUAUUUUUUAAUUUUAUUAUUAUUUAAUAAUAAUUAUUUUAUUACGUUAAUUAUAAUAUAUAUGAUUUUUAAAUUUAUAAUUUUAUAUAUAUGAAUGGGUGCAUAUGUGGGCGGAGAAACCCGAAUGCCGACGGGGGUAGGGGCUUAAACUUCACCUCCACUAUAAAAUAGAAGCGGGUGUGGUUGUGGACAAAGAUAUCCGAAUGCAGACGAGGAUGGAGCUUAAAUUUUACCCCGUUAUAAAAUGGGGGCGGGUGCAGUGGAUGAGAUAAAACAUAUCUAUGUCCCGUUACCAUGCCUAUUUGAGACAGAAACAAAUAAAUAAUAAGUGUUCUUCUUUUAAUUAAUUGACUUUUGAGGAUAAUUUUUGUAUUAAUUGACCAAUGAAAAUUAUUUAUUUCAUAUUUAUAUUUCAUACAAUAAACUAUAACUAUUGUUUAAAAUUUUAUCUAUAAUACAGUACUCUAGAAACACACUUAUAAAAAUACAAUUUUCCGUUUAACUGGUUAAAUAUAACCAACAUUAUAAUAACGUGAGUUACAAAGUUUUAGUCAAAGUAAAACAUGGGUUUAAAAAAUUAAAAUCAAAAAAUCAAAUUUUUUAUUCAAAAAUAUGAUCUAAUAUUAUCAAUGCAUUAAAUGUAAUUAGUAUUUUCAAGAAGAAAAAAGUUAUUUUGUAAAAUGCAAAAAGGGAAAUACAAUAUUUUUUUAGUUUAAUUUUCAUAUAUAAUUGAUAUAAUACAUUUAAUAUUAUCAACAAAUUAUAAUCAAUCAAUCAUAUAAGAUUAAAGUAAAACGAUUUUAAGACAUGAUGAAUAUAUAGUUAAUCAACGAUGCAAAAAAAUUUACCCUGUAUAUACAAAUUAAAAUAAUUUUUAUAUUAUAAUUUAAAAUACAUUUUUAAUCUCUUAUCUAAAUUUGAAGUUAAAGCUUGAUUUUAAAGUUUUAUAACUUUUACUAAAAGUCUCUUAUUUUAAUUUUAGAUUUGGUCGGAUCUCACUAAUUUGAUAACUGUUGUUAAUAGUAGUAUUUUGUUCAUAAGGUGCAUACAUGUGGCUUUUAACUAGAAACUAGUAAGAUACUCUGCAUAAAUGUACGAGACGCUUCCAUUAUUACUAUGUUCAAAAUACACUUCCAUAUCGAAAUAAGUGUGUAUUUGAUUCAACCAUAAUGACUGAUUGCAGAAUCCAAUAAUAUUUUUUGCUUAUAAAGGGAACAAAAUAAUGACAUGGGAAUUAGAUUGGCCCAUAAACAUGCCACAAGAACACUUGAUUGUGUGUAGACAUGAUCAUAUACUGCUUGGAAAUUUAUAGAGUAUGUUUUCUCCAGUAUUAAAUAUAAGUAAAAGUAUAAACGGAAAAAAAUUAAAUUAAAUACAUCAAUUUUCUUUUCCAUUACUUGAGACUAGAACUGUGAGAGUAUAUGAACAAAGAGUAAAUCAACUGGUGAAUUUAUUAGUAUCUUUCAAAUAUCUGAAUGUGAAAAAUAGUCACUCUUAUUUUUUAGCCUCAUGACUCACGAUUCAUAAUGCACAAAUAAAAUAUAGUUCCAUUUAACACAGCAAUUCUUUUUCUUUUUUUGGCACCUCUGUGCAUGCUCAAAGAUUCAUAAGAUUUUGUAUGAAUGAACUAUUAAUAAACAACAAAAAACAUCAAAUUGAAUCCCCUACAAUUGCUUUAAGGCGCAUCGGACCAUUAAAUUUUAAAAAAAUAAAGUUUAUCUAUCUAAAUCUAAUAGUCCUAUAGUUGUUGCACCAUAUAACAAUGGUAGAAGAUUCAGGUCUAAAAAACACGUUACAGAAUGCACAUUCAACUACUACACACCACCAUGUCAUUUCUUUAAAUCUUCAAAUUUGACAAUACAGCUUAUGAAUUCGAGGUCAGCAUAUAAUUCAGAGAAAGCCGAACACUCGUUAAAAAUCCCAUUUUCGCACGAAAACUUAACCAACUAGAAGCCAGGAAAACUUUCACUGUCAUCUUUAUUUAUUUUCUUCCGUGUGUUUCCGGAAAGGAGUAUUUAGUUUGCUAUGGUGAUGCCAAAUUUGUUUCUGUCGCUAACUUCCUAGUCUCGAAUCUGCUACAUCAGACAAAUUGGUGUUGCUUCUCUCUCACCGAACGAAGCCUUUGACUUUGCUGCUCUUGAUCGUCUUGAUGAAGAAGAUGGUGAACGGGAAGAGGAAGUCGACUUAACCUUUUUAUGUUUGGGCUUCUCUGGAAUAUGAGUACCCUCUGCAGUUGAGAUGCCUUUGUAAAUGUCUGAUGAUUGUUGAUUAUCUGUGCGCGAAAAGAAUAAGAAUAGUUAUCAUCAAGAAAAGGAACUAACAUGGAUCCAAACAACAACUAAGAUCUGAUUUUCAUUCAGACAACUCCUACAUAAAACAAACAGUUUUGAAGAAUAUAGAAAUAUGAUGUUUCUAUUGCUCAUGAUUCUCGCCCUGGAACCGGAAGGAAAUAUAAUCAAAAUGCAAAUGCUGGAAAUAAAUAAAAUUCCUGCUUAAUUCCGCACAAUGCAUUAAUGAAUAAUCAUGAGAGUGGAAUCAGUAUUGUACUGUGAAUGCAGACGAUGGGAACAUGCGGAAAAAGCAUAGAACUUUCAGAAAAGGAAAAUCAUUAUGAAGAUAAACAGCAUAUUUUGAAAACUAAAUUGUGUAAUUAACACAUUUUUUAACAUAGGAAGGAACUGCUACAUCCAUGCAUAGAGUGCCACUGUUAUCUUUCAGACAGAAUAUUACUGACUUGUUUCAUGUUAACUUCUUAACUUGAGUAAGUCAUAUACUCCAAAUUUGGCUCUAGAUUCACCCUUGGAACAAAUUGUUUUUGCAAGACACAGAGACACAGUACAUAAAAUGCUUUCCUCUUCAAGAAAGACAAAAGAAUCUCACAGUCACGACUAAUAUAUCCAAUAGAAGAACCGAGCCCCCUUAAGGUGCACAGCUUAAUUCUUCUUGUCUAGACAAACAACUUAUGUAGCACCAACAUUUCAAAUCGAUUGCGUGUUUUGUUAAAUGUUGGUGUCCGAAAUCGACACAACAUUAAUACAUCUGACUAUAUUCAAUUACUUUCAUUUUUUCAAAUUAUAAUUUGUGUCGACGUGUCAAUGUCAGUAUUAUGUUCAAUGUCUAUGACAGUGCUUCAUAGCUAACAACUGCCUUUAAACAUCUGUCCAAUCAUGACAACCAAAACACAAGGUUCCAAAAACUCCACCUCAUAUAAGUAAAAUGAUCAUAAACUUGUUGCCAUGUGGUGAUUGCAUUAUUCCUCAAUCCAUACAAGAGCAUCACAGUAAUAAUGUUUGCUGAUGAUGGUUCGGUUUCAAUCAAGCGCCGAGAAGAACAAAUCUCACCAUCUCUAUCGAUUUCUUAAUCAAACUUUUCAGAUAUAUAUAGCAACAAUUGCAACCUUUUUUUAAGUUUUAACUUGAUCACAUUAAGGAAGCUUAUCACAUGGAAAAUCAAAGGACCACAAAACAUGUACUUAUCAAGCAUAGUGAUGCCCUAGAUUUAAUACAUCCAAACCACCCUGUUUAUAAAUUCUGGUGUGGACCACUUAAAACAUUGAAGCCAAGAGUCAUAAGAUUCUCUUUGUUGAAGAUGAGUUUGCUCGUGACAGAACAGCCAAACUCUUUCUAAGGGAGGAAAGAACUCAGAUAGAUUUUCAAAAGCCUCACACUUUUAUCAAAAAGACAUUCGAGACACAUAAUAAUAAUCAAAUAAACAUUUUUGCUUGAACUAAUAGACCUAUGAAGGAUCAUAUGUUUGUAUGAGAAGCAAAGCAUACCUAAGGAGGACCAUAAUUUAGUGGCAGCCACAGGAUUUGGGUUCCUAAGUUCACCCAGGUUACCAAUAGAUGUUGAAAAAUCAGGAGCUGUUUUGAAAUCAUCCAUCUGAAUAGAUGAAAGGUCAAAAAGAGUUAAUAAAAGAAUAGACAAAAUAAUGAAACAUAUGAUUAAUGAACCAAUGCAUAUGAACUCCAUACCCAACUAGGUCCAUUCCCUGAGGGACCAUCCCAUCCAACAUGAGCCACAUGCUUAACAUCGGUCGGGUACCCAAUUUCCAAUUCCCGCUCCUUCACAACUGAAACAAGACAAAUUUCCUAGCUUAGCCCAAACAAUGAGUUAAAAGUCGUUUUGGUCUCUAAAUGUUGUGAGACGGUAUCGUUAUAGUUUGUGAAUGUAUCAAAACCUCAAAGAUCUCCUUCGAUGUAUCUUCUAUUAAUAACUAUAUAGAUCAAACUAACAAAUGAAAGACACGUCUGAUACCUAAACCAACUAACAGAAGACACGUUUAAUGACCAAAGUGACUAGCAAUAGACACAUAGAGAAUGUUUUUGUAAUUUUGAUAUAUUCAAGAACUAUAAUAAAACCGUCUGACAUAUAGAAGGAUCCAAACAAUAAAACAAAACCCAAAAAGCAUAGAAAACCAAAUACAUUAAUUGGAGGGUGUGCAACAAAAGUUACCAAAUAUCUGAGUAAUGUAUUUCAAACUCUUGUAAAAUCCUUUAAAAGUGGUUGCCAUGGUGAAGAUCACAAGCCCAAUAAUGCAGUAUGAGGGGAAGUAAAGACACAAAAUUGAGCUUUGUUGUAUAUAAUGCUCAAUUCCAAAAACUGUGUGUAGAGAGUAUCAGCUAAGGUUUCAUUGCAUGUGAUGUGAUUCAGGAACCUCUUUUUGUUUUCCUGUGAAUAAAGAUAGGCAUCUGAAUGAAUAUAUUGAAUACAAAGAGAUGCUAAUAUUACUCAUUAAUAUUAAAACUUCAAUUUCAAACAGUUUUCAGUAUAAAACUUUAUAAUUUUCAAUUUCUACAUGAAAAAAAAAACAGUAAUAAUAAUAAUAAUAAUCCUAAUAAUAAUAAUAAAAAUAAUUAUAUUAUAAUUAUAAUUAUAAAGUAGAGUACCUGAAGAGAAUUAUGAUGAAAAUGCUAAUAGAAGUUCAGCCAUUGUUUCUGGGUUCCAUUCAUCAAUAUUCUGAAACUUUGCUGACACAUGUGAAGGCAGAAAAUCUCUGCAUAUAAAAGAGAAUGAAGAAAAAAUGAAAUGGGUUUCUGAAAGUUGAGAUUUUGAUUGGUGGGUUAUGAUAUUCUAGUGAAUUGGAACUAAGAGGUGGAAGAAUGAUGGAAAAGAGAGGAUUGAGAAGGGUUUGACUCUAGGAGAUGGAGAAUAGAAGAAGGUGGGUAUCCAUGAAUAAAAGUUUGCAAACUUGUGAAUAAAUAGUGAGAGAAAAAAAUUAUAGAGAGAGGGAAGAAAAGGACAUGGUAAAAUAAAAAGGAUAAAAUGUAACAACUGUGUGAGAAAAAAAAAAUGUAAAAAGAGGAAGAAAAUUAAAAUUUUGAGAUCCAUAAGAAAAAAGUUAAAAUAUGAAAUGGAGAUAUGAGAUCUAUAUCAAAAGUAACAUAAAAUAUGACAAUAUAUAUUUUAAAACAGAAAAAAUUAUUCCAAAAUGGAAAGCAUAAUCCAGGUUUAUAUACUCUCCAUUUUUUCAAAGAGAGAGGCAAUAAGAAAUUGGUAAGACUUGUUUUUUUUUUUUUGCUAAUACAAUUUUAAGGGUAUUUAUUGAGGAAUUUAAAAUUAGAAAUUUUGUGUUAAAUAUAAUUUUUUUUUUAAAUUUUAAGAGUUAUUAAAUACACAAUUUUUGAAAUAAAUUUUCUAUAUUUAAUUUCUUAACAUUUGUUAUUAGAUCAAAUCACAUUACAUUAUCAAUUUUUCCUGUUAGUGCUUAAACAUUUACAAUUUGUGAUUAGAUAUAUGUAGAAAAAAAAUGAUGUUGUUGAUCAAUUCUUUUUUACAAUCAAAUAAAGUGUAUAUAAUAUUAUCCAUCAAUGUCAAAUUAAAAAAAAUAAUAAAAAAUAGUGUCAAAUUGAAUAGAUAAUAAUGAAUAAAAUCACAUAAUAAAUAGAUCACAUAUUUUUAAACUAAUUAUAAAUAAAAGAGCUGUAACAAGAAAUUAAUAUUUAUAUGAUUAAAUAUUGAAUAUGUAAUAUGUAAUAUAAAAUCAAAUAAAAUCAUAUAUGGUUCAUUUGAAUUUUAAUAUUUGUAUUGAUAAAUUUUAAUUAAAUGCACAAAUCUUUUUAAGCAAAGAGCAGCAGAUUAAAUAAAAAAGAAAACAAUAGAUUAAAAUGAACAAUUUAGAGUGUAUGGAUGUUUAUAAUACUAGCUCUAAGAUUAAUACUAAUAAUAUUAUUUGAUUUAACUUUUUUCUCUUAGUUUUUUCUUUGUAUUUUUUUCUCCUUUUCCUAAAUUAGGUUAUGUCCUUGAUGCUUCCUUAUUUUCCUUUACUUUUUUUUUGGUUUUAUUAUUUUCCUUUGUUUUAAUUAUGUCCUUUUAACUCAUUCACAAAGAAAAGUACUUUUAACUUAUAAAAAAAAUUAAAUGCACAAUCAAAUUUGGAAAGUUAUUUUAAAAAUGAGAUCCAAUACAAUGCAUGGUCCUGUGUUAUAUCAAUAAAUAAAUAAAAGUUAAAUAUGAAAUCCAAUAUAAUUUAUUUGCAUAAUAUAUAUUAGUUAAGAUAAAAUUUAUUGAUACCGUAAUAUCAAAUUUAAUAUUUUUUAAAAUUCGCAACUGGAUUAAAAGUUAUUAUCAUAUAUGGAAAAUUUAUAUUAAUAUAAAAUUAUUUAAUAUAUUUUAAAAUUAAUGUUUUAUAAACUUUUAUGGAAUGAGUUAAUUUUUAUAUAAUAUGUACAUAUUAAAUGAUUUUAUAUUAAUAUCAAAUUUUAUAAACAUGACAUGUGUGAUAGUAGUUUGUACAAACAAAUUAAUAUUAAAAAUGAAGUUAAUAAACUUAUCAUGUUAUUUUUUUCUUUUAUACUUUAUAUUUCUGUUGGGUUAGAUCUAUAUCCCCAUAUUUUUGUCUUUCUUUCAUUUUAAUGUAAUAUAGCUUAUAAUAUUUUAUAAUAUAAAUAUUUUAAAAAGCAGAACAGUUGAUAUAAAAGCAAUUUUUUUCUCUAGAUGUCAACUCUUCUUUGAAUUGAAUUAUAAGCUCUAUUCAUUCAUUUUCCUUCCUAUUCUAAUUAUAUUUAUUAAUACAUACAAUAAUUCAAUUAUAAUUAUAAUUCAAAUCAAGACAAAACAAAAUUGAAUAAGAUCACUUGAUCAUUUAUCAAUAAUUGAUAAUACAUAUUUCAUUAAUAUUAUAUACUAAAAAAAAUAAUAUAAUUUAUAAAUAUAAAUAUCUUCAUAAAAUAAAAACAUUUUCAAUCAAUUUAUUUUUUAAAAUAGUCAAUGUUAAUAUUAAUAUGAUAGUAUGUAUUAUUUUAAUUUGUUAGUAAUAUGUUGAGGGUGGGAAUCAAUCCUUAACUUAUUUUCUAUUAACAUUGUAUGUCCAAUCAACAUAACUAUAAAAAUUUACGUCUUUAUUUCUCUAUUCCAUUUUCUUUCACUCCUUUUAUAUAAGGAAAGUGUCAAUAGUUGCUUUUCCAAAAUUCUAUCAUCUUAUUUAAUUUCUACCUUGAAAAAAUAUACCAUUCUACUUUUUAAAAUUUAUUAUUUUUAUUUUUUACUUUUUUUUUCUCAUGGAAUAUGUUCUUGGUAAAUAUUAAUUAUUUCUUUAAAAUGAGUAUCAAAACUUUGUUUUCGGACAUUGUUUUCCAAGUUUCUACGUUUUAAAUUUAAACUAUUAUUACAUCCUAUUCUUUUUCAUAAAACAAAACUAAUAUUUGACAUGAUAGGAUUUUUUGUUUCUUACUUCCUAAACUAGCUAAAAUUAUGGGAAUACGGCUCAGAAAUCUUAGUAAUGUGGGACACCAAUAAACUAUGUAGCAACGUAUGAUCAAAUAUAGCGUCACGAAGAUUUCGACGAAUGAAUCUAAUAAUUAUAUCCGUUUGAUUCAGGACUUCAUAUUGUCACAAAAGGGUAGACAAACGAUCAUAGGACGGGAGAAUGAAGAGAGAGGGGGCAUAACAGUUAUAUUUUUUACUUUUUAAAAUAAUAAUUCAAAUAAAUUGAUUUAAUAUAAAAUUGUCAAGAUAUAGGAUUGUUUUGAUAGAUAAAAUGUAAGAAUUAAAUAAUUAAGUGAAAAAAAUGUAUUUAUAACCUCAACAAAAUCUUAACAAUAUUAAUUAGAUAAUUGAAGAUAUAAUUUAUAGACUUGAAGAAAAAAACAUUUUCAACAGAUUUUAUAGUUUUUAGAGGAGAUAUAAUAUUAAAUUAAAGUAAAUAAACGAGAUAAGAGGGAAAAAAAUCAAGAGAGAUAGAAAAUUGAAGAGAGUGCCGUAGAAAAAUUUGCAUAAACAAAUCCAACAUGUUUGCAUUCCAAAAUUAUAAAAUAGCAUAUUAAAUGCUAUUUUUAUUGUUGCCCAAUCACAAUAUGACAAUAGGGAUCACAAACAACACUUCAAUAACUUAACACUCAAAUUCCUUUCUUUUAUACAAAAUCCACUUAAUAAUUAUUUUUUCUAAAUAAUUUUCAGCAAAACUCACGCACACGUUAAAUACGUAAAGGAGGGGGUAUUACAAGAUGGAACAUGUAUCUCAACAUAUAUGUUUCAUUUACAAGAUCAUUUAUGAGUACUCUAAGGAGUAAACUAUGACAUUAAUUAAGACCUCAAAAUUAUGAGUGUUGAACAAUUUAGAUCUUCAAAAUAUACGGAUUAUUAAAAAUCUUUAAAUUGAAUUGCUUCAAUCAAAUUGUUCAUUCAAUUAAUUAGUUCUUUUAAAUGUGUUCAUGUAUUAUGUUAAAUAACACAAUAACUUAUACAUGUGUAAAUUAAGUCAUAUAGAAUAUUUUUACGUCUAUCAAUUAUAAUUUAUAACAUUCUGAUUGGUCGGAAACCAAAUUUAUAAUCGAUUGAAAAUCAAAUUUAUGACUGGUUGGGUCAGCCUAAAAAAUCAUUAAUCAAUAAAAAUCGAGAAAAUCAGUUUGAAUUACGUUAGAUGGGUCGGAUUACUGAACUGUAAUUGGUUUUAGAAAACCGCUCUGUUUUUUAAAACCCUCAAAUUUUUUACUAUUGCAAAUACAAUUUUUUAUUUUUCUAAAUCUCUAUUCUUUCUUUGUUCCCUAAUUUGCAAAUCUAAAAAAAUGAUUGAUAGUAACAUAUUUUUAUUCCCUAAUUAAUAAGGGUUCCAUUUUCACGUUGUCCGACUUGACUUAGACAUAUACAAGUCACAAUGUUACCCUAAAAAAAUAAAUAUUUCAAAAUUAAUGAGUUAUUCCUCCAUUAAUUAGUUUAAUUGUUUAAUUAGACCACUCUCUUAGAAUUAUUGUGACAAGUGUGUCACUUUAAGAGAUAAAUGUGAGAGCUUACUCAUAAAUUCUGAAUCAAAGUUCACUAUAGUUAUUAAAUAAAGUCGGUAAAUAUUUGACUCAUUUGAUUUUAACUAAACGUUUCAAAUUUUAAAUUCAGUAAAUUAAAUUUUAAAAAUUAAAAAUCAAAAGCUACUUGAGUUUAUUUUUUCACUCAAAGUGAAAAUGCAACCACAUAAUAUAAUUUUUUUCACGAGGAUCCUCCAUGUGUUGGCUUAAUUUUUUUAACAAAGAAAAAAAUUUUAAGUUAAUAAAUAAAUAAAAAUAAAUUAUAUUAAUAAAAUCAGCCAGACAUUAUGUUAAAACGAAUAAUAACAUUGUUGCGUAGAUGUGUCAAGUAUGUGUCAACUAAAACCUACUGAAAUAUUAUAACAGCUGCUCUCUAUUUUACAUCAUAUUGCACAUAAACUAGCAAUUUCAUAACUAGCAAUUUCAUAUUACAUCAUAUUGCACAUAAACUAGCAAUUUCUCUUAUUUUGCAGCCUAAUAAAUAUAUAAAAAAAACUAAAUGUAUUAAUAAAAUCAAAUAAAAUACAUUCAAUAAAGGAAAAAAUACAUUACAUGAAAAAAAAAAAAUCAAAUCAUAAUUAACCUUGUCCACCUUAAUUUACAUGAAAAAAAAUACAUCAAAUUUUAAUUAACUCUGUCCACGUAAUUAUUUUUUUAUUGAAAGUGUUUUUUAUUUAUUAACAUGCAAAAUAAAAGAGAAAAUAGGGGUUUUUUAUUUAUUAACAUGCAAAAUAAGAGAGAAAAUAGGGGAGUGCUUAACAAAUUAUGAUGGAGUUGUUAAUUUAUUUAUAAUAUAUUGUAAAAUAGAAGAAAUUUGUUAAAAUAUUAUAACGCAUUUGACUCUAUUAAUUUUAAUAAUUUUUUAUUUAAUAUAUUUUAUUUGAUUUUAUUAAUAUAAUAUAAUUUAUUAUUUUUAUUUGAUGGAAUAAAGUUGUUAAUUUAUCUACGACAUAUAUUACAAAAUAAGAAUGAAUGGUUAAAAUAUUAUAGCAUAUUAAUACAUUAUUCAAUUACAUAGAAUUCUUUUCGUUCAUGUAAUAUAUGUAACGUAAUUUAUUUGAUUUUAUUAAUUUAAUAUUCUUUUAUUAAUUAAAAAAUAAAAUCAAUACUUUAUCGUACUUCAUGAUGCAACUCUCUUUAAGAGAAAAGAAUAAUUUUUGUGGCAUGGCAGUCUUAAAACCUCAUGAAUUUUUUAGAGUGGAAAAAUACCCUGUACUUGACAUCUGACUUAUUCAAUUUAAUCGAACCGGCACGCAAGUGAGUUCAAAAGAGAAAGGUUUGAAAAUCCAUAACUAACCCCUCGAUGAAGGAGUUAAUUCUGUGCGACCUUUCCAAUCAAAACGGCAAUCGUCACCACUAAGCUCUCUCUUUAUCACUCCACGUUACUAACUAACUCCUUCCUUCGCUCCACAUUUUAGCAAACAACCGCUAAUACAAUGGAGCUACAAACAUUACUCUCAUCCCUGGGUAUCGACGACAUUUACUUCUCUGUCGUUUCCGAUGACGAAAAUAACCCUGUCCCUGUCUCCGAUGACGAAAAUAACCCUGUCCCUCUCUCCGAUGAUAAGUACGCUGAAGCCUUACAGUUUCAAGAAGCCUUAAUGGCCUCUCUCAUCACUGAUCAUCAAAACUCCUCUUUCUCUUCCUCCUCCUCCUCACCACCACCGCCGCCUCCAGCAUUGCUCUGUAUAGCCUCUCUCAUCACUGAUCAUCAAAACUCCUCUUUCUCUUCCUCCUCCUCCUCACCACCACCGCCGCCUUCGGCAUUGCCCUGUAUAGCAUCUUCAUCAAAGUCUAUUGUUGAUGUUACUGUUCUCCCCAAAAUGAAGUUCGCGACCGAAGAAGCAAGUGAGUCGUCUUCAAUAAUCAUUUGCGAAAUUUGUGCGGAAGCGAAGAUGGUUGAUGAAAUGUUCAAGAGCCAGAAAUGUUACCAUUCGUUUUGUACUGAAUGUGUAACAAAACACGUGGCAACAAAAAUCCAAGAAAACAUUACGGUUGUUCCUUGUCCUGGUUUGAAUUGCAAGGGUUUGUUGGAGCUUGAUGUUUGUAGAAGUUUGCUUCCAAAAGAAGUAAUUGACAGGUGGGAUGAUGCCUUGUGUGAGGCGCUUUUACUAUCUGUUCCUAAAUUCUAUUGUCCCUUUAAGGAUUGUUCUGCAAUGUUGCUUGAUGAAAAUGAAGGUGGAGAAGAAAUCAGGGAAUCUGAGUGUCCUUUUUGUCAUAGAUUGUUUUGUGCAACGUGUCAUGUUCCUUGGCAUCCUAGUGUUGAUUGUGACGAGUUUCAGAAACUUAAUGUGGAUGAGAGAGGAAUUCAAGAUCUUCUUGUUAGAGAGCUUGCUAAUCAGAAAAAAUGGAAAAGGUGUCCCAAAUGCAAAUUCUACAUCGAAAAAUUUGAAGGCUGUUUGCAUAUCACAUGCAGGUGAGUGGCAUUAUUAUGUUUUUAUAUUUAUAUUUAUCUUAGGCGGCUUAAGUCAUCUUUGCAAAAUGAAACAGGAAGGAUGGACCACUCUUUCAUAAACUAUUUUUAAGCCUUAUUAUUUUCAAGUAUUAUUAUUUUUGAGUAUGAGACUUGAUUAGCUUGAAUAUAAAUGGUGCUCGAUAGAUUGAUUUUCAUAAGUUUUUAUAUUGAACUUAGGUCAUUCGAACAAAACUAGCUGUUAAAGGGAAGGGUUUAAGUUUUUGAGUUUAGUGAGUUUGCGAUAUCAGUGUAAAACUACAUUGUGUUAUCAUCCAACAACCACCCUUUAUUGUAGUAGUGUAAAAGUUCCAUGAUAUUUUAAAAUUAAUGGCUCUUAUUGACUGGUAGUGUAAAAUUUGUUUACAUCCACGGUCUAUUUUCUCUAGGUUUUUAUUUAUUAUUUUUGGAAAGGAAGGAAACCAUAUCACUAAGUCAGUUUUCUUCACAACUAUACAACUCUUUUUUUGGAAACAUAACAAAAGGGAAGAAAAAAAAUUGUUUGCUUUUUAAACACGAUCAUGCAGUUUUUGAGUUUAUCAUCAAAAGGGUAAUUAUGUGUAAAAAGAAAAUAGUGUAAUUUAUUUUUUGACUUGAAUUGUGAAUAAGAAUAAGCCGGUGGUGUUUAUUUGCAGGUGCCGUUUUGAAUUUUGCUAUGCUUGCGGUGAAAAAUGGACAUCUAACCAUGGUGGUUGCCAACGAAACUAGAUAGAUUUGACAGAUUUAAUAAAGAAUGAUAGUGUAUGAGUAUCACUAUUAUUUCUGAUUUUCAUGAAGUAGGUAGUUUGUUGGUCGUCUUGACGUGGAUGUCACGAUUAUUAGCUAGUUUAGUAAGACUUUUUUUUUAUGCUUGUAAGAAAAAUAUGUUGCGUGGUCCUUUUGAAAGUAUACAUGCUAAGUUGCUAUUGCUUAACAUGAAUCAUGGAUGUCUUCAUGCAUGUCUUGAUCUUACUCCUGUUCUGAUGUUUAUGUUGGUCUUACACUCUUCUUCUACCCAGUUGUUCACGUUAGAAUAAUCUUCUCGAGUUCUAACAUUUCCUUCUGUUAUUAAGAAUUGUAACAAAACCAGCAGUGACGCUAUAAUUGUCAGGCUGCAACUGGGCGUUAAGUUUCGCGCCUUUGCACCAAUGCACUGUCAAUUGGCAUAUCAUUAUGUGAUUUCCUGUCAAAUAAAUUUUCUGAAAUUUCUACUUAGUUUUGUUUUUUUUAUAAAGGAUCGGAUGCCAACUAGUAAUGUUUUGUGGUAGCCAUUUUUAGAGGAUGCCAUGAUAGCUCAACCCUCAAAUUAAGGGUUAUCAAUAUAUUCCAGUUCUCUUAAUUUUAGUUUUGAUGAAAUAAUCGAUAUGGCACCAUAGUGGGUUAUGUUUUGACUCAUUACCUCUAGAAAAGGCUUUUGGACCGUGCAAAACUUUGCUGAAUACUGCCCCGUAUGCAAAACUGUGCUGAAUCAAUCAAUUAGCUAUGCUACUCCACUAUGACACCACUUGGAGUAUAAAACAAAAGAGACAUGUGUCCUAAUGUUGACGCACAUGUUAAUGAUUUAAAUAAACAUGUGCCCCAAUGUUAAGGCACAUGUUAAUGAUUUCAACGUAAAUUUUUGUCUUAAACUUGAGUUAUCAACUCUAUAAAACUUCAAACAUUAUGUUUUUCAAUAAAAAAAAAGUGCCUUUUAAGACCCAUGUUUGUAUGGCCAAAAACAAAAUGCUCUUAGUACUAGUUUCUUUUGGAUUACCCCAUCAGAUGUCAAAGCAUAACACCCCUUUAUUUCUCUUACAAUUUAUAUUCCCUUCACUAAGCAUUCCUCACAUCAACUUUGAAAUGUAUGACAAUACCAAUUACAAAGGCGACUAUAUUUUUUAAGGGGUCUCUACCAAUAUUAAUCAAAUCAUGAUGCCUCAACAAAACAAUGGUGUCAGAGUUAUAACUGCUGGCAGAUGCAGCCGCAUAACUCUUUAAAAUUAUGUCUAGCGGUAAAAUGAAACCGGUGUCAGCCAGUUUUUGCAGGAGUGAACAAUGAAGCAGCUCUCAAUAAAAAAACCUUAUUCUUUCCGAGGAAAACUGUAUGUCUGUUUGCUAUGGCAUUGUUCCGGGUUAAAGGAAAUAUCACUUGCUAGAGGCUCAGUUGAACAACAUCAAAAUAUUAAACUUGCUAGGAAAAGGGAAGAGAAGAAAAGAGACGAGAAAGCAAUGAAAUGAAAAUAGAAGCUACAGAGAUUAGGGUACAAGCAGAAGGCCCUCCAAAUGUGCUUAAAACAAACCAUUUAACAGUAGGCAAUUGGGAUUAAAUUGAAUGAACAAAAAAACUUGUGUUGUUGCAAGAAACAUGUUUUGUUCAGGAUGAUAUUAAACUUACCAACUAAAUUCUAGAAAGCACUACGAUGUAUCUACCACAUGCAUUGCAAUCAAUUAUGACAAACAAGUUGAAGUAACAAGCAAUUUCAUAACAUUCUCGAAAAUAAAAUUUUAAUCAACCACAAAACUCAACUUGAAAUUGUAUCUUUCAAUUUCCAUUUUCAGAUCCAGCUUAAGUUCCUACUGGUUAAUUGAAAUAUCAAAAUCAAAAGUAAUGUGAAAAUCAACACAAGCACAUUGAAAGGGAAGUUCAAUACACACCCAUGAAACAAGGUCGACAUAAAUAUGUUCAAAAGCUUUUGAUUACAAGACAAGAAUCCAAACCUACAAAACUACUGUGUUGGACAACACUAUGCCCAACACUAACAUACUGUUGUUAAUCAUUUAACACAAGAUUCAAUAGGUUUGUGUAUCAGAUGAUCAGAAGAUUCAAGACAUGAUAUAUUUCCAGACCCAAGUAUAGUGUGUAUCAGAAAUUGUUAUCUAUUCCUAUUGCUUUUAAUUUUUCAGGAUGAUAUCAAAAUAGAACUUGUUAAUACCCCACUCCCGGUAGAACUAACCACCAAAACGAUGCUACUCACUUUUUUUCACUCACUGCCAAGAUGCAUGUGCAGAUGCCUUUGUUAUUAAGGGUUUACUUGGCUGAGUAGGUUGAAAACGGGAAGGUGAGACCUUGGAAUGAAAAUCAUUUUAUGUCUUGUUUGGUAUGACAAACAAUGAAAAGGAAAUCUACUAUUUUACCUUGGGUUAUAAAAUGUCAUUUUCACCUUCCCAUUUUCCUCCUACUCAACUAGACAGACUAAAAGUGUGAAAUAGGAGAACUUGGAUCAUCAAACACGUUGGCCAAAGACUGAGGCAUAAAACGUUAACUAUAAAAACCAGUCUAGCAGGGGAAUUUACAAAUUCUAUCUAAUACCAAUAACAUCCAGGUUUUCAGGAAACUUCACAAAAUAACAAGCAAUGAGCAAAGUAAUAGUAAAGCAAUUUUCGGAUUAGAAGGGAGGUCAACAAUUGUCUCUUCUUCAACACAAUGUAUCAUAAUACAAAUGCAGGCAUGACCAUGGUAAUUAUCACAAUCCACUGUACUAGGCCGCAGAAUUAAGCAGGUACUUCGACUAUUGAACGAAAAUUAUAACAAAGAUUUUAGGAAAAUAACACGUUUUGAAUCGCAAUUUUGGAUAAGUAAAUUAACCUAAAAGAAAAUACAUCAGUAGAAGAGCAUAUCAAAUAGUUUAACAAAUAAUAAUCCGUGACGAUACUGCCAAGGAUACAUGUUGUGAGCCAAAGCAUGAUCGUACUAUUAUCCGUAUUACCUAAACUUCUGGUUUUGUCAAAACUAUUUAGAGACAACAAAAUUAGGAUAUUCUAAGGGACUGUUUGGUUCAACGUAGGGGAGGGGGGAUUUUAAAAUCUUUUGUCUUUGGUUUAACAAGGGGAGGGAAGAGAUCUUAAUAGAGGAUAGUGUAAAAUUACAUAUUCAACCAUUGUAAUAUUUAAGAUCACAUUAAAUAAAAGCCUACUUAAAUCCAAAUAUGAUAUAAAUACUUUCUCCCCUCUAGAUCCCCCCACUCUUGGAGGGGAGCUAAAAUUGGGAUUUGGCCCCCCUCCCCUCCCAACCAAACACAAUUGGAAGUAGUAAGCAACUCUGGACAUAUGGUUAUUUUUGGUCAACAGAAUUCUCUCCUCCAAAAGUGCUAAGUGGAUCAAAUUUUGGUCAGGAUAAGCAACUUAAUAUAUAUCUAUGGGUUUAACAAAACCUACUUCCUUGAUUUUCUCAUUCAUAGCUACACCCCAAACUUCAGACAAAUGGCUAUAUCUCUCUUGGACUUGCACAAAAAUACAAGUCUCUACAUAACCAGUUUUAAGGGCGCAACUUAAUACAGAUGUAACAAUCAACAGAACAGCAUAAUGUCAGAAAUAAAAAUGACUGCAACACGAUCCAAUUAACACUACGCUAACCAUAACAAAUCCAAACAAAAUGUACUCUAUUAUAAAAAUUCUUCAAUACUAAAAUUCCAGCUCAAAUCUGUGCCACUGCCACAAAAGGGCAAUGCCAAGCUACAUAUAAUCUCUGGCAAAAGUUCUAGCAUAACAUAAAACAUCCUUUUCUGUAAGAUUUAAGAUUACGGAAUGGAAAGAGUUUAACAAACCUCAAAAUUCAGUUCCAGCUAGAAGGCCAAUACCCAUGAAUCCCAUAACCAGUCUUCCAAUUAUUCAAAUAAACAACCUGCUUCACAGCCAAAAAACAAACCAACAGAGCAAAAAUCAUAACCACCCUCUGCACAGUUACACUUUUGAUCUUAACAAGACCAUGAGUCGUGAAAGCCAAAAGCAAACCAACAAGUGUGUACAAAAAUCCCACAGUAAAACCCUCAGCACCAAGUUGCAUCCCAGAUCCCUGAUAGAAAAACACAAGCUUCGAAGGAUCGUUGCGAUCGGCGAGAAACAUAGGCAUUUUCCUUAUAAUAUUAUGCAUUGCACCAGAAACACUGAAAAAAUAAACAAAAACAGAACCCGCUAACCAAACCCUUGGGUCAUGCAACAGUGUUUGACCAGUCAAAAGCUUCUUAACGAAAAAAGAGAACCAGAUCAAGAACCCUAACACGAGUAUGAUGAUUUUGUUUGUGGAUAAAAUCGGAGGUCGAUGAAUGGGUCCCACGGAGAGUUUCGUCUUCGAUUCGACGAAUUCAGCCAUGGAUUCAGCGAGCCGAGAGUAAUCACUUUGAUCCAUUGAUUCUGAAUCCUUGAAUCCAUGUGUGGGACCGACGAUACGAAUGUGAGGGAGAGCAUUGACGCCGAAUUGCGAGAAACUGAGUUGCGAUUCUCUGAAUUCGAUGUCGCAAAAGAAGAGUUUGGAAAUAGAGGAAUGGUUUUUGUUGUUGGUGAUGAAUGAAGAAGAGAGCAGGGAGAAUUCUUUGUGGAGUUCUGUGAGACGGAGUUCGGUUUUGUCGUGAAGUUGAGACGCGUCGAAGAAGAUGAGAAGGGAAUAAGGUCUUGGGGUUUUGACGGAGGUUAUGUAACGAGCGAGGGAUUGGUCGUUGAGACGGAUUAUGCCUGAAUUGGAUCUUGAUUGGAGUGAGAGAAGCUCGCUUGUUCGUUCUUCGUUUGAUUCGGUGGCAAAACAUAGAGAGAUUAUGACGGUGAGGAGGAUGCAGAAUGUCGUUGUUGGAAGGUUGAGAUGAGAAGCCAUGGUUGGUGGAGCGGAGAAAGGGAAACGGAAAAUGAGAGGAAGGGUUUUUUGGAUGGAGGAAGAGAAGAGGGACGGAGGGAGGGAUAGUGUGGAAUUUUGAGAAGACUUUUCAGAAAUCUACUUCACUCCUCCAACAACAACACGUCAUAAUUCUCAUUUUAAUUCAUUUUAUUUUGUAAAUUACUCUAUUUAUCAAUUUUUGUUACAGUUUUUUGCAUUAUUACACGAAUUUAGUGUUCAUAAUAUGUUAAAUAUUCUAAAAUAUAAAUUAACAAAUAUUUGUUCAAAUUCUUUUGUGUCUUAAUCUUUUCAUUCUCAAUAAAAAAUUAUGUUUAGAAUUUCAUUGAAGUUUAAUUAAUUAAAUUUAUACGAUUUUUAUUGUAGAGGUGCUUGAAAAAACUAAUUAAAUAUUUUAAAUAUUAAUUUUGCCUUGUUUUAAUUAACUUUUCAAUAUGGAGAUAUUUUGGUUACUUUUUUGCAUUCAACUUAUUUUAAUUUUUCUACACCAAAAAUUAUUUCCAAAAUAUUUAAAGAAAAAUUUAUAUGAUUAAAGAAUAUUGAUAUAUAUUUUUUAAAUUAGAUCCUUUUUUAUUAAAAUGACACUAAAAACAUUUGCAAUGUAGGAAACUUAACUGUUUCAUACUUUCUAAAUGUCAUCCCUUAAUCUUUUUUUUUUAUCAUUAGAGUGUGUAUGUGACAAUUGAGAUAAGGCAUUGGUGUUUAAGGAACUUAAUUACUAAAAACAAGUUUUUAUUUUUAAAUCUCUACCAGAAAAAGUGGAAAACAUAUAAAAGUGGGGUUAAGUAUGGGUUUUUAUCGUAAAUUACAUUUGGAGUAAAAUUUGUAAAGUUAUUUAUAGAUUACUUAAAUGUUAUGUUAAACGGUAGUUGCUUAAAUAUAAGAUAUUUGGGUUUAAAGAAUUUAAUUAUUAGAAACAAGUUUUUAUUAUUGAUUUUCUACUAUAAAAAUUGGAAAGCAUUAGUAUAAGUUAUUUAUUGUAAUCACCUUUCGAGUAAAAUUAGAAAAAUUGUUUAUAGAUUAGUUAAAUGUUACGUAGUAACUGAGGGUUAUUUUAGGAUUGUCACUAAAGAAAUUUAAACCAUAUUUUUUAAAAUUAGAAAAUCAUAUUCUACCUGUAGAAAUGAUAUAAUAUAGUUAUAAUAUUAAAUAAUAUUACUAUUAUUAAAUAAGAGAUACACGAUUGAUUUUUUGCUUAUAUUUAGUUUAAAAUAUAUCUCAUUUUUGUUUAUUAAUUUAUAUCCUAACCGUGUAAUUGUAAAAUUUAUGUCUUGAGUUCCUACAAAACAUAUUUUAGUAGACAAACAAGAAAUGUCCAAAAAAAUAUAAAGAUAUUUAUUCAAAGUUUAUUUUCAUAACACGUGUUUAUAUUUUGAACUGAAUGGUAGUUAUCUAUGGCUUGACUUUACUUGGAUAUUAGUAUGCUGGUAGAUUGGGUACACCAUUUAUCUUAUUCUAUUGUCCUACUUAGUUCGUAGAUUGCUACAUGUUCUGACAAUUUGUUUGUCUAAAUACAGAUAUGAAAAAACAUACUCUGAAUGGAUAUUAGUAUGCUGAUAUAUUGGGUACACAAUUUAUCUUCUUUUCUUGUCCUAAAUAGUUUGAAAAUUACUACAUGUUCUAACAAUUUGUUUGUCUAAACCCAUAUAUGAAAAAACAUACUCUGAGUGGAGAUUAGUAUCCUGAUAGAUUAAGUACACCAUUUAUCUUCUUCUCUUAUCCUAAAUAGUUCAUAAAUUGUUACAUGUUCUGACAAUUUGUUUGUCUAAACACAUAAAAAACAUACUCUGAGUGAAUAUUAGUAUGUUGAUAGAUUGGGUACACCAUUUAUCUUCUUCUCUUGUCCUAAAUAGUUCAUAAAUUGUUACAAGUUAUGACAAUCUGUUUGUCUAAACACAUAUAUGAAAAAACAUACUCUGAGUGGAUAUUAGUAUGCUGAUAGAUUGGGUACACCGUUUAUCUUCUUCUCUUAUCCUAAAUAGUUCGUAAAUUGCUACAUGUUAUGACAAUAUGUUUGUCUAGACAUGUAUAUGAAAAAAAAAAUACUCUGAGUGGAUAUUAGUAUGGUGAUAGAUUGGGUACACCAUUUAUCUUCUUCUUUUGUCAUAAAUAGUUCGUAAAUUACUACAUGUUCUGACAAUUUGUUUGUCUAAAUACAGAUAUGAAAAAAUAUACUCUGAGUGACACAAGUAUGAUCACUUCAUUCGCAUUUUCUUUAUUCAUUAUUGAGUCCAAAUCACAAGAUGGAGAAAAGCAAAUGAAAAUAAGCUAAAAACUGAAUUGAUUUAAUUGUAAACUUUAAGCAUAAACAAUGUGUAUCAACAGUGUGAUUCAACCGAAGCCAAAACAAGUUGAGGUUCUUCCAUUGCAGAAUCGCAUGUUCCAUCAAUUGCAUUGUUCUUCCCCAAUACCUUCAAUGCUAAAUGAGCUGCCUUCUGCCCUGAUAUCAUCAUAGCUCCAAAUGUUGGACCCUACAAAAAUCACCAACAAAAGCGUGAUCACAUCUUAAUCAAAUGUUUCUUACCAUCUUCAAGUUAAUUGCACUAAAAUCAAUUAAUUUGCACUUGAAAAGAUCUAAAAAAAACCUGAUAUUAAUUUUCACAUUACUUUAAUCACUUCUUAAAUCAAAGAAGGUUCAAGAAACAACGAGCAACAACAUGUGAAGAGGUAAAAAAAAGGGUUGGAAAGAACAAGAUCAGCUACUAUUAGAAUUAGACAAAUGAUUAACGUGCCAAUUUGUACACAGAUGAAGAGCAGUGUCUUCCCUCCUCUUUUUUCACUUAAGAAAGGAAAAUUAGAGAGGUAAAUUAAAUUUCAAAGAUUAUUAUGGAAGCUCAAGCUUAUAAUUUAGUUUGAUGAAUAAGUUUGUUUGUUUUAUUUCUUUUAUUGGUUGGUUAUUAUUAUUAUUCCAACAAACUAUGUGUUGUUGCCUUUGGUGUAGAAUAGGUGUUAAUUUGGAUGGAUCUGAGAAAAUUAUUACAAUGUAAAUCCUGACUUGUAUAAUCAUUGGAUUGUGCAUGCAUUGCAUUGGAGUUGGCAUCAUCACUAAAGCCAAAAAUAUGUUUCUGCUUUGUCUGAAUAGCUGACCAAGAAGGAGGAGAUAUUUCACAUGAUAGAUGCAGAGUUGUUCUGCAUGUGAGUCCCACAUGAGCAUCUAACAUCCACAAACAUUUGAAUCAGAGGAUGCUAUAUCAAUUAUUAUCAAAUUAAUAUCUGUGAGUUUGUAAGAUUUUUCUAGGAAAACAUAAUAUAAAGACCAUAAUUUGAGUGUAUGCCUUUUGCCUUGCCCAAGUAAAUAUUUUUUUAAGAUGCCAAUUGCCAAGCAUUUGAUUUGAAACACAAAAGUUAUUAGUCAUGUGACAAGUUUAUUUUAUAUUAGCGGUGUAAAUAAUAAUAAUUUGUCCAUUCUUUUGGUCAUAUUUACGAGAAAAAAUAGAUCGAAUAAAAUUGAUGUAUUUAAUCUAAAAUUUGAAGAGAGUAUAUUUUUGUUGAGAUUUUUUUUAGAAGUUGAAUCUUGAGACUCACAGGUUAUAGUUGAGAGUUUCUUUGUGACUAUAACUAAUAGUAUAGGAUUGAAAGAAGUUUGAUACAUUAAUAUCAUAACAAAGUUUCAAGAAUAAAAGAAGCUAAUGAUUGGGAAGUAUGAAACACUAAAUUAGAAUCAACCUUUGUAUAGCACAAAGGGUUCGUUUUAGGGAUGGGGCAUAUAAACUAGGUGUGUUGAUAUUUAAAAUUAUGAUCAUUGGGAUGUGACUUAGCAAGGAAUAUUUUUGCCAAUCACUUUCAAUGACUUAUCUUUAAUCGCGAUUGGAAAUUAAAUCAUGUACAAAGACAUGUUUAGUCUGUCAGUUAUUUCAAUAGAUUAGACUCUACACCUGCAUAUACUUUAAUUUUUGUCAUAUUCCAUUCAAUACUCUCCGCUUCUUUUCCCUGUCAAUUUGAGGGUAUGGAAUGGAGUGGGAUUUCCCUAUUUUUUUUCUCUUUAAUUCUCCUCUUUAUUAUUAUAGUUUUGAGUUAUUUAAAGUUACCUAAUAUCACAUUAGCCGUUGCACUGUGUAGAAGUAGCAGGGGGUCCAUUUUCGAAAAUGGAGAGCAUAAAAAGUGAAAGAGGAUACAUUUCCGUGGAAUGUAAUCCAUACACUUUGCAUUCCAUUAUAAAAUUAUUCAAUACAAUGAUAGUUUUUUAUUCAAUUAUACUUCUUCUAUUCCAUUCCAUUUCAAUCUGAUAUUAAUAAACCUGAGUUUUCUAGCAUGAGACCGUUAUAAGUUUUUUCUUUUUUAAAAUACAUGUAGUACACUAAAACCAGAAUAUAAAACGAGUAUGAAAAACAAAAAACACCAAAAAGGCAUGAACUUUUUUAAUAAAAUAAUAAAUAAUGCCUAUACAAUGAUAACAGAACAUUCUAACUUUCAAGGAACUGAGAAUCAAAGUUGAAUGAAUCUGUUCCACCAAUCAGAAAGUACACUCCAAGUCAAAACAAUAAAUCUAUAUGCUCUUAUCAAGAGAAGGUUGAGUUGAAGUUCGACCUUCGGUUUUCGAGUUGAAAAUGAAGAAUUUCCACCAAAAUCAGAAUAAUCCAAGCACGCAAAAAAUCUUGACAAAAGGAAAGUCUUUAUCUCAAGGUGCUGGAGGUGACAAGAAACUAUUGCCGGAAGUUCUGUUGAUAAAUAUAUGCUUAAUAAGUCAGAAAACCAACAAUGGUAGAACUCAUGAUGUCAAGGAUAAAAUGUUUACUUAUUUACCUGAUGAUAAGUCCUGGUUUUCCAAUAAGAUUUGCUGGAAUUUGACCAGUCAAAUUGUUAUUUUGUAAAAAUCUGCUUACAACAAAGGAAGAGAAGAAAUUUAUGAGAACUGAAGGGUAACUAGCUGAUCUUCCACACACACUGGUAUUGCAGUGCAUUUACUGCCUCGUUUGAAGAUGUUGUCAUUCUAUUUUCAGGAAGUAAUCAAGAGAAAUAAUACUUAACCAACUAGAAGAAGCUUAUCUUUUAUUGACAAAUUUAUUAGAUUGAUUGGCAUCAAAGUAUGCAACAACUGAACAAUCAAUUCUCUUAUUUUUUCAAUAUUAUGCAUGUUUGGCUCUGAUGCUCCGUAAUCUAAACAAGUAUGGUAAGAUAAUAAGCAUGUAUUACUCAUAUAAUGAUACAACACAUAAGUAGAACUUACAUUUCUUUUAAGCUGCCAAUGUUCCCUAGGGAUGAUGAAAUCAAGAUCUUCUUGUUAGAGAGCUUGCUCAUCAGGAAAAAUGGAAAAGGUGUCCCAAAUGCAAAUUCUAUAUCAAAAAAUUUGAAGGCUGUUUGCAUAUCACAUGCAGUUAGUGAGUCGCAUUAUUAUGUUUUUAUACUGAUAUUAGGCGGCGUAAGUCAUCUUUGCAAAAUGAAACAGGAAGGAUGAGGGACCACUCUUUCAUAAGUGGUGCUCGAUAGAUGGGUUUUCAUAUGUUUUUAUAUAGAACUUAGAUCAUUCGAACAAAACUAGCUGCUAAAGCGAAGGGUUUAAGUUUUUGAGUCUAGUGAGUUUGCGAUAUCACUGUAAAACUACAUUGUGCUAACAUCCAACAACCACCCUUUAUUUUGGUAGUGUAAAAAUUCCAUGAUAUUUUAAAAUUAAUGGCUCUUAUUUACUGGUAGUGUAAAUUAAUGGCUCUUACAUCCACGAUCUAUUUUCUUUAGGUUUUUAUUUAUUAUUUUUGGAAAAGAAGAAAACCAUAUCAGGUAAGUCAGUUUUCUUCACAACUAUACAACUCUUUGUUUGGAAACAUAAGAAAAGGGAAGAAAAAAAUUGUUUGCAUUUUAAACAUGAUCAUGCAGUUUUUGAGUUUAUCAUCAAAAGGGUAAUUAUGUGUAAAAAAAAAUAGUGUAAAUUGUUUUUUUUUUUACUUGAAUUGUGAAUAAGAAUAAGCCGGUGGUGUUUAUUUGCAGGUGCCGAUUCGAAUUUUGCUAUGCUUGCGGUGAAAAAUGGACAUCUAACCAUAGUGAUUGCCAACGAAGCUAGAUAGAUUUGACAGGUUUAAUAAAGAAUGAUAGUGUAUAUGGAUAUCACUAUUAUUUCUGAUUUUCAUAAAGUAGGUAGUUUGUUGGUCGUCUUGACGUGGAUAUCACGAUUAUUAGCUAGUUUAGUAUGACGUUUUUUUUUAUGCUUGUAAGAAAAAAAUGUUGCAUGGUCCUUUUGAAAGUAUACAUGCUAAGUUGCUAUUGCUUAACAUGAAUCAUGCAUGUCUUGAUCUUACUCCUGUUCUUAUGUUUAUGUUGGUCUUACACUAUUCUUCUACCCAGUUGUUCACAUUAGAAUAAUCUUCUCGAGUUCUAACAUUUCCUUCUGUUAUUAAGAAUUGUAACAAAACCAGCAGUGACGCUAUAAUUGUCAGGCUGCAACUGGGCGUUAAGUUUCGCGCCUUUGCACUAAUGCACUGUCAAUUGGCAUAUCAUUAUGUGAUUUCCUGUCAAAUAAAUUUUCCGAAAUUUCUACUUAGUUUUGUUUUUUUUAUAAAAAGGAUCGGAUGCCAACUAGUAAUGUUUUGUGGCCGCCAUUUUUAGAGGAUGCCAUGAUAGGUCAUCACUCAAAUUAAGUGUUUCAAUAUAUUUCAGUUAUCUUAAUUUUAGUUUUGAUGAAAUAAUCGAUAUGGCACCGUAGAAGCUUUGACUCAUUACCUCUAGAAAAGGCUUUUGAACUGUGCAAAACUUUGCUGAAUACUGCCCCCUAUGCAAAACUGUGCUGAAUCAAUCAAUUAGCUAUGCUACUCCACUAUGACACCACUUGGAGUAUAAAACAAAAGAGACAUGUGUCCCAAUGUUGACGCCCAUGUGAAUGAUUUAAAUGUAAAAUUUUGUCUUAAACUUGAGUUUUCAACUCUAAAAAUUCAAUCAUUGUGUUUUCAAUAAAAAAAAUGUGCCCUUAAGACCCAUGUUAUGGCCCAAAACAAAAUGCUCUUAGUACUAGUUUCUUUUGGAUUACCCCAUCAGAGGUCAAAGCAUAACACCCCUUUAUUUCUAUUACAAUUUCUAUUCUCUUUAUUAAGCAUUCCUCACAUCAACUUUGAAAUGUACGACAAUAACAAUUACAAAGGCGACUAUAUUUUUUAAGGGGUCUCUUCCAAUAUUAAUCAAAUCAUGAUGCCUCAACAAAACAAUGGUGUCAGAGUUAUAACGGCUGGCAGAUGCAGAUGCAGCCGCAGAACUCUUUAGUUAUAACAAAGAUUUUCGGAAAAUAACACGUUUUGACAAAACUAUUUAGAGACAACAAAAUUAGGAUAUUCUAAGGGACUGUUUGUUCAACGGAGGGAGGCGGGAUUUUAAAAUCUUUUGUCUUUGGUUUAACGAGGGGAGGGAAGAGAUCUUAAUAGAGGGAUAGUGUAAAAUUACAUAUUCAACCAUUGUAAUAUUUAAGAUCACAUUAAAUAAAAGCCUACUUAAAUCCAAAUAUGAUAUAAAUACUUUCUCCCCUCUAGAUCCCCCCACUCUUGGAGGGGAGCUAAAAUUGGGAUUUGGCUCCCCUCCCCUCCCAACCAAACACAAUUGCAAGUAGUAAGCAACUCUGGACAUGGUUAUUUUUGGUCAACAGAAUUCUCUCCUCCAGAAGUGCUAAGUGGAUCAAAUUUUGGUCAGGAUAAGCAACUUAAUAGAGAUCUAUGGGUUUAACAAAACCCACUUGAUUUUCUCAUUCAUAGCUACACCCCAAACAUCGGACAAAUGGCUUUAUCUCUCUUGGACUUGCACAAAAAAACAAGUCUCUACAUAACCAGUUUUAAGGGCGCAACUUAAUACAUAACAAUCAACUUAACAGCAUAAAUUUCAGAAAUAAAAAUGACUGCAACACGAUCCAACUAACAUUACACUAACCAUAACAAGUCCAAACAAAAUGUACUCUAUUAUAAAAAUUCUUCAAUACUCAAAUUCCAGCUCAAAUCUGUGCCACUGCCACAAAAGGGCAAUGCCAAGCUACAUAUAAUCUCUGGCAAAAGUUCUAGCAUAACAUAAAACAUCCUUUUCUGUAAGAUUUAAAAUUACGGAAUGGAAAGAGUUUAACAAACCUCAAAAUUCAGUUCCAGCUAGAAGGACAAUACCCAUGAAUCCCAUAACCAGUCUUCCAAUUAUUCAAAUAAACAACCUAUUCAAAUAUACAACCCAUCACUUCAUUCGCAUUUUCUUUAUUCAUUAUUGAGUCCAAAUCACAGGCAGAAGAAAAGCAAAUGGAAAAUAAGCUAAAAACUAAAUCGAUUUAACUGGAAACUUUAAGCAUCAACAGUGUCCUCUAAUUCAACAGAAGCCAAAACAAGCUCAGGUUCUUCCCUUGCAGAAUCGCAUGUUCCAUCAAUUGCAUUGUUCCUCCCCAAUGCCUUCAAUGCCAAAUGAGCUGCCUUCUGCCCUGAUAUCAUCAUAGCUCCAAAUGUUGGACCCUACAAAAAUCAUCAACAAAAUCGUUAUCACAUCUUAGUCAAAUGUUUCUUACCAUUUUCAAAUUAAUUGCACUAAAACCAAUCAACUUGCAGUUGAAAAUAUAUAAAAAAAACCCUGAUCUUAAUUUCCACAUUACUUUAAUCACUACCUAAAUCAGAAUUGUACAAACAAGUCUAUAAACAAAAUAUUCUUCUCUUUGGUAGAUUAUAAACAAAAAUUCUUGUUCCUGCACAACAUUAACUCAAUAUAUUAUUACACAAAAUUGUCCAAGCCUACAUUAUUUACGCACACAUUAACUCCUAGAAUCAUGUUUUGUUAAAUCAAACAUGAUUUAACCAUAAAUUGUUGUUAAAUUUGACUCCAACUUUAGAAUUGAUUCCAAUCACAAAAUUAAUUAUUUAAAAGCAAAUAUUUCUUUUGUAAAAAAAAAAGCAAAUAUAUUUAGCUUCUAUGAUAACUAGAAUCAUUUUUCAAAUUUAUUGAUAUACAUACACACAUAAACAAUUAUUAUUUUGAAAUAGAUAAAAAUUAUUAUUAUUUAUUUUAAACAUACCUAAUAUAAAUAACUUUACCUUCAAUUUAUUUAACAUUAAUUUCAUAAAAAUUACUUAAGUCAUAAUCAACUAGUAUCAAUUAUUAUCACAUAGGAACCAAACACACUAAUUAACCUUGUACCGGAAACAAAGAAGCUUACCAUUCUUGGAGCUCCAUCAAUUUCAGCAACUUCCAUACCAGUAACAAUCAUACCAGGAACAACCUCCCUAGUAAGACGAACAAUAGCAUCUUCCGCAGUAUUCAUAUCAAGUGCUUUCAUUCCAGGAACAAAGUCAAUCAUACCAAUACUCUUCAACCUCUUAACACCAGUGGCACCAAAAGGACCAUCAUGUCCACAAGAACUCACAACAACCUUAGCUUCCAUAACAUUAGGAUCCAUACAAGACUGUGUAUCAUGGUUCAUUGAAACCAAAGCCCAAUUCGUAACAACACCACCAACUCUUCCUUCUUUCACAAUCAAAUCCUCGGCAGCAACAGCAUUGAACAAUUUCACGUUAGGUCUAGCGAGAAGUUUACUCAUGAUUGUUGAAGUGAACAAAGCAGCGUGUUUGAUUACAACGUAGUCUUCUUGUUCGUCGUAGUCAACGCCAAUUUCGUCGAGGAAGAGGUGAGCUGGUUUGCGGACAACCAUGGCGGAGAAGAGUUGGCCGCCGAGCCAUGCACCGCCGCCGGGACUGACGGAUUGUUCGAUUAUGGCUAUAUUGAUGUUAGGAUUUUUGCUUAAUUCGUAAGCGCAUGAAAGACCGGCGGAACCGGCACCGACGAUGACGACGUCGGUGUCGGCAUAGGUAAUCAUGUCUGUCAUGUAACGGCGUGUCAUUUCACGAGAGACGAUGGAUUCUUUGAUGGGUUGGAAUUUGAAGGAUUGAAGAUCGUAAGGAGGUGUGUUGAGGGACAUGGAGACUGAAGAAUAGUUAUGGGAGGUGGAUUUGAUUAAGUGGGAGGUGCGGGUAGCAAUUGAUCUUCCAUUGAAGAAUGAGGAUUUAGGAGUUGAAGAGAGAGAAGUGGUGAUAGAUGAGGUGGCCAUUGUGGCUGCGAGAAAGAAGAGUAUUUUAGGAAUAGAAAGGUAAUUGAUAUUUGUGAGAGAAGAGUAGCAGAUGAGUUUUAUAAAGAAGGAAAGAGGUGAAGAGGAUACAAUUUGAAAGGCUCACAAUUAAUUCAAGUGGGUGUUGAACGGCUGUCAGUUACUAUUUUGUACAUCCACAUCACAAAUUAAAAGAUACUCCCUCCCUUCUUUUUAAGUGUCUUUUAUUUAUUUAUUUAUCAUUUUUAAACUCAAAUUUUAGUUAUUAUUACUAUUUUAAUAUUAUCUAAUAUACUAUAUGUAAAGUGCAGAUAUGACGUCAAUAAAUAUUUACAUAUAUAAUAUAGAGUGAAUGCUAAGUCACUUUACAAAACGGCCCUAUUUUAUAUGGAAGUGAAAAAAUAGUGACAGCUGUGGGAUUUGAACCCACGCCCUUUCGGACCAGAGCCUAAAUCUGGCGCCUUAGACCACUCGGCCAAACUGUCUGAUUGAUAUCUUCUCUCAAUUAAAUGUUGAUAUAGCCUUAUUAAUACAAAUAUACUAGAUAAUCCAUAAACAAAAAAACAUCAUUCUUUAUUUAUAUAUAUAAAUCAUGAGUUGGUUUGUUUAAAAAAAAAAAUCUAUUUUUAUUUCUUAAAUUUUAUUUGUUAGUAAAAAAUUAAAAAAAAGGAAAUAAUUUUCUUUUGUUGAUGUAAACGAUUGUUAAAUUUAAAAGUCAAAAUGUCUUUAUAUACUAUCAUCAUAUCUAAGAUGAGAAAAGAAUAUUUUAUUAGAUUUGUUUCACUUAUAACAUUCUUCUCGAUGGAUUUAUAUCAUUGAAAUAUAGCGGAAUGACAUAGGACCAGUAGCAUCAAAUUUUUAAUAUUAACUAAUGUAUUUUAUUCUAUUUCAAUUACAUUUCAUCUUAUGCCAUCAAUCUAACAAUAUACCCUUUGAUUUCAUCUUAUGCCAUCAAUCCAACAAUACCCUUUGAUUGAAAAUGUGCGUGUAGUUUUCCUAUAAUUAUUAAUUUUAAUUAACGACUCUGAUUCUUUUAGGGAGAUAAAUCUAAUGAAAUUAACUUUAACGAUAAAUAUUUUUGGCAUGAUUUAGCAACAAGAGCUUAAUAACCGCAAAAUUGAUUCAGUAAUCCUCAACAUGCUGCGAGCAUGAAUGGUGUCAAUUUCUAUUAUUAAAAGACCAGCUCAGAAUGAUCACAUUCUUACAUGCAAUGGCCAAACUCCAUUUUCAUUAUUGUGCAUAUAGUCUUGUCUUGACAAACCAUAUGCAAUUUGCAAAAAGCAGCCUGUCUGUGGUCCCAUUCUCACAUUUUUUUCUACAUUACUAUAAUACUACUAUUUCACUAUUUUGACUCUGCAUUAUUGUCAUUUUUCAUUCACUAAUAUACCCUUUUCUUGUCUUUCUUGUAAAAGAUAAAUCCUUAUUUUCUAUGCAUCUCAUCCUCAUCUUACUAUGACCAAUUUUACCAAGUGAAAUGGUACACUGAUGACCGUUCCAUCUUGUUUGGAUGAUAAAAUCAUAUAGUAUACGGAUGACUGUUAAAUUUUAGUGCAUUAAUAAAAAAUUAUCGAGUUUUGAUUUAAACUAUUUGAUUUUAAUCGCACGAUUGUAGAUACGUGAUUAUUUUAAUUUAUUAAUUUCAUUGAAUUUAGAUUCCAAUUUUAUCAAUCUCUAUUUAGUUUUUUUUUAAGAUAUAUUAUAAGCAAAUUUAUUUAACUAAUUAGCUAAUUGAUAUUAUUUUUUAUUAGAUAAUAAAGUGUGAGUUUCUCCACUCGUAUUCUAAUAAAGUGGAACAUAAACAAAAAAUUAUAAUUAAAAAAUUAAUAUAUCAAAUACAUCGAUUUUUAAUAAAAGUAAUAUCCAAUAAUAUGACCCUCACAAUGACUAACAUAUUUUAGAAAAAAAACACUUAGACUGACUCUUGUGAUAAGUUAUCACAAUCAAUUAAAACCAACGAAAUAUAUAUUUUACUAAUUAUGUCAAAUCUAUUUUUAUUAAAAAAAGUUAAUAAAGUAGUGACUGAUUUUAAUUGAUUAUUGGAUAACAAUUUUCAAUAUGUUUUUAACAUUCUAUUGACUUUGGGGUAAUGAUGUUAUUAUAAGUGAAUGGGCAAAGUUGUACAUUUGUCACAUGCAAAUUAAUUAAACAGGUAAAUGCUAGAACAAAGUGGAACAAUAGCAUAUGACAUUACAACUGGAUGUGCAGAAAUCAUUUUCAAAGUAACGAUUAUUUAAUGAAGUGCGACACCUCGGGUUCAGAGAUCCAUCAACUGAGAAACCCUCCAUUCUCUUGACCCAAAAUUCUCAGAAUGGAUUCCGGGGCCUAUUCUUCAGUUUCCAUUAUUAUUUUCCUUGCAGCCAUCAUAGCUAGUGCUUAUUAUCAUUCAGCAGAAGCAGCUAUGUCUAAGGGAUCUUUUGAAGAUAAUUUCAGCAUAAUGUGGUCUCAAGAUCAUUUUACUACCUCUGAAGAUGGACAGAUCUGGUAUCUUUCUUUAGACAACGACACAGGUAUCAAAUCAAAUGCAUUCUCAUGUUAUAUUUUUUUUAAGAAUCGAAGUUACAAAGACCGAAUCUUAUUGCAUCGUUGCAGCAAAAUCACUCUGCCACUUACAAUAUUAUAGUCUAUCUUAUGUGUUGAUUUGAUUAAUUUGAUUUCUUUAUAAGCAAAAAUAUAUUAUGAAGAGUACUAAGUACUCAAAGAAUAUAGUCAAUGUUUUAAUUGUUAGCAUCAAAGUCUAUAUUUUGAGGCCAUUCCUAAAGCAAUGAAUGUUUUAUCAGGAUGUGGGUUUCAAACAAAACAAAGGUACAGAUUUGGGUGGUUUAGUAUGAAGCUGAAGUUGGUAGGAGGUGAUUCUGCUGGUGUUGUAACAGCUUAUUAUGUAAGUGUACAUUUACAUAACAUUGAAAUAUAGUACUACUAAAUGUGUUUCUUUAAAGAGUUCCUCUCUAAGAAGCACUCACACAUACACCUGAUAAGAAAUUGUUAUUGAAACUUUGAAAAAAUAUAAUUGAAUGUAAUUAUAUUUGUCGGUGUUAUGUUAGUGUCAACACUGAAAUAUGUCAACCACCAAACGCACCUUCAAUAUGAAGUAUAAGUGAUAUGAAGUAUAAGUGCUACAUAUGUUACUUUGUGUUUCUAUGAAUCCAAUUGGUGGGGUGUUUGAUAAGAAUGGUGGAAUUGUUGCAGAUGUGCACAGAAAAUGGUGCAGGACCAGAAAGAGAUGAACUUGAUUUUGAGUUUUUGGGAAACAGAACAGGGCAACCAUAUUUGAUUCAGACAAAUGUGUACAAGAAUGGAACUGGUGGGCGUGAGAUGAGACAUAUGCUAUGGUUUGAUCCAACUGAGGAUUAUCACACUUAUUCCAUCCUAUGGAACAAUCAUCAGAUAGUGUAAGUGCAAUCUUAUACUCAUCUUAUUAGUGUUUGUUAAUCUUAUAAAUUAUAAGCCAAGUUUCACAAAAUAAAAGAGAGUAGAUCAUCAUCAAAAUGUUUGCAAAAAAUGGUAAUGAAUCUAAAACGGUACCCUUCUUUAUGCUUUUGUCGGUUUAAGGCUUCUUUUCUGAAUUGUCAAAAAGUAGUACAAGAUAUGAUUGUGUGGUUAAAGAAACGAAUAUAGUUAGUAAAAUCUACACUAUGUGGGCCUAGUUUAAUUAUUAUUGUUACCUACUCAUAUGUAUAUUUAGGCUAUUCUUUGUGUUGUUAAGUUGGUAAAUCUUAUAAAAUUUAAUUGAAUGGAAAAUGAAACUUGAAUAUAAAUAUCAUUUGUCCAAUUUGGGUAUUUAUUUUUAAGCUAAGAUGAAUAAAAUUUUGUUUACUGAAUGUUGGAAACAGGUUUUUUGUGGAUAGAGUUCCUAUAAGGGUAUUCAAGAACAAUGAAAAACCAAACAAUUUCUUCCCGAAUGAGAAACCAAUGUACUUGUUUUCAAGUGUAUGGAAUGCAGAUGAUUGGGCCACAAGAGGUGGACUUGAGAAAACAAAUUGGAAAUUAGCUCCAUUUGUGUCAUCUUACAAAGAUUUCAGUGUUGAUGCUUGUCAAUGGAAAGAUCCAUAUCCUACAUGUGUUUCAACCACAACAAAAAGUUGGUGGGAUCAAUAUGAUGCUUGGCAUCUAUCAGGAGAUCAAAAAAUGGAUUAUGCUUGGGUUCAGAGAAACCUUGUGAUUUAUGAUUAUUGUAAGGAUUCUGAACGUUAUCCGAUUCUGCCAGAAGAGUGCUCAUUGAGUCCAUGGGAAUAAUGUAUCAAGGGGAAAAUAUUAUUUUUCUUUUAAUUAAAUAUUUUUUUUUUUGUAUUAUCAAAAUAUUUUAGUUAGCAGAGUUUUUUUAUUCGUUGAAUAUUAUUUUCUGAUUAUGUAAAAGCACAUUCCAUAAUAGAUGAAGUUUACAUGGCUUACAAUUUCACUUCUACAACCACAAUUAAUCACUACUUCAUUCCCCCCCCCCCCCCCCUCNNNNNNNNNNNNNNNNNNNNNNNNNNNNNNNNNNNNNNNNNNNNNNNNNNNNNNNNNNNNNNNNNNNNNNNNNNNNNNNNNNNNNNNNNNNNNNNNNNNNNNNNNNNNNNNNNNNNNNNNNNNNNNNNNNNNNNNNNNNNNNNNNNNNNNNNNNNNNNNNNNNNNNNNNNNNNNNNNNNNNNNNNNNNNNNUAGAGUAGAGAUGUAAAAUAGGUCGGUUCAGUAGUCUAAAUGACCCAUACACGUGAAUAGUUUAGUUUUGGUCCGAUUCACUUUGUUAUAGAGUUGUGUUUUAUUAAGAUUGGCUCAUCUAUUAUGGGUUAUGUGGAUUAGCAGUAGUCUUGGUCGACGCGCAAGAACCACAAUAAUACUAUGUUGUGGAUUAGCAGUAGUCUUGGUCGACGCGCAAGAACCACAAUAAUACUAUGUUGUUGAUUAGCAGUAGUCUUGGUCGACGCGCAAGAACCACAAUAAUACUAUGUUGUUUUUAACUUUUAGUAGAAUACAUUUUUUUAAAAAAAUUAAGUUUUUUUUUUUUAAUUAUGAUCAAUCUAUUACUUUAUUUUUUUUAAAUCAAUUCAAAAAGACUAAUUUGACCGCCAUCAAGUCGAAUGAGAAUGAGUUAUUGAAGUGUUUUGAAUUUAUAAAUCUGAAAUUUGUACGAUACAUUAGCAUAUUUCUCAGCUUGAAUUUUGAGAAGUUCAUGGAAACACUUGUCUUGCAAACCGUAGAUCCCAUUUGUUGCUUAUUAUUCUCAAUUUCAUCACUUGGGAUUUUUCCAAGAAAGGAUAUCCCUUCCUAGUUUUAAAUUCAAGUAGGAGUAAUUGUUUUAUUAGAUUUUGACCUCUUCCUCCAAACUCUUUUAAUUUUAUUUGAAUGUAUUUUGUUAUGUGUUACAAAUGAUUGUUAGCAGUUGACUGUGUCAAAUAUAUUUGAAAUGUCAUUCUCUGAUACAAUGCAUUUGCAUUGUAAUAGCAUUUUAUAUAAAAUAAAAUCGAUAGAUGGAUUAAAUUCAUCAUCUAAAAUCGAUGGAUGGAUUAAAUUGAUCGAGAAACAUUUAAUUUUACAAAUAAAUUUGUCUAAUUAGAUUUCAAAUAUUCUUUUUCAAAUUAAAUUAAAUUGAACUUAAUAGCAAAUAUAACUUUUCAUAAUUAUUUAUUUUAUAAUUAGUAUGAGAUGUUGUAUAAUUCUUUUUUAAAUUAAAGUAUUUUUACAUGCAACUACAGAGAUUAAUUAUUCGAAGUAAUUGAGAUCUAUGUAAAAAUGAUUAAUCUCCCCAACAAUAUUUUUGUAUGCAUAUCAACUAGAAUGGUACCCUCAACCAAAUAGUUAAAAAAACUUAAACAUCUAUUACUUGUAUUCAUACUUAUUAGUUUAAUAUAAUAUAUACCUUAGUUCUUUUUUAAUACUCAUUUUCAGAUUAUUUACAAUUGCCAAUAAAAACUAAUAAAUUUUGUUAUUUUUCAUAAAAUUAAAUAUCUUUUACCUUUAAUAUUAUUUAUUAUCUCAUUUUAUGUUUUUUUUUCUUCUCUUUGCAAUAAACAAUUAGAGAUAAUUUUGUCAAACCAAUAGUUUUUUUUUUCUCUACUUUAAAUUUUGAAAACGACAAAUAAAAAGAAACAAAAAUUUCUAUUAUAAGCCAUUAAAAAUAAAUGGAGAAACUAUUAUUUUAUUAUUUUAUUAUUUCAUAUGUUGCAAACCUAAUUAAUAAUAUAAAUAUUAUUAAUAAUAUUCAUCUUGUCUCAAAUUGAUAUCAAAUAUACCAAAUUUUUAAUUACAUUUUUUAUCUAUAUUUCACUUGAUAUGAAGUAUUUAAAAAGAAAUUUUUUAUAGGAUGUUAUUUGAUAUAAUAAUAUAAAUAUUUCUUACAAAUAAAUGUAAAUUGUUAAUUUUAUUAAUAAAGAGGGAGAAACAUUAACAACCGCCGAACUGUUGACAUCCUAAGCCUUCUCAAUAAUCGUCAUAUUUCUCACUCAAAGUCACUAGAUUAAAUUUUGGAUGACAUAAUAAUAUAAAUUUACGAUUACACAUCGGUAAAAUUUAAUAUUCUAUCUAAUCGAAACCGCUUUUAAUCAGAUUUGAUAAAUUAUUUUCAAGGAAACAAUCCAAAUCAAACAAAACAAUGUCAAACCAAGAAUAACAUGUUAUUGUAAUCUUUAAAUUAAAAUAUCUCUUGUCUCAAAGUCGAUCGUAAACAGACCAUGAACAACGCUAGUAACGUAGGAUCAUUUGUCUAUUUUUUUAUUUAAAAAAUUCCAAGAAUUUUAUUUAAUUAUUUUAAUUCAUUAAAUAUUUACAAAAAUUAAUCAUCUAUACAUUAUAAUAAAGCAAAGAUGAUAAUUUGACAAGUUUGUCACGUGUCAGCCAAAUAGAAUAUUAGGAAUAUAUCAAGUUUCUAUUAAUAAAAAUAAUAUCUUAUGUGUCCGCUAAGAAGUUAAUGACCAAUUAAAAAAUUAGAAAGAAUGAAUUAAAAAUAAAAAUAAAAAAUAAAAAAUUAAGAAAGAAAAAAAUAAAACUUCCAAUUACAUCACGAUAUUUGUACGUGAUUGAAUUUAGUGGUCAAUUAAAAAAUUAAAAAUAAAAUACAAUACACCACGACAGUUUUUGAAUGUUUGUAUGCGGCCGUUGAGAAGUUAAUGAUCAGUUAAAUAAAUAAGAAGAAUGAAUUAAAAAUAAAAGGUGAGGUAAUGGCCAGUUAAAAAAAUAAGAAGAAUGAAUUAAAAAUAAAAGAUUUUUUUUUUAAGAAAAAAAUAAAACUUCCAUUAUACCACGACUUUAUUCAUGAUAAUGCAUCAGAAGUUAAUGGCUAAUUAAAAAUAAUUGUUUUUAAACACUACUUUAUUAACCACCGUUUCAAAUUAAUUUAAUUAAAAAAUUUAUUUUAUUUUACUAAUUAUUUUUCAACUUUCUUUUUUAAUUCGUCGUCAUCCGUUAACCGUCUAUCCUCAAUAAUCUCUCAUUUUCCAUGUCUCUUUUAUAAAGAUCAUUCGUAUUAUCUCAGUACACAAUUUCCUCUUAAUUUUUUCUAUUUUAAAAAUUCGUUAUUUAUUUUUUUGUUUAUCGUUAUCCGAUAAAAAAUCAGAUUUUGUUACUUCAAUUUCUCCAAAAAAAAGAGUCAUGAAAUUUGGUUAUUAGAAUCGUGCGAUUACGGUUUCUGUUUGAUCUGAAUAUCAAACAUAAAUUUUAUGCGAUGGAAAUUGUAUUGAUAAUGGAUGACAAGGUUUAACUCUUUGUUUUAUAAAUUCAAAUUUUAAAUUAUACCCAAACUUAUUUGUUAUGUUAUUAAUUUAACAAAGUUGUGUUUCAUAUUGUUAGGGUCAUAAAAUUCAAACAACAGUGUGAAAAACUCUUAUUUCUCGAUUUGAGACUACUAUUCGUGAGAGAGUUGUGUACAACUUUUGUUCUCUUGGUGUUGCGUCUAACUCUGAAGCAUAUAAAACAACCGGACACCAAUUCGAAAGUUUAGUCAGAGUCUCUCCGUACUCAAUUUCAUUCCCAGAAAUUGGAAAUGUUUGGCAGUUUUUUUAAGAUAAUUGUUUUUUAAACACUACUUUUGCAACACCGCUUUAAAUUAAUUUAAUUAAAAAUUUUAUUUUAUUUUAAGAAUUCUUUUAGUGUCAUCAGAUUUUCCUUUUUAAUUCGCCUUCUCCGUCAAUUGUCUCUCUUCCUCUCAUUUUUUGCGUCUCCUUUGUAAAUAUCAUUCAUGUUACACAAAUCAUUUUUAACUUUUCUUUACCAAAUAUUCCUUAUUCAUUUUGUGUUUAUCUUUUUCCUCUGAUGUCUGGAAAAAAAAGAUUUUGUUGCUUCAAAGCCAUGGAGUUUAGUUGUUAGAGUUGUGCGAUCGUGGUUUAAACAUAAAUUUUAUGCAAUGGAAAUGGUCUUGAAGGAUGACAAAGUUUAAUUCUCGUGUAAAUUCAAAUUUUAAAUUAUAUUAUUUGUGUAUUAACAAACCUGCCUUUCAUAUUCUUAGAGAGAUAGAAUUGAAUCAACCGCGAGUUUUUAUUUUUUUACAUUUGAUGUGUACAAUUCUGUUGGUGUUGUUUCUAACAACUUUCUGGUGUAUAUGGAACAAUCGGACACCAUUUCAUAUUGUCAUUGUUAUUUUAUUUUAUUUAUAAAAAAAGAUUACUAUUUUGUUAUAUAUAUUUUUUUAUUGUUUAUGUUUCUAAAUUUUGUCUUACAAAAAUUAUACAUCACUGUAAGAUUUUUUCUGAACAACGUUGCCACAGGAGUUAUAUUGAAGAGAAAAAUAAUACUUUAUUUAAGUAAAUAUAAAAUUUAGGCUAAAUACAAUUCAUUACAUCUAUUACACAUUUUAGUUUUUAUUGGAAGUAAUGAUUUUUCAAACUUCAAACACUGUUCUAACCAGUCUAUUACAUCACGAUUUGACGACAUCUAUUACACAUUUUUUUGUUUUUAUUGGAAGUAAUGAUUUUUCAAACUUUAAAACUGUUCUAACCAAUCUAUUACAUCACGAUUUGACGAGUUGAUAGUUAUGUGAAAAUGUAUAAUGAUUUUUCAAAAAUUAUUAUUUUAAAUGGUUCCAUUUUAAUUUUACUAAUAUACUAUACAUUUUAUAUUCUAAAUUUAUUAUUAAAUAUCAUGCAAAUUCAAAAGAAUUCAAAGGAUUAAUGAAAGAUUAAUGAAUACUAACAUGCAAAUUCAAAGAUAAAAAAUAAUUAUAGUUUUUAUGUGUAUUGUAUUUUUUUUUUUGUAAUAGGAAGAUUAUUUUUCUUUAGUAUUUUAUGAGUAGUACCAGAAUGAAAAAUAUUUUGUCACUUGAUAGAUCAAGAUUUAUAUGAAUUUUUAAAUGUCAUUUAUUUCAUAUAAAUAACAUACUAUGUUAGAAUGAUAAAAAUAAAAAUUCAUUAUUAAGUUAAUUACUCAUAUUUACAUUUACUAAUUUACUUAAUUUAUAUAUGUCAUGUCCAUUAUUUUAAAAAUUCUUAUUUCAUCUAAUCUAAUUAUUUAAUUUUUUAAUAAUUAUUGUUUUUAUUUGUUUAAAAUUAAAAGUAUUGUUUUAUAAUAAGUAUUUUUGGAAAAAAAAAAAAAAUUCGAAUUCAAAAAUAAGAUUAAAGAGUAGUGUUGGAGUCAUGUUUUUCAUGAGUAAUAUUGACCGUAUAAGAAAGUAGUUUUUAAAUUAGAUUAGAAUUAGAUUUUUUUACUGUAAAUUAUUUUUUUAAGUCAACUUAUUAAUUUAAAUGUCAAUAAAAUUUAUAAAAAUUAAUAUAUAUAUAUAUAUAUAUAUAUAUCUUAUAUGGACUCGCAGCAUGUCGUUUAGAACUUCCAAACCCAAUAAACAAACGAUCAUUAGUUGGAUGGUUUGGUGCAAGAUUAAACGACACAAAGAAACGGGAUUAGGGUUUUGCUCUGAUUAGGGAUCCGAAUUUGAUAUUCGAAUCGAAAAAUUCGUAAUCAAAUCAGUAACCAGAGCCAUUAACGCAAUGGUCUGCGAAAAGUGUGAGUAUCUCGUCCUUUUCAGCAAUCCAUCCAUAUUUCUCGCUUAAUUUAUCUCUGUAAAAAAUUCAAUUAAUUUUCGGUAAUUUGAACUCGUGGUUGCAGGUCAGAAGAAAUUAUCGAAGGUGAUAGUACCAGACAAAUGGAAGGAAGGUGCCAGCAAUACUACUGAAGGUGGUGGCCGCAAAAUCAACGAGAACAAGCUCCUCUCCAAGAAGAACAGGUUCCAUUCAACCUAAAAUUUCAAUUUUUUAUUUAUUGCAUAAUUUGUUUCUUUUUAUUUUUUAAAUUGAGUAUGGAAAGCAUAAUAAUUUGGCGCUGAUUGAUAAUAUGCUAAAGUGUAAUUAUUUCUAGUUUUAUAUUGGAAAUUUUGGAGGGCAAAUUUAUUUUCAUCUGCUUGAUAUUCGAAUUUUGAGGUGGGGGUUUUGGAAUUAAAUCCACUCUGCACAGUGGAAAAUCAUUUCAUGCUACUCUAUUUUUUCCCCAACUUGUUUGAAUCUCAAUGCUACUCGUGUUACUGUUAGGAUGAGAUUCUCCAUGGAAGAGUUGAUAUUUGAACUUGUUAGGAUGAGAUUCUUCCAUGGAACAAUAGGCUCUGAUGUUUGCAUGUUUCACUUUAGGAGUUUCUAUGCAUAUUUGGUCUCUGUUUUGGGAAUGUUGGCCUUGAUAUUCCCUGCGCAUGUUAUGCCAUCACAUACUUGGUUUGGUGCUUUAAACUUAAUCUUCUUUAAUGUCUUAUUUGGAGAAAAAAAAAUGUUUUUUCAUAUAUAGAUUUGCUAUGGUUGGUUGUAUGGUCCAAGUUGUGAAAGAAGCCUAAUGUUUUCAGGUGGUAGUUAGUGAUGGAGAACUUGUUAGCUAUUUUGUACAACAAGUGAAUAAAUUGUUGGAUGUCACUAGGACUUGAUAUUGUAAGAUACAGCUUUGUAUUUUAAAAACAUUUAUAUAUAUCCGCUGUUCCCAUUCAUUUUAUUUAAUGUUUGUAUUUUUGUGAUGAAGAUUGGUAUUUCCCCCAUUACUUCACCAAGGUCACUUUCCCUCUUCAUGUUACGACCUACAAUUUAGAUAUCUUGCCAAUACUAUUGCAGUAUUGCACAAUUAAAAUGGGAUAUCUGUAUUUUGAUUGAUGUGGCUCUUGGAAAAUAUUUUUGAUAUAUCUAUCUGGCUCAACCUUCAAAAUUGUUAGAACACGUUUUAGCUUUGUAUAUUCUUUAUCUCGUUAUCACAUAUGUGCACACAGUCUUGUACUUAUAAAUAGUCCUCAAGAGUCAAUACUAUAAGCACUGCUUACUAGUUGUACACUUAUAAAAGUAAUACUGACUAUACGUAAAGUUCUUGCGUUUUGGAUGGCUUAAUAAUAUCUGUCCAAAUUGCCAAGGAUUUUGGUCCAGAGUGAGUGUCAUUAUGAAUAGAGAUAGUACACUUGAAGGAGGGCUGUGCCUGUGCCAUUACUUUUUGUAAAUAUUUAUGCAUUAGUCUUGCACUUAUACUUGAUUCACGAUACCAUCGACAAUUUUUUUGUCCAAAUAUAUACUAUACCUUGACAUGUUGUUUAAAGGGCUCCCUUUUCUUCUUUUGUAACUUGUUUUUAUUACACCCUGCAUUUUUUUCAUCAUGUGAAGUGCGUUCUUAUUUUAAAUUAAUUCCUUGCAGAUGGACCCCUUACGGGAAUACCAAGUGUAUCAUUUGCAAGCAGCAAGUGCACCAGGAUGGCAAGUACUGUCACACCUGUGCUUACUCGAAAGGUGAUAUUUCAUGUUUAGGCGUUUUGCAUUUGCUGCUAUAUUGUAUCAUGAAAGUGCAUAAUUCGACUGCUGAUGUAUUUUGUAUUUGUAGGAGUUUGUGCGAUGUGUGGCAAGCAAGUUCUUGAUACCAAGUUUUAUAAACAAAGCAAUGUGUAGUGCAUUUCUGCUGCAUUCUGAUCUUGUUGCUAACACUGUAACUGAAUCUGUAAAAAAUAAAUUGUUCUAUUUUCUCUGUCAUAUGUAAUUGACUUAUUGAAUGUUUAUUCCUGAUCUAAAACAUGUACCUUUGGUCAACUAACUCAAUUUUUACCAGAACAGAGCUUAUUAUAAAACUUAUUAUAAAAGGGUGUUUAGGUCAAAAUUGAUUUUGACUCUAGCAAAAGGUUAAACAAAAGUGAAAUAAGAAAUUCUACAGGAGUCAUAUUGAAAAAAUUAAUAAAAUAUUUCAAAUAUUAAUUUUGACUUGUUUUAAUAAACUUUCUAAUAUAGAGAGAUAUUUUGGUCACUUCUUUGCAUACAAUUUAUUUUAAUUUUUCCACACCAAAAAUUCUUUACGAAAUAUUUAAGGAAAAUUUAUAUAAUUCAAGAUUAUUGAUAUAUUUUUCUAAAUUGGAUCUUUUUUUUAUUAAAGUGACCCUAGAAACAUUUGCAAUGCUGAAAACUUAACGGUUUCUUACUUUCUAAAUGUUGUCCUCUAAUCUUUUUUUUAUCAUUGGAGUGUGUAUAUGACAAUUGAGAUAAGGGAUUGGUGUUUAAGGAACUUAAUUAUUAAAAUCAAAUUUUUAUUAUUAAAUCUCAACUGGAAAAAUUGGAGAGCAUAAGCAGAAAUAAGUAUAAGUUGUUUAUUAUAAUCAGUUUAGAAUAAAAUUAGUAAAGUUGUUUAUAGAUUUACUUAAAUGUUAUUAAAGUUGUUUAUAGAUUACUUAAAUGUUACGUGUGGUAGUUUGAGCCCAUAAAAUAUAACUCAAGUAACCUAAAAAAAUUCUCUCGUUAAGACACUAAUAGUUAUUUUAGGAUUGUUACUAAAGAAAUUUAAACCAUAUUCCUUAAAAUUAGGAAAUCAUAUUCUACCUGUAGAAGUGAUACAUGAUGGCUAUAAUAUUAAAUAAUACUACUAUUAUUAAAUAAGAGAGAUAGGAUUUAUUUUUGUUUAUAUUUAGUUUAAAAUAUAUUUCAUUUUUGCUUAUUAAUUUGUACCCCAACACUGUAAUUGUAAAAUUUAUGUCUUGACUUUCUACAUGUCAUAAGUAGGCAGACAAGAAAUGUCCAAAAAAAUAUGAAGAUAUUUAUUCAAAGUUUAUUUCCAUAACACGUAUAUGGUAGUUAUUUAUGACUUGAUUUUACUUGGAUAUUAGUAUGCUGAUAGAUUGAACAUACCAUUUAUUUUCUUUUUUUGUCCUAAAUAGUUCGUAAAUUGCUACAUGUUCAGACAAUUUGUUUGUCUAAACAUAGAUAUGAAAAAAACAUACUCUAAGUGACACACAAGUAUGAUAACUUCAUUCACAUUUUCUUUAUUCAUUAUUGAGUCCAAAUCACAGGCAAAAGAAAAGCAAAAGAAAAAUAAGCUAAAAACUAAAUCGAUUUAAUUGUAAAUUUUAAGCAUCAACAAUGUCCUCUAAUUCAACAGAAGCCAAAACAAGUUCAGGUUCUUCCCUUGCAGAAUCGCAAGUUCCAUCAAUUGCAUUGUUCUUUCUCAAUGCCUUCAAUGUCAAAUGAGCUGCCUUCUACCCUGAUAUCAUCAUAGCUCCAAAUGCUGGACCCUACAAAAAUCACCGACAAAAUCGUUAUCACAUCUUAAUCAAAUAUUUCUUACCAUCUUGAAAUUAAUUGCACUAAAACCAAUCAACUUGCAGUUAAAAAUAUCUAUCAAAAACCUUGAUAUUAAUUUCCACAUUACUUUAAUUACUUCCUAAAUCAAAAUUGUACAAACAAGCCUAUAAACAAAAUAUUCUUUUCUUUGCUAGAUUAUAAACAAAAAUUCUAGUUCCCCCAAAGGUUAACUCAAUAUAUUAUUUUACACAAAAUUGUCAAAGCCUACAUUAUAUACACACACAUUAUCUACGUAAAAAUCAUUUUUAAAAGAUACAUUUUUUUUAAAGAGUGUGAUUUUUAUCAUAUUAAAAUCUCUAAUAAUAAAAAUAUAAGUUAUUAUAUAUCAAAAUUAAUUUUUUAAUCAAUAAUAAAUAAAUCAAAAUUAACAUAUAUUAUUUUUAAGAAAAUUAUUUCAAAGAUAUAAAGUCAAAUCAUUUUUAUAUUCCACUAGACUCCAUUCAAUGAUAUCAAUCCAAACAUAACUAAGAAAGAAAAUUUAAUAUAACUUUUUUCUUCCACUCGACCAAACUGUGUUCUUGCACAAUCUGCUCAAUUAAAACAUAAAGUAGAGUGUUUAUAGAAAUAUAUUAAGCAUUUCCAUUGACAAAAACAUCAUUCUUUUUAAAUAUAUAGAAAAAAACAUAGUUGGCUGGUUCCCUUUUAAAAAAAAUAUACUAUUUUUAUUUCUUAAAUUUUAUUUUUCAGAAACUAGGGGAACAAAAUUAGAUGGCUAAAUUACAUUUGUGGUUCUUUAACUUAAUCUCAGGUAACGUUUUAGUCCUUUAUCUUAUUUUUUUCCCGAUUUACUCCUUUAUUCCUAACAAUAUCAAAAAUAUGAGUUUAUUUGAAGAUUUGCGUUACGAAUUUGAUGAAAUUUGUAUUAUACUGAAGAAUAUAAUUAAUUUUAUGAGUUUUGAUUUAAUUUUUUUUUUUGAAUUUUUGUAUAAAAAAGGAUAACAUUGUUGAAAUUUUAAAACAUAAAAUAUCAAAUUGUCACUUAAAAUUAAAAUAAAGAACCAAGUCGGGAAAAAAAAAGAUAAAAGACUAAAACGUUACUUGAGAUUAAGUUAAAGGACCACAAAUAUAAUUUAGCCAAAAUAGAUAAUUUUUUUAACGCAAACAAUUGUCUAAUUUAAAAUUCAAAAUGUCUAUAAAUAUCACCAUCACAUCUAAGAUGGCGAAAGAUUAUCCUAUUAGAUUCUUUUCAAUUUGGUAAUUAUUUUCAAUGGAUUCUAGAUAAGAGCAUCUAUAACGGUGAACUCAAUAUGGGUUUUUUAGAUGAGGUCCACUGUGCCACAUUAUCUUGAAGCAAUUCACUCAUUUUCUACUCAAACGGUGAACUCAACAUUAUUCAAGUUCUACUAUGCUACAUCAAUGUAAAUCAACUCAUUCAUUUUUUACAGUUUAACUUUUAAAAAAUCAUAUUAUAUUCAAUUACUUUAAUUUAUAUAUUAAUAUUUAAUUUUAUUAUAACUUAAAAUAUUAAUUUAAAUGGAAAAAUAAAUAAAAAAGUACGUUAAUAAAAACUUUAAUAAACUUCUGUAACAAAAAUUGUGAAGAAAAAGUAUGAGUAACAAAUUGUUUAUAUUAAUGAGCUAACAAUCUUAAUUAAAGGAGAAAAAAAAGCUAACGGUGGUAUAUUAACUAAAAAAAAGCUAAUGGUUACAAAAUUAUUAUUAUUUAAUAAAUUAAAAAGAAGUUAACGACUAUAAUUAAAAAAAGCUACCGAUUAUAAUUAUAUUAUUAUUAAAUUAUGAAAGUAGAUAGAAAAAAAAAAUAAAAAUUAACUGCUAUGAAACACCGUUCCUUCCUUACAGUACCGUGAUGACACUUUGACACAACUCCAAUGGUGAACCCACAAAAAACUAAAAGUUAAGUACACGUUGGCGACGAACUUAUUUUUACUCUCGUUGUAGAUGCUCUAAGUAAUAUAUCCUUUGAAAUAUAGUGAAGAUGUAACAUUAAAAUUUUAAAAUUAACUAAUCUAUUUAUUCUAUUUCAUUCAAUUACAUUUCAUCUUAUGUCACCGAUCUAACAACACUCUUUGAGAAUGUGCAUGUAGUUUUCCUACGCUUAUUUUUUUUAAUUAACGACUCGGAUUCUCUUGUUUCAGGGGAGGUGGAUUUGAUGAUGUGGGAGAUUCGGGUAGUAAUUGGUUUUCCAUUGAAGAAUGAGGAUUUGGGAGUUGAAGAGAGAGAAAUAGUGAUAGAUGCGUUGGCCAUAGUGGAUGCCACGAAGAAGGGUAUUUUGGGAAUAGAAAGGUAAUUGAUAUUUAUGAGAAUGGGUUUUAUAAAGACGGAGAGGUGCGAGAUGUGUGAAAUAUGUGAACGGAAAGAUGAGGAUAUAAUUUGAACGGCUCCCAAACCUUAAUGUCAGAGAUAUUUUUUUAUGUGAUUGAAAUCAUUGCCUUUUUGCUCUAUUAAUUCAAGUGUGAGUGCUCCAUUAACUACUAUGUCCUACAUCCACAUCAUAAAUUAAAAGAUACUCCCUCCCUUCUUUUUAAGUGUGUUUUAUUUAUUUAUUUAUCAUUUUUAAAGUCAAAAUUGUAUUAAUUAUUAGUUUGUCAAAUUAUUUUUAAUUAUUUAUUAUUAUAAUGAGAAAAAAUAUGAAACGUUUUUUAGUGUAAUAUUUUUAUUAAUAACUAUUUUUCAAAUAUUUGUUAAUAUUUUUUCAUAACUUAAAAGUGAUAAUUAAACAAAACAGUGCUAAUAUUAUAAAUACUAUUUUAAUACUAUGUAGUAUACUAUAUAUAAAAUGGAGAUAUGAUGUCAAUAUAUAUAUAUAUAUAUAUAUAUAAUAAAGUGAAUGUUAAGUCAUUUUAUCACAUACUUUUUAAAUUAGAGAAUAUACUUUUUAAAUUAGAGAAUAAAAAAAAUGAAGGUAGUUAGUGGAAUGAGAUUAAAUGGAUAUCAUCAUGUUCUAUUUUAUUUUUAAAAACAAUAUUCAAACAAUGGAGUGCUAUAUUAGAUUCGUUUGUCUUAAAUUUUUUUAAAAUAAUUUAUUUUUUAUAAUAUUUAUAAAAGAUAAUUUUAAAAAUAAAGUUUAAAAUGAAGAAAUUAUUUUAAAUAAUUUAUCUUAAAAUAUUAUUUUUUUAAGUAUUUUAUUUAUUUGUUACCAUUGUUUGCAUAACAAAUUUUAAAUUUUUUUUCAUAAAAAUUAUUUUUAAAACAUACAUUUUUUUCAAAGAGUGUGUUUUUAAUCAUGUUAAAAUCUUUAAUAAUAAAAAUAUAAGUUAUUGUAUAUCAAAAUUAAUUUUUUAAUCAAUAAUAAAUAAAUCAAAAUUAAUAUAUAUUUUCUUUAAGAAAAUUAUUUCAAAAAUAUAAAAUCAAAUCGUUUUUAUAUUCCACUAGACUCCAUUCAAUGAUAUCAAUCCAAACAUAAUUAAGAAAGAAAAUUUAAUAUAAUUUUUUUCUCCCACUAUUUUUCUUCCACUCGGCCAAACUGUCUUCUUGUACGAUCUGCUCAAUUAGAGUGUUGAUACAGAUAUAUUAAGUAUUUCCAUUGACAAAAACAUCAUUCUUUUUACAUAUAUAGAACAAAUAUAGUUGGCUGGUUCCCUUUUAAAAAUAUUAUUCUAUUUUUAUUUUUUAAAUUUUAUUUGUCAGCAACUAAGGGAACAAAAAUAGAUUAAAAAAAAUUAGCAUAAACAAUUGUCAAAUUCAAAAUUUAAAAUGUCUAUAAAUAUCACCACCACAUCUAAGAUGAUUAAAUAUUAUCUUAUUAGAUCCUUUUCAGUCUGGUAAUUCUUCUCUAUCGAUUCUAGAUAAGUAAUAUAUCCUUUGAAAUAUAGUGAAGAUGUAACAUUAAAAUUUUAAAAUUAACUAAUCUAUUUUUUUCUAUUUCAUUCAAUUACAUUUCAUCUUAUGCCACCAAUCUGACAAUACUCUUUGAGAAUGUGCGUGUAGUUUUCCUACACUUAUUUUUUUUAAUUAAGGAUUAUGAUUCUCUUGUUUUAAGGGAGGUGGAUUUGAUGAUGUGGGAGGUGCGGAUAGGAAUUGAUAUUCCAUUGAAGAAUGAGAAUUUGAGAGUUGAAGAGAGAGAAGCAGUAAGAGAUGCGGUGGUCGUGGUGGCUGUUAUGCCAUAAAGAUGGGUAUUUUGAAAUAAAAAGUAAUUAAUAUUUGUUAGAGGAGAGUAGAAUGUGUUUUAUAAAGACGGAAAGAGGUGUGAGAUGUGAAGUGUAUGCUUUUUGAAUGAUGAGGAUAGAAUUUGAACGGCAUAUAAGUAGUAUACUAUAUGUAAAGUGCAGAUAUGACGUGCGAGAUGUGAAGUGUAUACUUAAUAUUAUCUGCAUAUAUGACAUCAAUAAAUAUAUACAUAUAUAAUACAGAGUGAAUGCUAAGUCAUUUUAUGAUAUACUUUUCAAAUUAGAAAAAUGAAAUAAGAUAAGUAGUGGAAUGAGAUUAAAUGGAUGUUUUCAUCUUCUAUUUUUAUUUUUUUUUUAAAUAUUCAAACAAUAGAAUGUUACAUUAAGUCCGUUUAUUUUAGAAUUUCUUAAAAUGAUUUUUAUAACAUUUUAUUUUUUUGUUAUAAUAUUUAUAAAAAAUAAUUUUAAAAAUACAGCUUUAAAUGAAUAAAUUAUUUAAAAAAAUUUAUUUUAAAAUAUUAUUUUAAAUAUUUUAAAUAUUUUAUCUAUUUAUUACAAUUUUUUACAUAAUAAAUUUAAAAAUAAAAUUAAAAUAAAAAGUUAUUUUAAAAAACUCUUUAUAAAAAUUACUAAGUCAAAAUCGACUACUAUCAAUUAUUAUCGCAUAGGAACCAAAAGGACCAGUAGCACCAAAAGGACCAUCAUGUCCACAAGAACUCACAACAACCUUAGCUUCCAUAAUAUUAGGAUCCAUACAAGAGCCAUGAUUCACUGAAACCAAAACCCAAUUCGUAACAACACCACCAAUUCUUCCUUCUUUCACAAUCAAAUCAUCAACAACAACAACAUUGAACAAUUUCACGUUAGGUUUAGCGAGAAGCUUGCUCAUAUUGUUGAAGUGAACAAAGCAACGUAUUUGAUUACAAUGUAGUCUUCUUGUUCGUCGUAAUCAACGCCAAUUUCGUCGAGGAAGAGGUGAGAUGGUUUGCGGACAACCAUGGCGGAGAAGAGUUGGUCGUCGAGCCAUGCACCGCCGCCGGGAUUGAGAGAUUGUUCGAUUAUGACUAUACUGAUGUUAGGAUUUUUGCUUAAUUUCGUAAGCGCAUGAAAGACCGGCGGAACCGGCACCGACAAUGACAACGUCGGUGUAGGCGUAGGUAAUCAUGGGAGGUGCGAGUAGCAAUUGGUCAUCAAUUGAAGAAUGAGGAUUUGGGAGUUGAGGAUUUGGUGGAUGCCAUGAAGAAGGGUAUGUUGGGAAUAGAAAGGUAAUUGAUAUUUGUGAGACAAGGGUAGAAUGGGUUUUAUAAAGAUAGAAAGAGGUGGAUAAAAUUUGGAAAGAUGGAAAGAGGUGUAUUACUUCUACAACUAAUCCUCUAGAAGUGAUACAUCAUAGUUAUAAUAUUAAAUAAUACUACUAUUAUUAAAUAAGAGAGACAUGAUUGAUUUUUUGCUUAUAUUUAGUUUAAAAUAUACUCCAUUUUUGCUUAUUAAUUUGUACUCCGACUAUGUAAUUGUAAAAUUUAUGUCUUGACUUCGUAUAUGUCAUAAGUUGGUAGACAAGAAAUUUCCAGAAAAAAAUUGAAGAUAUUUAUUCAAAGUUUAUUUUUAUAACACGUGUAUGGUGGUUAUCUAUGACUUAAUUUUAUUUGGAUAUUAAUAUGUUGAUAGAUUAGGCACACUAUUUAUCUUCUUCUUUUGUCCUAAAUAGUUUGUAAAUUGCUACAUAUUCCGACAAUUUGUUUGUCUAAACAUAUAUAUGAAAAAACAUACUCUGAGUGACACACAAGUAUAAGAUAAGGAAUAUCUUAUUGUUUAGUAAAUAUUUAAAAAGGGAUUUAUACAUUCUUUCCUCUAAUGUUUUGACUUUAGUUAUAAUUAUUUUUAAAGUCAUAUAUCUGAUUAGUUGUAAUUUUUUUUUACUUUAAUUUUACAUUGACAUUUGUAUGUCAAUCAAUCUUUUUAUGAUAUUGACGGAUGAGAAUCUUAAAAUAAUGUAUGUGAGGAUUUAAACCUUGAGCGUGUGUGAAAAGUUGAUGCUCGUGUUUGAUAAACUUAUACUGUGUUUGGAUGCAUGUUUAUAUGAAAAGUUGGUGCUCAUGUUUGAUAGGCUUAUAGUGUGUUUGGAUACAUGUUUAUGUACGUAAUCCCGCUUUUUAAUGUAAACUCGCCGUGAUUUUAAAAAACUACAAAUUAUAGUAUCCAUGUAAAUGUGAAUUGAAAUACGAAACUGCAUAAUUUUCAAAGACACUCUUAAUCCUCUUUCAAAUUGGUGUUAUGCCUAUUCUCAAACCUGAAAUGUGUUUUUCUCUUUUAAAUUCUAUUAAGGAAUACAAUAAAAUAGUAGUUGUAGAGUCUAAAGUUGCACGCAAGUGCAACCUUCAAAAUCAUGCUCAUCCUCUUUUCCUCUUCCAAAACUUUGCAAGUAACUUCUUAAAUACAUCGAAGUGGUAGAACCAUGCUUUCAAAAUGAAAUGGUUAUUUAGAAAUAUAAAGUAAAUGAGUUGGUUUGAAUGGAGGGAAAUAAGAGUUUGAUGAUAAAAUAGUUAGUUCAAUACUCCAUUCGUACAACACACUACACUAAUUACUUACAUUAGCAAAAAAAUGCUUGUGAAUUGUCCUUUAUUCUUUGACGGAAGAAAAGAAGGUUAUUUGCUAAAAAAACUCUGAAAUACAGAGGUGGAAGAGUUAUGCUUUCAAAAUGAGAGAGUUUUCUAAUCUCCAAAUUUACUUCACAUCAACUUCUCUUAAUCAUUUCAAGGGAUUUGUUAAAUCUACAUUUACCUGUUAUUUUUAACAUUAAUUGGUUAAUAUCCAACUUACCAUUCUACUUUUAGAGAUAAUCGACCAGUUUAUCAUCAUCGGUAUUCUACUACUAGAGUGACGUUCACUUCCUUAGUUUCGUGUUUAAUUUUUUCAACAUGUGUUUCAGUUUUUCUUAUUUCUUUUUUUCUUUUUAAUUUUAACAGAUAUAAUAAAUCUCACCAUAAUUAACUCACAUAUCUAUGAGGUCACAGAUUCAAACUCGGGGUAAAACAUUCAACCUAGUAAUAGCCAUUUGUCAGUUGAACUAUGACUUUUUUUAUUUCUAUUACGUUUAAUGAUUAAUUAGCAUGAAAAAGUAAUCAUGCUAAAAAGUUGUUUGCGGUUAAGAGCUGGAACUUGAAGAGCAAAAGAAGGAGCCAUUUCAGAUAUGGAGAUUAUGACUACCUUUAAAUAAGUUAUACUAAGGGUUCAGUAAACAACUUGACAGGAUAAUUGUACUGAAACAGUGCUUAAAGAAUUCUUUUCAUGAUUAAUUGAUACUUAUACGGGUAGCAAAAUUUUCUAACAAGAAAAACCACAGAAAUUUAAUUUUAACUCUUNNNNNNNNNNNNNNNNNNNNNNNNNNNNNNNNNNNNNNNNNNNNNNNNNNNNNNNNNNNNNNNNNNNNNNNNNNNNNNNNNNNNNNNNNNNNNNNNNNNNNNNNNNNNNNNNNNNNNNNNNNNNNNNNNNNNNNNNNNNNNNNNNNNNNNNNNNNNNNNNNNNNNNNNNNNNNNNNNNNNNNNNNNNNNNNNNNNNNNNNNNNNNNNNNNNNNNNNNNNNNNNNNNNNNNNNNNNNNNNNNNNNNNNNNNNNNNNNNNNNNNNNNNNNNNNNNNNNNNNNNNNNNNNNNNNNNNNNNNNNNNNNNNNNNNNNNNNNNNNNNNNNNNNNNNNNNNNNNNNNNNNNNNNNNNNNNNNNNNNNNNNNNNNNNNNNNNNNNNNNNNNNNNNNNNNNNNNNNNNNNNUCCGAUCACGGAAAAAGCAUUCAAUCAACUGAAGUUGGUGAUGAGCCGUCUUGUAUUAUAGGAUCAUUAAACUUGUUUAUAAGCAAAAAAAUAGUUUUCACAUAACUUGUCAAAAAAUCUGGCCUAUUACCAGAUUUUUUCAUCUAUAAUGUAAACAACUCUAUACUAAUACGUUGAGAGUGAGAGGAUCAAAAUUCCAAUUUACCUCCCAUGUAAUAAACAAAAUUACUUUAUUCCACUAAAUUGGAAGGAUUGGGGACUCGACUAAAAAAAUAAAAAUAUUUUUUUUUAAACAUAAGUUGUAUCCAGAAUCUAAGCGUUUUGUUGUUGAGAAACGUACUGGUUUCCAAUUGUAUCUCCUGUUGAUAAGAUUUUCUGCUAUGAAGAUGUAAAACUCGUAAACUUUCUUAAGUGGCUUUUUGCUCGGUGUUUGGAUGGGUUAGAUUAGAUGUAAACCAAAUGGAGAUUUGUUCACAUCCCAAGCCUUUUGAUUCUUCCUUUAUCCAAAAACCUCAAGGAUCAUUUGUUAGAAAACCAUAACUAAUUAAAGAUCUAUAUUAACAUGAUUGUUGAUAAUCACAUAUUUGUGCCAAAGUUGUUCAUAAUAAUAGGUUAACAAACAUCCAAAAUCAGCGGGGCCAUAAAAUUGACAACAUAAUCAUGUCAUAAAAAGUAAACAUAAUACACAAAUUACAUAAGCAAAAGUACUGAUUAAUUCAUUAUUCACAAAGAACCAUAAAAUUCAUAACAUCGUAAACUUAUUCUACUGGGCCAACACAGGCCCUAUCACUUCCACAACAAGUAAAAGAAACAUCAGACAGAUAUUAAUCCCACAGCCACAGAUUAGAAACCACCACGAAGACGGAGCACAAGGUGAAGGGUGGACUCCUUCUGAAUAUUGUAAUCAGCAAGGGUCCUUCCAUCCUCCAACUGCUUCCCUGCAAAGAUCAACCUCUGCUGGUCCGGUGGGAUACCUUCUUUAUCCUGAAUUUUUGCCUUCACAUUAUCAAUGGUAUCAGAGCUCUCCACCUCAAGGGUAAUUGUCUUCCCAGUCAAGGUCUUCACAAAAAUCUGCAUACCACCACGAAGACGCAACACAAGGUGAAGGGUAGACUCCUUCUGGAUGUUGUAAUCAGCGAGGGUCCUUCCAUCUUCCAGCUGCUUUCCGGCGAAGAUCAACCUCUGCUGAUCUGGGGGAAUACCUUCCUUAUCCUGGAUCUUGGCCUUAACGUUGUCGAUUGUGUCAGAACUCUCCACCUCAAGGGUAAUAGUUUUACCAGUGAGGGUCUUCACGAAGAUUUGCAUACCACCACGAAGACGCAACACAAGGUGAAGGGUUGACUCCUUCUGGAUGUUGUAGUCAGCUAAGGUGCGGCCAUCUUCAAGCUGCUUUCCGGCGAAGAUGAGUCUCUGCUGGUCUGGUGGGAUUCCUUCCUUGUCUUGGAUCUUAGCCUUCACGUUGUCGAUGGUGUCAGAGCUUUCAACUUCGAGAGUGAUGGUCUUACCGGUGAGGGUCUUCACAAAGAUCUGCAUACCUCCACGAAGACGGAGGACGAGAUGAAGGGUAGAUUCCUUCUGGAUAUUGUAGUCGGCGAGGGUACGACCGUCCUCAAGUUGCUUUCCGGCGAAGAUAAGUCUCUGCUGGUCCGGGGGAAUUCCUUCCUUGUCUUGGAUCUUGGCUUUAACGUUAUCGAUGGUGUCGGAGCUUUCGACCUCAAGAGUGAUGGUCUUGCCUGUGAGGGUCUUGACGAAGAUCUGCAUGCCUCCACGAAGACGGAGGACGAGAUGGAGAGUUGACUCCUUCUGGAUGUUGUAGUCGGCAAGGGUACGGCCGUCCUCAAGCUGCUUUCCGGCGAAGAUGAGACGUUGCUGGUCCGGAGGAAUUCCUUCCUUGUCCUGGAUCUUGGCCUUUACGUUAUCGAUAGUAUCAGAACUCUCUACCUCGAGAGUGAUUGUCUUGCCGGUGAGGGUUUUCACGAAGAUUUGCAUCUGUGGAAGUAGCAGCAACAAAUAAAUCAGAAUCAAACGCCAGAAAUCGAAUUAGAAACUGGAUUAUGAAUCUAUAACAACAGACCAAAACAGCUUGAGAUCAAAACAACAAAUAAACUAAAAUCAAACACCAGAAAUUGAAUUGACUCUAAUACAUAUUAAAAACAGUGUAUAACAAACGAAUAUGAAGCAUUUCAAAUUAAACGUUAUCAGAUCCGUUCAUGCAAAACCUGUUCAUAAACCAGAUACAACAAACCUAAUUGACGAUCAUGCAAUUCAAACAGAUUUAUUGAGAAUAUAUAUUAGAAACAGAUCUGAGAUCAUUUCUAAUAAAUUAAGCUUAUAUAAACUCUGUCUAAUCGAUUUCUAACAGAUCUACGAAAGGAAAGACGAAAACCCGAAUCGAAAAUCAGAAAAGAAAUGGAAAAUACCUUGAGGAUUUGUUGAGAAGUAGAUAGGGCUCAAAGAAAUGAAUUCAAUAGAAAUGAAACUGCGAUUUGUAUGGGAGCAUUGGGGUUAAUUUAUAGCAAAAGGGUCAAAAACGUAACCACUAGAAUUGUGACACGUGUCUUGAUUAUAUGUCAUUCGGUGCUAGUUGUUGGGUUGCUUGUUGUAUCUGGCUUAGUUUUGGUAUCCAAUGCGUUCAGGGCGGUCUUUCUCGGAAAUUAUUAAUUGCAAUUGGGAAAUGGUAGUUGGCGUUUAAUCUUGACGGAGUCGAAUGCAACCUUCUACUGGAAUCUGGAUUAAUCGUUACCACGGCGUUACUUUAUUGGGUCACUUAUUUCGUAUGGGCCCACGUCGUCUGUUUUACAAUAUGAACUCCACUCCACCGUUGGAAGGCCGACUGCUAUGAAAAUUAUAUUAAAUUCAACAAAGAGAAUAUUAGAAUGGUUAAAUAAAUUGUAUUUUUUUUUACAAUGUUAAAUAAAUUAAUUUUUUGGUUCUACUAUCAUACUAUUGGUUCGAUAUGGUAUUAAGUUCGAGUUUUAUGAGUAAAAAAACAAAAUUUGUAUUUAUAGUAAAAUAUAUUUAAAAAAUAUAUAUUUAAUUUUUAUGAAUAUAAUUUUUUUAUUUUAGUUUCUAUAAAAAAUUUUGAAUUAAAUUUUAUAAAUGGUUUUAGUUCUUAAUAUCAAAUUAAUAUAAAAGAAUAACGAAGUUUUAAAACACUUUUAAAAUAUUCUUUUAAUUUUUAUUUGUAUUUUUUUAUAAAAUAAUACUAAUUAUUAAAUAAUUAAUUAAUAUUAUAAAAUGUUUUAAUUUUUAAUAUUUCAUAAAAAAUAUAUUUAUGUGUAUUUAUAAAUUCACUUAUCCUGCAAUUUAUUAACUCUUUUUUUAAACUAAAAAUUAAUUAUCUUUAAUUUUAUAAUAAUUAAAUUUAAACAAUAAAAUUUAUAUAGACUAAUAUAAAAAAUAAUAUAUCUAUAUAAUCAAAUAAAUAUUUAAAUCAUAAAAAUAACAAUGUUGAGAGAUAUCUGAUAUGACUCUUCGAUGGAGACAAAUUUGGUAAAUAUUUCACACAUGCUUAAGAAAAUUGUUGGUGCUUAUUGGAUGUGCUGGAUAUACAACGUGGUUCAGAAUACGAGGAUAAAAGUAGAACUUCAGUAAUUAAAGAAAUAUAUAAAAACCUUUGAGUUAUACGAUAUAAGUUUUUGCUUCGUAUAUCAUCUAAAGGACAAGCAACAAAGAAUAAUAUAAAUUUAUAAGUCUAACUCUAAGAUAUUGUUUUUUAGAGAAAUAUUAAAAUUUUAAAUGUUGAGAAAAAUAUUAAAAGUUAUGUAAUUUAAAUUUUAUCAUUGUAAUAAAAAUAUUCAUUUAAUUUUUUUUUGUUUCUUAAUAAAUAUAUUUAAAAUAUUUGUUAACAUAGUCUUUUUUGUUUAUUGGUCUUACAUAAUCCUUAUUUUUAUGUAUACAAAAUAUCGCAAGUGAUUAUAAGGUUUUUAAUUAUAUUCAAUGAUUUUAAUGUAGUUGAAUUUUUAAAGUUCAAAUUUAAGACAUUCAAUACUUUAGAGUUUUAACUAAAACAUAUAAUAUAUUCUGAUUAUCUAAUAAUCCUAUCUAUGCCUUCUUAGUUUUCCUUAUGAUAUAUGUAUGAUAAUAUUAUAGCAAAUGGGGUAGUAUGUAGUAUAUGUUUAUAUGUGUUAAAAAAAUUUAUAAAAGCGUUAUAUCAUUAAAGUUUCUGCAUAUAUUACAUUGAAAUUUUUGUAUAGGAAUAAAUAUAAAAUUAUAAAUUUUAUCACAAUGAUGAUUUUGUUGUUUUUUAUUUAUUUAAAAGAGUUUAAUAAAUAUUUAAAUUCUAUAAAAAAUAUGUAUAUCAAUUAAUAUGUCAUGCUAUUUACCGGUGUAAAUUAGUUUUCUCGUGUCAUAUCAUUAAAGUAAGGAAUAAUUAAGUGAUUUAAUAAAAUACAUAAAUUUUAAUAGAUAUUAAAAUAAAAUAAUUUUGCAAUGAAAAUGCAUUUAAAGAAAUCUCAUUAUAUAUUAAUGAAUAUGUCAUGCCGGUAUAAAUUUAUUUUCUAGUGCCAUGUCAUUAAAGUGGGGUGUAAUGGAGUCAUUUGACAAAGUACAUAAAUUUCAUUAGAUAUUAAUGUAAAAUAAUUUUAUAUUGAAAAUAAAUUUAUGAGAAAUAAUUAAUAAAUUUCUUAAAAUAUUUGUUAGUCUGACUAUUUCUCUAUUAUAAUCUAUUUAAAUUUUAUUUAGUCUAACUCAAUCUAGAAUAUAAUGGUUAUGAUAUUAUUUGAUUUUCUAUUUAAUGGGUCCCAAAAAUGUAAUGUAAUAAAAAGUCUUAUCAAUUUUAGUUUUAAUCCUAGUGUCUUCCAAUAUUUUUGCUUAUUUAUUCUUAGUCUAAUUAGCAAAAUAAUUAAAGAUUGCUAGAUUGGUUACUAUAUGAAGAAGGUAAUAUAUAAAUUGUUCAUAAAGUAUAUUCAUUCGCAAAGUAUUGAAAAAAAUUAAAUAUAACGGAUAUAAAUGGUGGAAGCGGUAUUUAGAAAAUUGUCUAAGUAGUGAAAAAAUACAUUAAAAAAAAAAAGCUAUUAUGUCAAUAUAAUUGUUGUAUACUAAUUGCUGCAAUUACUAUUAUUUUGUUCUUUCUCCAGUUUCAAUAAAAAAAUUAUGUUUUAUGCAUAUAUAAGAGAUAAAUAUUUGUGUUGUAUAUAUUUUGAUCAAUGUAUUUAAGUUUCUUACACGUUUUUCUAUAAAAAAAAAAUUCAAAACACACUCCAAAAAAAAUAUAAAUGUAUCUUUGAACUAAUUGUUUUGUGAAUGAUAAUUUUUUAAUUAUAUUUAAGUUUUGUGAUGAUGUGAGAAGUGUGGAUAGCAAUUGUUCUUCUAUUGAAGAAUGAAUAUUUUGGACUUGAAGGGAGAAAAGUGACAAGAGAUGUUGCGGUGGCAGUGGCGAAUGCCAUGAAGAAGGAGAGUAUUUGGAAAAUAGAAAGGGUUACUGAUAUUUAAUAAAUAGGUGGAAUAGACGUGAGUAGAAUAAAUAGGUUUUAUAAAGGGUUACUCACAUUUGGCAGAGAGAUGAAAUAGAUGUAAGUUGAAUAAAUAGAUUUUAUAAAGAGAUGUGGAUAUAAUUUGAAUGGGUGAGAAUUGUUUUUACUUUGAACGGUUGUCCCCACUCCCAAAUUCAUUAUUGUCAUUUUUCAUUCACUAAUAUACCAUCAAAAAGACAAAAAUGUGAGCAACCCAACAUCAAUCUCUAAUCUUUUGAUAGCUCAAUUUCACUUGCAGAAAGACACCAUUUAAAUACUCCAUGAGUAUUAUUAAUGGUUUCAAUUUCAAGAACUGGAUUUUCACACCCAGAUGAAAAUUUUCCCAUAGGAGAGAAUGAUAAGCUUCCAUAAGAAGAACCCAUUUGAGAAUUUCCCGUCUUGAUGCUGAAUUCACCUCUUGAAAAAGUUGAUUCAAUUUUAUGCAAGUGCAGGCAAGGUGCAUGGAUAAUUACCCAUGCCUAUACUCAUACACAUACAUUGGGUUUUUACCUACACAUAAUGGAUACUUUAUUGAAAUUCUUGUGUCUUAAUCUUCCCAUUCUCAAUAAAAAAGAAACUAUGUUUAAAAUUUGAUUAAAAAAUAAAUAAAGUUUAAGUAAUUAAAUUUUAUAGAGAUUUUAAUCGUAGAUGUGCUUGAAAAAAUUAAUUAAAUAUUUCAAAUAUUAAUUUUGACUUGUUUUUGUAUUAAAAUUAUUGUAAAGUUAAAAAAUAUAUAAAGAUCUUUAUUCAAAGUUUACUUCCAUAACACGUGCUCACAUUUUGAAUUGUAUAAUGGUUGUUUAUGGCUUGAUUUUACUUAGAUUGGAUAAAUUGCUACAUGUUAUGACAAUUUGUUUGUCUAAAUAUAUAUAUGAAAAACAUAUACUCUUGAGUGAAACACAUGUAUGAUCAUUUGAUUCGCAUUUUCUUUAUUCAUUAUUGAGUUCAAAUCACAUGCAGAAGAAAAGCAAAUGAAAAAUAAACUAAAAACUAAAUCGAUUUAACUGAUGUUCCAUCAAUUGCAUUGUUAUUCCCCAAUGUCUUCAAUGUCAAAUGAGCUGCCUUCUGCCCUGAUAUCAUUAUAGCUCCAAAUGUUGGACCCUACAAAAAUCACCAAUGUUAUCACAUCUUAAACAAAUGUUUCUUACCAUCUUCAAAUUAAUUGCACUAAAACCAAUAUCCUUGCAGUUGAAAGUAUCUAAAAAAAACCUGAUAUUAAUGUCGACAUUAAAUCAAAAUUGCACAAACAAGCCUAUAAACAAAAUAUUAUUUUCUUUGGUAGAUUAUAAACAAAAAUUCUACUUCUUGCACAACAUUAAUUCAAUAUAUUAUUACACACAAAAUUGUCCAAGCCUAUAUUAUUUACACACACAUUAACUCCUAGAAUCAUGUUUGGUUAUUAUGUUGGACUUCCUACUUUAGAAUUGAUUUAAAUUACAAAAUUAAUUCUUUAAAAGAAAAUAUAUUUAGCUUCUAUGAUAACUAGAAUAUUUUUCAAAUUUAUUGAUAGAAAUACACACAAAAACAAUUAUUAUUUUGAAAUAGAUAAAAAUUAUUAUUUUUUAUUUUAAACAUACCCAAUAUAAAUAACUUUACCUUCAAAGUAUUUAACAUCAAUUUCAUAAUAAUUACUUAAGUCAAAAUCAACUAGUAUCAAUUAUUAAUAUCAAUUAUUAUCACAUAGGAACCAAACACAAUAAUUAACCUUGAACCGAAAACAAAGAAGCUUACCACUCUUGGAGUUUCAUACAUUUCAGCAACUUCCAUACCAGUAAUAAUCAUAUCAGGAACAAUCUCCUUAAUAAGAUGAACAAUAGCAUCUUCACCAGUUUUCAUGUCAAGUGAAUUUAUUCCACAAACAAAGUCAAUCAUACCAACACGCUCUAGCAUUUUUAAGCCACUAGCACCAAAAGGACCAUCAUGUCCACAAGAACUCACAACAACCUUCGCUUCCAUAACAUGAGGAUUCAUACAAGACUGUAUAUCAGGCUUCAUUGAAACCAAAGCCUAAUUCGUAACAACACCACCAACUCUUCCUUCUUUCACAAUCAGAUCCUCACCAGCAACAACAUUAAACAAUUUCACGUUAGAUCUAACGAGAAGCUUGCUCAAGAUUGUUGAAGUGAACAAAGCAGUGUGUUUGAUUACAACAUAUUCUUCUCGUUCGUCGUAAUCAAAUUCAAUUUCAUCGAGGAAGAGGUGAGCUGGUUUGCGGACAACCAUGGCAGAGAAGAGUUGGCCGUCAAGCCAAGCACCGCCACUGGGACUGACGAAUUGUUCGAUUAUGGCUAUACUGAUGUUGGGGUUUUUGCUUAAUUCGUAAGCGCAUGAGAGACUGGAGGAACUGGCACCGAGGAUGACAACGUCAGUGUAGGUAACCAUGUCUGUUACGUAACGGCGUGACAUUUCACGAGAGACGAUGGAUUCUUCGAUGGGUUCGAAUUUGAAGGAAUAAAGAUCGUGUGUGUUGAGGGACUUGGAGAUUAAAGAAUUGUUAUAGGAGGUGGAUUUUAUGAUGUGGGAGGUGUGGGUAGCAAUUGUUCUUCCAUUGAAGAAUGAGG
rnacentral:lncRNA from 1 species